rnacentral:lncRNA from 1 species
AUGGGCAACCUAGUUUGGUAUCGAAUUCGCCGUCUACGAGAUUAGAACCUAAGACCUCUCACUUCCAAGUGAAGAGAAAUACCACUAGACCGUAGUAUUGAGUGACUAAAUGUUAAAAAAAGAAGAAAGAUAAUGUUCACAAGAGAGUAUAAUACAUGCUUGGAGUUGUGAGCUAAUUAAAAUUUUCCUUCCAAUAUCUAUUCAAUAUAGAGAGUAGUUAAUCAAAAUUAAAGAGGAUUAAAAGAAAUUAACCUUCCAAUAUCAAGUCAAUGAAAAAUGCUAGGGAGAUCAUGUUUUUAGACCAUAUUGUUAGUAAAAAGUUAAAGAGAACAAAGAGAUUUACAAUUCGACAAAAAAAAAGAAAAAAGAUUUACAAACCUUAAUAUUGUUUUUGGAGGACAAAAUAUAUGAAAUUCAACAAGAAAAGGAGGAAAAGCUCAAAGUUUAUUAUUCUUUCGGUUGGCGAUGUAAAAGAAAUUUUUUGAUUAAACUCAAGUAGACUUCAAAUUUUAAAUUUAAGAGUUAUUGACUUGUUUACAAGAUAAGAGUUAAAUUUAGUUUUAGGAUUAGUGUCGUUGGGUUAAAAGAAAAAAAGACCUCUUGUUUUAACUAUUGGUGAAUAGAAUUUAAGAGUUUUGUGCAUACAAUACAAUGCCUCCGCCCCUGUUUGUCGAUCUUCUCUUGAUCAAUAUCAUACACUAGUAGUAAAGGAUUAGGUCGUUGUCAAAUGAGCUCGUAUUUAGUUUGCAAAAAAAUUCGAUAUAGAGUACAUAUAUAGAAGCAUAAUACAGAAAUCCCGAAUUAAUUUACAAACCAGCACAAAGGAGUGCAUAAAAGUAAACAAAUUACGAGCAAACAGCUAUUUGAUAUAAACUUAAACAUGCACAAGACAGUAUUAUUGAUUCGGAACAUAACCUUAACGUCUGGCUUCUUAAACACAAGAAACGUCAAAACCUAAAGAGUGCAGGUAAGUCAUUCCUCUUUCGAAGGGCCCAACCCCAAGUACAAACACAAGAAGCCACCUCACGAACAAAAAACAAACCCAAUAUAAUUUAUUUGACAAAAGAGAGAGACCCAACCAGCAGCAGCAGCAGGUAACAAUUGGAAAAGAGAAAUUAUGCAGCAAUUGUUAAAGGAAGUUUUAACGAAACAUUUUUAGUAUUGUUCACUUUUAAUAAAAAUGACAUUUUUACUUUAAAAAUUUACUUCUGAUACUAUUCACUUACAAUGUCUUUUUGUCCGCUUCAAAGAUCCCUCCGUUUGAUUUUGCCAAAUAUAUAGUAAGCAAACUACUUACCCAAUUAUUGUUGCGGAAGCAAACCUUUACUCUUUUACGUACCCACUAUUAAGUAAUGUCACUAUCUGAUAUGUUAAAUGCAAUAGACAGACGACAUCAUUUGAUGUAUUGCGGUGUAGAAAUGGGAGAAAGAUAUAAGUUUUGAACAAGCCCCUCUUAUAUAACUUCGUGCCCAUUCCAGUUAAAGUAUUCUACGAGCAGCUCAACCAAAGUAGAUCAACUUAAGCAUUUUCCGCUUGAGUAUCUAAUUUGUUGAAUCAAUGGAUGCCAUAACGGCGAUCAAAGACUGAAAAUAGUUGUAAAAAAAAACCCGUUGGCACUUGAUCAAAUAGCUCUGGAAGGUGUACUCUUCCUCAAUCCAAGCUUGUCCCUAAAGGAGAGAACUCUAAUUCCUUGGUCCCAUCAGAAUAUCCCUGUUGGUAUAGUGUUAUGCAUAUAUAUAGCAGCUAAAAAUAUUGUAUCAGAAAAUAUCAAUUAAUUCAAGAUUUGAUUUUCCUCUUCAAUAUCUCUCUCUUGUUUCUUUCUCUAUCAUCUUCUUUUAUAUCAAUCCUUCAUAUUUUCCAAUGUUGUUAAUACCCACAUUCUACAGUUACCUCUUGAUUUCCCCUUCCAAUGGAUUUAUUUUGACUAACUAAUCAUGCGCACAAUCAGUUUUCAACUAAAGAACAUAUCAACACGAUAAAGAAAGUAACAAUAAUAAAAUAAACAACAUUUCAAUGGAUUUAUUUUGAUAGUUAUGUAAUUGUAAUAUCGACACCAUUAAUGAAAUAAACAACGUUUCAAUAUUUAAUAUACAGUUGUUGAUAUUAAGUGAUGAAAUAUGCCACGCGAUCAAAGAGCUCAUCCAAAGAUUCUCCCAUUAUUGUGACGUCCAUAUUUGUUUAUGGAUUUUGUGCAUAAAACUAGUAAAGAAUGUAACAAUAUUUAUGCGCAUAAAUUGAAGAUGGCUUUAUUGCAGCUACUAGCUAGUAGUCUGUUCCUACGUAGUUACUUUGGACGAGGGAAGUCAUGAAAUGAGAAUUGUAAUCUUAUUCAAAAACUCAUUUUUAUUUCUUAUUUACCUUUUUUAUUUUCGUUCAUCAGAUAGAAUAAAUUGAAGAAAAUCAAUAGUAAAAAGUUAACAAAUGUAUGUCGAAAGUAAAAAUAAAUAUGUGAAUAACAAUAUCCAACGAGAAAGUUAAGAAUGUGGGAGAAAGUAAAUAAAUGUGAGAUCAACUACCUCAUAAUCUAUUUAUUCUUGCUACUUCAAACAUUGGAUUACGAAUUCUAAUGUGAAGUCUAACUAUAUACGUCUUGGUGUCGUAAUUGUCCGUAAACACAAUAGAAGUCUCGAGUAUAUCCGCCUCUAGGAAACACUAAAAAAAAUCAAAAUAAUUCAAAUGCUUUCGUGUAAGCAAACAUGCCAAUAAAUGUUGGCUAAUUAUCCAUGAAAGUAGUUGACUAGAAGACUUGAUAUUUUACAAAUGAAGCCCUCCCUAUUGCCUUUUCCCUUUACAGUGUGGGUGGGUGUGGCCAGGAGACUACAAUCGUGGUGCUAGACAGGCGCCACAAGUUAUCGGCAUUUCGUCUCAUUUAUUUUUUACUUUUAAAAAUAAAAUAAAAUAAAAUAUUUUCGGAUAAAAGAUUGAGACAAAAGAUGAAGAAAAAAUGAGGGGUAGAAUAUUUUAAUUAAUGACGUAUAAAUCAUUUUUUUUACCAAUAAUAGUAUAGUUACUAAAUUAAUUUAAAAUAUAUAUAAAAAAAUACAAACUUGAAUGCAAAAAGUAAAACAUAUUGUUAUCGCUAAUUUAGCUACACCGCAAUUUACACGUAUAAAUUCAAGUUGAAGAUGCUUGUCCUUUACCCCUCUUUACCACGAAGAAAUAAAGUUGAGCCUCGUCAUAUAACUGCUGGGGAUGUUCAUGUAAUUGGAUCAUGUUAAUUGCCCUUGGUAUGAAACUGAAUUGCUGAGUGUUGAUCUGGCUGCUGUUUGACUAUUAGGUAUCCAGCUAGGUUAUAAUUUCGACCUUUUCUUUGUCCAACUUAUCUCAUGUCAAGAAAGCUACAAAAUUGAUAUCUAAAAAUAAUAUAGAUUUUAUUUUCCACAUAAAUAAUGCUUGAUGAAGGCUGGAAAACCCAUCAUGGUUUGAAUUUAACAAAAAAAAAAAAAAAAACCUAUCCUAUGAUUUAAUUAGAUACAAAUUGGUAUUGUGCACUUUCAACGCAACAACGCCGAAGUAUCAAUGUUACAAAUUUAUUACCUCAUGAAUCUACUCAGUUAUAUUAGGGGUAAUACUAGAGAGAUUAAAAUUUUAAUUUUAAUUUUGUAAAUUAAAUGAUGUGGUUGUUAAUGAUUAAAUUUUUAUUUAAGUGUUGAUGUACUUACUUCUUGUUGGUUACACAUAAUUUAAUUUUCAAAUUUAGUUUAAAAGUUUAAUUUCCAUAGCAUUACCCAUUAUAUUAAUAUACAAUCUUGAGUUAAUUACAAACUUCUCCCUAAUUCUAGUGGUUGUUCCACUUUUGUUCUCAAACACUUUUUUGUCCUAGGUAAGUUAAAGAUGUGUUAAAUAAAUGCAGAUGACGUUUUACCGUAGUGACGUAAAACUAUAAUAUUUAUGCAUCAUGGUGCAAGUUUAAUCUCCACUUAUUCUCAUUUACCAUAACAUUGAACAAUUUAAUCCACUAACGUUAUUAUUUGUUAAAAAAAAUUAAAAAAAAACUUUGUUAAAUAAGAACAACAAUGACUUCAUUUACAAAAUUAACAGACCACAAUAUCAACUAUGUUAGCUCGAAAACUUUUUGCAUCGAUACCAAGUCAAGUUGAUAUAAGAUUUUUUGUUAGCAAAUGUAACACUGAACGACUACUUGUAAUAAAAGACAGUAACUAAAACGUAUUAUUCGGUUAUUCUACUAAAAUAUUUUUUAGGGUAAAAAAUUUCUUCAUUCAGUUUUAAUGGCGAUUUUGAAAAUCCAAAUUAAAUUGACAAUUUGGGCUGGUACUUUCAUUCAUUUUUUUUAUCACAAAUGCUGCAUACUCCUAAUUUGUUAAUAAGCACACUUUCAAAAAUAAAGGACAACUUGGAGACAAAAAUAAAUAAAGUUGAAGGAUGAAAGUAAGAGCUCCAAGAGUUAGUGCAGUGCUAAAUAAUAUACCACCAAAAGAUAUAAAAUUGAUGUUAUGAUUAUAAUUAUGUAAUAAAAAAUUAUUGUAAAUUUUUUUAUUUAAAAUUGAUGUUAUGCUUAGAAUUAUGCGAUUAGAAAUUAUUGUUUUUAUUUUUUGGAAAACAUAAGCGCCGUCAGCAGUGGCAAAUGCUUACCGCGCUGCGAUGACGCCUCUGUUUGGCCCGGCAGAGCUUAAUCUGACAUGACAUUUGUACGGACUGUCUGCAACCCUGUGACUAAGCUGAUAGACCAAACAGCUGAUUAGUCUUUUGGACCACUCCCAUCUCGACAACGCAUUCCCCAAAACCAUCAUAUUUAUUUCUCUCUCCUCUCUCUAUUUUCCCAUAUUUAUGCUCGAACGGAGUAAGCAGCCAAGCUUCUGCUACUAGUAAACCGUGAAAACAUGUUCAAAUAAUUAAUUUUGUAAUCAUAAAUUGAACACGUGUUUACUCAUGAUUUGCUAGCAGCAGAAGCAGCUGCUGAUUUUUUCACAGCCAAGCUCUGUCCUAUAUACUCAGCGCCUUUCUUCAUCAAAACAAUUAAAACCAAGGCACUCCCAAUACAAAAAUAGAAAUAUACUACCAAAAAAAAAAAAAAACAUCUGUCUUCCUCAUCCUGCUUUUGCUUUUCAUCAUCAUUCAGCUCCCUUUCCUUUCUUGUAUCAACCAAAUUAGGGUUUUCUCUCAAAUUUGGUAUAUUUUCCAUCUCUUGGGUUUCUAAGCACUAAAAAAGAAAGUGCUAUUUCUUCCGCUUCUCCCCUUUCUAGUUUUAGCAAUAUAUAAGAAAAAACAAGAGAGGGAAAAGAAGAAGAAAUGGGAAGAGGUAAGGUGCAGAUGAAGCGGAUCGAGAACAAGAUAAGCAGGCAAGUAACGUUUUCAAAGAGGAGGAGUGGAUUGCUCAAAAAAGCUCAUGAGAUCUCUGUUCUGUGUGAUGCUGAGGUGGCAGUUAUUGUCUUCUCCACCGUAGGGAAGCUCUUUGAGUAUUCUACUGAUUUCAGGUCUGAACGUUACUCAAGCUUAUUGAGCUUAGAUUUUAUCUGGGUAUAUACAUCUCUUUUCUUUUUCUUGUUUGUUGUUAGUAUUUUUUGCUUGUGCUACGCCAGUCAUCUUAAACAUAAAAUAAACUUAAACUUAAUUAAACAACUUAUACACUUAAGCUCCAUCUAUCCCUCUACUUUUUUCUGGAUCGGCCCUUUUUAUCGAUUUUUUGGUCCCAUAUUUAAGAGGUCGACAUAUUUACAUGACAAAGAUAUACACAAAAUAUAAGUACUUCAGUUUUUUUAUUGUCAGAAGACGUACAUAGCCCUUGUUCAUUUCACCAUUCGCAGACGUGACAAGGGAGUACUUACUGGUCAAAUCAUGAGAGUGAAUUAGUUAAUUAAAUUUUAAAUGCUAAUUUUAUAUAAAUAUCUAUAUGGAUGAUGUUCUUUCAGAAUUCUUUUAAAUUUUUAUCGUCAGAUCGGAUGAAUUAAAGAAAAUUAAUAGAUAAAAAUUAAUAAAAUUAUAUAAGAGGUAAAAAUGAGUAUGCAAAUAUCUAUAUCCUAUCCAUAUACUUAAAAAAGGCAUAAUUAAUUUCUGUAAUCCAGUGGUUUUAUGUAUGAAGAUUACAUAAGACACUGGAUACAAGGCAGUAAAUAAAUACCACCACUUGCGUAAUGUCUGAGAUAAGGGUUAUUGUCUCAUAUAAAACCAAAAUAGGACGCAGUGCCAUGGGGGUUGCUCUUCUUACUUGUACUUUUAAAAUUAGCAAUUAAUUUUUAAAAUAAUUUGUUCACAGGUGUUGGACCCGUGUGAGGGUUAUUGAGCAAUGAGUCAUGAUGGGCUUGGUGUUUUCCUAGGUUUUGUUACCUAGGAUAUAUGUUUGAGCAUCUUGUAAAUGUAGCAUACCCAAUAUGAUUCUGGUUGCGCACCUAGGGCUUAGGAGAAAGCACUCCUCCAAUCAUCCAGUAAGUUCUGGAACAGUUGCAUAAGAAAAAGAGGAAAACGUAUGUUGGUUCGUUACUAAAUAUGAUUUUUCAAAAAUUAGUGGAUUGUCCUAGUGAUUAGAGUUUUUGUGUUCAGUUUAUCGUGUUUCGAAGUAAAACUUUCUUUUUUUUUUAGUACAGAUUAGUGUAAAAUAUUGAUAAUUUUUAAUUAAAAAAAUUACGAUUCUCAAAAGGAUUUUUCAUUUUGGUGUGAUUAACCAUUUAGACAAGACAACAAGAAUUAGGGACAUCUGUAGCUAACAGGAAUCCAAGUAUUACUUUAUAUUGAUGGUUAGCUAGGUCAAUUUCCUAAACUUGUGUCUGUUUACCCAAUGGUGGAUGAGAACUUACAAAAUUUUGGAAAACAUUUUAAACUAGUAUGAAAUUACCUAAGAGAUUUCAUAAAUGAAUAUUUGCUCACAUCUAUCAUUAAGUUCUCUUUCUUUCACCACUUAGUACUAUGAGCUAGUGGUAUUUCUUUUUACUUGUAAGUAAGAGGUUUUAGGUUUGAAUCUCGUAAAUGGCAAGUUUGAUACCAAUUUAUUUCUCCACCCCUUACUAUAAAUAUUUCGUUCAACAGUUCUCUCUUUUCAAUUUAGAUUGAGAUAGAAAGUUUUAUAAAAUGCAUGAUACCAUUGGACAUAAUAGAAUGUAAGUGUGGAUAUUAGGAAACUUAUAUCUAUGAGAUUAUGUGAAUCUAAGGGCAUGUUCUGUAACAUAUUCCUUCUAUUGGUUUUAGAUUUCUCUUAUUGUUUAAGAUGGAGAGGAGGUAUACAAAAGAAAAGAGUGAUAAAGAAUGGUAGGAGGAAGGGGGUAGAAAUGUUUGAAGAAUACUAUAUAAAAUGAAAACUAAUUAAAAACUAAAAACUCACUAAUUUUAAGUUUUUUUUUCAUUAAUUAUCCUUCAUUAGUAGCACUCCAUUCUCCUCAAUCCUUCUUCACCCUUUAGCCAAAAAAGUUACUAAAUAUAGGUUGUAAGGAAAUAAGUUAUUUGAUUUCACGAGUAAUGUAUAUUGUCAUCAAGUAUAACUUUUGCAAUUUUCCCAACAAGUAAAAUCAUGUAUGUUGUGUUUGGACGAGUGAUGACCAAGUACUAAGGGAUUUAAGCUAUAUUAGCCAGAAAGUACUACAAAAUAUAAGAUAUGUGGAUUCUGAAGUCUAAAAGCAGUGCAUUUAAUGAAAUUUGUUGGUACCAAGGGAUUUGAAAUUACUACUUAAAAUGAGUUAUUUGAAACCAUUGUUUAAGAUGAAGGCGUAGACGAGGCGUUUCAUGGAUAAUCCUGCCUAAACAAAGCUUUGAGGCAUAAGGUGAAGCCUCAUGACCUAAUUUUUUAAAUAUAUAUAUAUAUAUAUAUAUAUAAUUAUAAUUAUAUUAUACAAAAUAUAAUACUCUGUAAAACAAAAAUCCUUUGUCAUUCAGAAGUGCACAAGUCAUUAGUAAAUUUAACUAAACAUACAAACAAACAAAGAAAUCAUUCAUCCAAAUAUGGUCCACAUAGAUUGAAAUAUAAACAAAAAACAAAAAAAAUGGUAACAAACUGUCUUUUUCCUCAUUAAUAUCCCACUCAUUUUACAACAUUAAUAUAGCCCACAUACAUCCCACACUCACUGUCGGUACACUCUCCCUCACUCUCACUUUCCCUCAUCUCAUUUGUUAAUGUCCACUCAUUUUACAACAUUAAUAUAGUUCACACACACCCCCCACCCAUUCUUUCCCUCAGUACUCUCCCUUACUCUGACUUUCCCUCUUGUUUCUCUGUGUCUCUUUCUCGUUAAUGUCCACUCAUUUACAACAUUUAAAUGGUCCGUAUACAUCCCCCACCACUCUUUCCCUCGGUACUCUCCCUUACUCUCACUUUCCCUCUUCGCUGGGUGGUAGCGGUGUUGCUCAGUUGGUAGUAUCACGCGAAGAAGAGAAGGGAGAGUUUCAGUGUUUCACAGAGAAGAAAAAGAACGCGAGGUUGCCGAGGACUCGAGUGUCGAACGAAGAAGACUGAGAAGAAGUUUUAUUAAAAAAAAAGGCUUAUUUUUAGCUACGCCCUCUGGAACUUCAUUUUGAUCUCACUUUGCCCACUGUAACUCAAAAGUCACCACUUUUCUUCCUGAAACUCAAAAUUCGUUUCACUUUGACUUGUAGAAUCUCUCAUCUAUGAAACUUAUAGGUCGCCUCCUGAAACACAUGUGGGACCCAAGACUCUAUAUGACAAUGCCACAUGCAAUAAAUUUGAUUAUAAAUCUCCAUUAUGCGUUAACAUUCGACAAUAAAAGAAUAUUAAGGUUAAAGAGAUUGAAGAGAUGAAAAAAAAUAAAAAAAUAAAUUGAUUAGCCUAGCGCAACCAAAUUAAACUCACAUAAGAAAUUAACAGAUCUAAGGCUAUGUGGAGUGAAUUUGAGUUUUAUAGAGACAACUUUCAAGUUUUAGGAGCCAAAAUGGUGUUAAAAUCGAGUUUUAGGGGGCAAAGUGGAGCGACCUAUGAGUUUCAGGAAGUAAAGUUGUGACUUAUAAGUUACAAAGAGCAAAGUGAGAUCAAAAUGAAGUUUUAAAAGGCAUAGCUAAAUAUCAGCCUAAAAAAAAUUGCCCAAGACACCCUAUGGCACACCUCAACCACGUCUAGGCAAGUUUUCGGCAACUCCCACUCGGGUGUGUUUGUAACUAAUUAGACUAAACUCAUUCGUACAUGGAAAUCACUCAUCGAAACACAACAUAAAUGAUUUCACUUGCAUGGAACAAUGUAAUAAGCUAAACGUGUUUACAAGAAAGCAUUACUCAUAAAAUUGAGGUUAAUGGCCAGUUCAUAAAUGCUUAUCCUUACCUUUUUGCGUUGGUAAUUGAUGAGUUAACAUGACAUAUUCAAGAUGAUAUUCCUUAGUGUAUGCUUUUCGCAGACGAUAUAGUGUUGAUAGAUGAAACUCAGAAAGGGAUAAAUGUGAAGCUUAACCUUUGGAGAGAAGUGUUGUUUUUAAAGGUCUUCGCCUAAGCCGAUCAAAGAUAGAAUAUAUGGAGUGCAAGUUCAGUGCAAAUGGAGGCCAAAAUGAGUUAGGGGUGAGGAUCGGAGAUCAGGAAAUACCAAAGAGCGACUGCUUUCGCUAUCUAGGAUCUAUCUUGCAAAAGAACGGAGAAUUAGAUGGAGGUCUCAACCAUAGAAUACAAGCUGGAUGGAUGAAGUGGAAGAGUGCAUCUGGCGUGUUGUGUGACGCCGUGUGCCACUGAAGCUCAAGGGAAAAUUUUAUAGGACGGCAAGAAGGCUGGCGAUGCUGUAUGGCACAUAAUGUUGGGCGGUGAAGCAUUAACACGUACACAAAAUGGGUGUAGCGGAGAUGAGGAUGCUUCGUUGUAUGUGUGGGCACACGAGAAAGUAUAAGAUUAGGAAUGAGGAUAUCCGAGGUAAAGUAGGAGUAGCCGAAAUUGUAGGAAAGCUGAGAGAAAAUUGGUUAUAGUGGUUUGGACAUGUGCAAAGAAGGCCUACUGACGCUCCGGUUAGAAGAUGCGACUACGGGAUAGAGGUUCAGGGCAGAAGGGAUAGAGGAAGACCUAGGAAAACUUUGGAAGAGACUCUAAGAAAAGACUUAGAGUACUUGGAUCUAACGGAGGACAUGACACAGGACCGAGCACAAUGGCGUUCUAAGAUUCAUAUAGUCGACCCCACUCAGUGACUUGGAUUUUUCAAGUCUCCAACCGAGAUGUUUUCCUCACUCGAGAAAUUAAGGGAACACUACCUCAAUCUACAUGCUUCACUCAUAAAGCUUCAACAUACUAGCUUCAACAAAAGAAAAAUUCAAAGAACUUAGUGAAGAAGGCUUUAGUGUAUUUAACACAAUACGUUGAAAUGAAGCAAAACUUAUUUAUUGAUAUCUCCGAUAAGUUACAAAUAUGUACAUAUACAUGAGUCAAAAUAAACAAACAAGAAGGGGCCUUCACAAAGGUUGCUUAAGAGAAGUCUCAGCAGUCGGUAGAGCCCUAGAAAGAGAAGGCACCGGAGGGUGAUCACUCGGAGCCUCAGUACUGGACAGAACCCUAGAAGGAAGAGACAUCAGAGGCUGAUCAUUUGGAGCUUCAUUACGAGGUACAGCCCCAGAAGACGAAGGCAAUAAAUGCCUUUGGAACAAACCCACAAACCUCUGAUGAUCAAGUAAAAUCUGACCUUAAGAUUCCUUCAUCUGGUCAAGCUUCCUCUUCAUGUUUGUAGCAUAGUCAUGUGCGAGCCUGUGCAACUGUUUAUUCUCAUGCUUGAGCCCUAUAAUCUCCUGCUUGAGACUCAUCACUUCAGCCACCAAUGAUUCAACUUGGCGGGUUCGAGCAAAUAGGCGUUGGGCCAUAUUCAACACAGAACCUGCACAUUGAACAUUGACAGCCAAAGAAUCCUUAACAGCCAACUCAUUAGACCGUUUAGAAAGAAAUCUGUUAUCUUUGGGAGUGAGAAUGUUCCUUGCCACCACCGCAGCGGUUAUAUUAUUCUUCAUCACGGAAUCCCCAACGGUAAGAGGACCAGUAAGGGAUAAGAAGGAUGGGCGCCAUAUGUUGUCUGGAGAAGGCGCGGUUGCCUCUUCACCAAGGUUCAAGUCAAAACGAUGGUCGGAAGGGCCAGACAUUUUCAAAGGUGUUGAAGAGAGAAGAGGUCAGACAAAUUAAGAUCUUAAAAGUGCAAGAAUGGAGCUUCUACUGGUGGAGAUUCAAGUGUGCUUUGGAACUUAAUGCCAGCCUCUAUAAAAAUCUGCACUCGAUGGAGCUUCAGAAAUCGAAGAGGUGCUUGCUCAGAAAUAAAAGAGGCAUUUGCUUUCUCAAAAGCUGGGCUGCUCAGAGACCACGAGGGCCGAUCUCAGAGAUCGAAGAGGCAUUUGCUUUCUCAAAAGUUGGGUUGCUCAAAGACCAUGAGGGCCGAUCUCAAAAAUCGGAGAGGCGCUUGCUUUAUCAAAAGCUGGGCUGCUCAGAGACCACGAGGGCCGAUCUCAGAAAUCGAAGAGGCACCUGCUUUCUCAGCUUUGUCAGCAUCUGUCACAUGCACACUCAACUUUGCGGAAAUUACGGGCAAUCUGUCGAAGAUUUCUGGUGAAGUAGAAAGCACGUGAAUCUUACUGUUCAAUCAUCCACUUUCCACACGCAACAUCAGCUCAUGGGUACCAUAGAUAACUUUGCCAAAGAUCUCUGACAAAGUUUAGACACGUGAAGCUUGCAGCUCCCACUACAUUGCUAUGACUAAGAAGGGUAAAAGAUUAGCACAGAAACAACACUAACAAAGUUUAGACACAUAAAUUUUGAAGGUUUAGCUACCAUAUUAUUACCCACAAGGAUAAAGGAACAGCACCACUACUGGAUAAUUGGAAAGUCCCUGUGUGUCAACCUCUGUGCUCCGUGGCAAGGUAGACUAGCAAAAAUGCCCAACCUUUACUCACAUUCGAGAAAACACUCCCAACAAGAUUGCUUGCUUCAAAAUCAAAGAGGCACCGUCCUCCGAAUCUCGAGAGCCAGACUCCCACCAACAAUACUUUCUCAAAAAUCGAAGAGACAUCGCUCUCUGAAUUUCAAGAGCCAGACUCCCAGCAAGAUUGCUUUCUCAAAAAUCGAAGAGGCACCGUUCUCCGAAUCUCGAGAGCCAGAUCCCCGACAGGAUCGCUUGUUCGAAAACCGAAGAGGCAUGUCUUUCUCAACUUCGAGAGCCAGAUCUCCUUGGAUAAAGCUUGUCUGUAAUCUUCACACGCAACAUCAGCUUUCCAGAUACCACAAACCAUUUUUUCAAAGUGCUCUGACAGAGUUAAAACACGUGAAGUUGGCAGCUCCCACUACAGUGCUAUGACCAAGAAGGGUAAAGGAAUAACAUUACUACUUGUUAUUAGGGAGACUCCUAUAUAUGUCGACCUCUAUCCUCAACGGACAGGCAGACCUGCAAAAAUGCUCAACCCUUCCUUAUAUCUGAGAGGGCACUCCCAACGAAGCAUCUCGAAAUACUCAGCUUUCUUUCCCCCCGAUAAUACCUCUGCAAACAAGCUACACUAGAGCAAGAAUAUCUCAUAUCAUCAGGGUUAAAAGCAAGAGUAUCCCAUAUCAUGCUUUUUCCCUGUCUUUUCAUUUGGCCUUGUUCUUACCUGCAAGACAAGGAGAAAUAGAGCAAUCAGUCAACACUUGGAAUCAAGCUUCCAGUUAGGAACUGACUGCCUGGAACCCCUUACCUGAUUACUUACCUGGCAUUGCUCUCGAGUACUCAUCUUCAACAUCUUAUACUUCCAGAGAAAAUACCACAUCUGCCUGAGGAACAGAUAAGGCAAGUGAGAAGGAUACAAAGAAGCAUGUGGAGACAAGCGUAACAGAACACGUGCCGAUACUUCCACUACUUUGUCAAUGGCAAAAGUAUCCCAUAUCAGCAGGGUCGAACGUACACUAGAUUUGAUGGACUUGUUUUGACCCUCAAAUUCUUUAGUCGGCCUUAUACUCUAGAGGUAACCAGAAAACCCUCUAGCCUAGUUCAAGAAUAAGCAUGUGGAAAGUUACUUCUUCAAAAGUAAAAGUAUCUCAUAUCAUCUCUUCUCAUUUUCUUCUCUUUAUCCUUCAUAUUGCCUGCAAGAUAAGGAGAAUGAGAACAAUCAGUCGGAACUCGAAAUCAAACUUCUGAUAUGGGACUGAUUGCUUGGAGCUCUGAUUGCUUACCUUGUAUGUCACCUCUUUUAGCAGAUCCCCUAACUCGGUGACUUAGGGGACUCCUACUACAUGGUUUGUAUCGCGCUUGACCAAGCCUGAAACUACAAGUAAGCUUCAAGUGAAAUUGAUACAUUACCUUGUGCAUCUCCACUAGUUAAAGAUACCACCCCUGGACGGAGGAAGAGUACUUCCAGAGAAGAUGCCACAUCUACCUAUGAGACAGAUAAGGCAAGUGAAGACGAUACCACACUUUGGUACUUAGAAGUUUCGUGAUUACUCAGCGGCUUGGAUCUUGCAAGUCCCCAACCGAGGAGCUUCCCCUCCAACCAAGAGGCCAAUCACAGAGCGACACGUGUCGACAUCAAAAGCCAAUCAUAGCGCAACACGUGUCAACAUCGGAAGCCAAUCACAACACGACACGUGUCAAUGCCAGAACAAGGCUAGAAACUCUCUUCUAUAAAAGAAGAUCAUUCUCCCAAAAUAUUUCCUAAUGCCAUUUGUACUAAAUCAUUCACUUGUACCCACUAAAAGAGAGCUUGAACCUAUGUACUUAUGUAAACCCUUCACAAUUAAUGAUAACUCCUCUACUCCGUGGAUGUAGCCAAUCUGGAUGAACCACGUACAUCUUGUGUUUGCUCUCCUGUCUCUAUCCUUUUACAUACUUAUCCAUACUAAUGACCGGAGCAAUCUAGCGAAGGUCACAAACUUAAUACUUUCUGUUGUACCAAAGUCAUCACUGAUUUUGUGCAUCAACAAUCCUUAAGUCCUUACCUUUUUGCAUUGGUAAUGGAUGAGUUAACAUGACAUAUUCAAGAUGUUAUUCCUUGUUGUAUGCUUUUCGCAGACGAUAUAGGGUUGAUAGAUGAAACUCAGGAAGGGGUAAAUGCGAAGCUUAACAUUUGGAGAGAAGUGUUGGAAUCUAAAGGUUUUCGCCUAAGCCGAUCAAAGACAGAAUAUAUGGAAUACAAGCGGGAUGGAUGAAGUGGAAGAGUGCAUCUGGCGUGUUGUGUGACCGUCGUAUGCCACUGAAGCUCAAGGGAAAAUUUUAUAGGACAUCAAUAAGGUCGGCGAUGCUAUAUGGCAUAGAAUGUUGGGCGGUGAAACAUUAACACGUACACAAAAUGGGUGUAGCGGAGAUGAGGAUGCUUCGUUGGAGGUGUGGGCUCACGAGAAAGGAUAAGAUUAGGAAUGAGUGGGUUGGACAUGUGCAAAGAAGGCCUACUGACACUUCAGUUCGAAGAUGUGACUACGGGACAGAGGUUCAGGGCCGAAGGGGUAGAGGAAGACCUAGGAAAACUUUGGAAGAGACCCUAAGAAAAGACUUAGAGUACUUGGAUCUAACGGAGGAUAUGACACAAAACUGAGCGCAAUGGCGUUCUAAGAUUCACAUAGCCGACCCCACUUAGUGGGAAAAGGCUUUGUUGUUGUUGUUGUAUUGUCCUUUUGGAUCCCAACAAGUUGAUAUAUUUUCUAUACUUGUAUUUACUCGGCCCCCAACCUUACAAUUCUAGCUCCUGAGUCCACGGUUUUGCAAGCUAAAGAGAUAUAGCCACUCUUUCGCAUUUACUGUCACCAAGAUAAAAGGACUCAUCAGUUUUACCAAAAACCGUCAGACUAGGUGUGCUAGAAUCUAUGCCUAAUUUCAGUUCAAGCUAUCAAGAUGUGAGCUGAGUCAACGAUUACAUUAUGCUCUAAUAUUUUUCUAACCUAUAUACCUACCUCUCUCCUUCUUAUUGGGGACGGUCAAAUAUAUAAGGAGAAAUUAAGCAGGGAGGGGCCAAUUAUGUCUAUAUGACAGAUUUUAUUUGGUCUACUACACAUUAUUCUUUAAAGUUUAAAAGUUUCUGCUGAAUAUAUGCCAACAAUUAUCUUAAAUUUGACAUUUUAAUGUUUAGUCUCGAAAAAUAGAAGAGUUGGCCAAAUUACCGCUUGUAAAUUGUCUUAAUUGGAAUAGUUCAUUCGAUUGUCGUUUCCUGUCGGAAUACAUUAUUAUAAGACUCUCAACCUAAUGUAUACAUGCCUUGUGUUUCCUAUGCUUAUCAAGUUGUAGGGUAUGAAACCAAAUUGUAAACAACAUUUGUAUACGUUCAUGACUGGCAUGGUGAACUCUUCUAUUUCCAGUAUUAGAAAUAACACAUACUGUUAACGUGCACAGUACUAUAAUGUAACGAAUGUAAUCCCCCUAAUGAAGCCUUAGCGAUUGCACUAGAUUACAACUGAAAAUGUUGAACUGGAUAUGUGGUUUUUCGUAGUGAGUGGUGCUGGCAGAGAAAGAAAUACGUAGGUUGCUGCAUAGUUGGAGAACUCUGCGAGUCUAGCUAGUUUCCAACAUAUGAAAGGUUGUUCUCUAGAGCAAGUUUAUAUUGGCCGAUUGUUCAAGCUAGGGGCUUCUUUCUUAAUUCCCGACGAUAUGUAUCAAAAUCUAUAUAUAACAAAAGUUUGGGCUUUGGUGAUCAUUCUUGAUUUCGCUUUUCAACAAUUCAUCUACUUUUAUGAAUCUGAUGUAUUCUUGGACAACUAUGUAUGAUGUGCGCUUAUUUUAUAUUUAUAAGCUUCAUUGGCUUGUCAUUCUGAAAGAUUUCAUUUUUGUGAAGCAUGGUGAGGAUUCUGGAUCGAUACGACCAAUAUUCCUAUGCAGAACGGCAACGCACCGGAGCUGAUUCUGAAUCACAGGUAUUUAAUAUCCUAGACCUAGUACUAAGAAUAUGUAGUAAAAGAUGAAAAGUUGCAUCAAUUAGGUUUCUUUCUUGUAUAUAUGUUUUUAGACUUGAGAAUUGGUUACAAAUUGAGGUCAUUUUUCUCCUCUCAUGUUUUGCAUCCGAUUUAUGCAUGCGUGUCCUUCAAUACAAUACUGAUCCGCAAGAGAUUGAUUUAGGGUUGUUAACUGAUUGCAAAACCUACCUUUCUAAUAAGGUUGGAUUAGGUUAAGCCAUUAAAGAUCCUGCAGAAUCCCUAGUUUUCUGGUAAUUAUAUUUUUCAUUUUAUAUGCACCUCAUUAUUUUUUAGAUAGUACCGUACAAAAGCAACUGUGCAUAAUGUACCCUCGUUAAAACCUUGUCGGGGAUUUGAACCCUCUCAAAGAAAUAAUGUCAGGAGCCUCCUAAGUCCUAACCAAUAUUUGUAAUGCUUGCCCAUGGAGAUGUUCUUGCAUUUGAAAAACCGUGUAAUAAUUUCUGAAUCUUAGAUUGCGUUGAUAAAGCUUGUAUGCUUCUUAUAGGAAAACUGGCCGGUGGAAUACCCCAAGCUUGCGGCAAGGAUUGAAGUCUUACAAAGGAAACUAAGGUAAAUUAUUUAAGCUAUUGUUAUUUAAUUCAAGAAUUUUAUUCAGACAGGAAACGCUAUUGAGAAAAUCUAAUCAAAUAAAUGUUGUGCGAGUGAGAGUGAUAUAGUAAUUCCUAGAUGCAUGUGGUCUAAUAUAUUCUAGUGGAUAGGGUGUUGGGUUCCUACCCAUGCAUCCGAAGUUCGAAACUUCCCUCCCCCCUAAACUGUUGUAAUAGUAUCCCUCGCCUUAAUAAUAGUAAUUUAAUAUAUAUAUAUAUAUUAUAUAGUAUUGAUAUAUUUAUGAAGAAAUUGUUUUGAGAAAAUGUUUUCAUAGGUUGUAUUUAACGUCUAUUUCUCUAGGAAUUUGGUGGGAGAAGAUUUAGACCCCUUAAGCUUGAGAGAGCUUCAAGAUUUGGAGCAACAGCUUGAUACAGCUCUUAAGCGCAUACGAACAAGAAAGGUAAUGAAGUUACUUAACUCAAUUAAAAUAACUCUCAAAUUAAUCAUAUCUGUCAUGGAUUAGGUAAGCUACCUUGGCAUCUAAUUAAUAUAAAUUAAUUUAUACUUAUUCCAUAUAUAAUUCUGACAUUUGCAGAACCAACUCGUGCAUGAAUCCAUUUCAGAGAUGGACAAGAAGGUAGAAUGUUGUUCCAAUAUGCAUGUGUUUGUACGUGUGCGAGGACAUUAACUAAUCGUUGUAUGUUUCUGGGUUAAUUAGCUUAAUUGUUACCUUAACUAUAAGUAUACCUUCACUCGGGUGGGCUUAGCAUCAAACUUUAGGUAUGUUUAAUGGGAUUAACAUCAUAUUCAAAUAUGAAAUGAAACUGGUGUUUAUGCAUGCGCAUAUAUGCGUGUCUGUAUAUCUCACAUUGUGACUUGUUCCAGCGAAAGGCUCUACGGGAACUAAACAAGUCGCUAGCAAAGAAGGUAAUUAAAAAUUUAAAAGCGUUCUUAUAUAUAUAUAUGUUUUAUUUAUGAGAAAUAUUUUUUUAGAAUAUUAAUAAAAUUAAAUCUUGGAUAUAACAACAUAUAUAUAAUUGAUCCAAGGUGAAGGAGAAUAAAACGAUGCUUGAGGAAGAACAUGACCAGGUGCAGUUAGUAGGGCAGCAGCAAACUAACCAAGGCCGCCACAACUCAUCCACCCUCAUGCUCAUGCCGCCGCCGCCCCAACCCCCAUCAACACCAACACUACCUACUUUUCGAACCACCAGGUACGAUCUCUCUCUCUCUCUCUCUCUCUCAGAGCGAUGUUUCCAAUGAUCAUAUUAUUUUAGAACUAUAAAAAGUACAAGAACCGGAAACACAUUAGGGUUGCGUGGAAAAGCUAAUUAUAUGUAUGUAGAAAAUCAUGCAGUGGGGGAGUCCAGGCAAGAGGAGCAGUGGAUGACAAUGAUUCUGAUAAAGGCGGAAGACCUCCACCUCGACCGGCUGCUGCUACAAACACACGCAUGCCACUGUGGAUGCUUUCGCCAUUUGAAUGAAAUAUAAGCUUCGCCGGAAGACGACCACCUCGACCGGCGGAAUACCUUCUAAUGCUUUCGCCAUUUGAAUGAAAUAUAAGCUUUCGCCAUUUGAAUAAAAUAUAAGCUUUGCUAUUGUAAUUAAAGAAUAAUAUUAAAAACAAUGUUUCUUCAAACUUGUAAUUAAUAUUCUAAUCGUCUUGAAAGAAAUUUUGGGGUUCACAUGAGUGAUCAGUGGCUGAUCCAGGAAAAAUAUUUCAGGGGUCACAUGUAAAAGUUUACAAACAAAUUUUAGACAUAUAAUAACUUUAAAAAUUGAAUCAUAGUUCCAGCAUUCAUAACUUAUAGAACAAAUAACAAUACAAGUUACAAUAGUCUUCGACGCGUUUUCAUAUUUUGAAAAUGUUGCAUUAUAGCUUCAUUGUCAAUGAAAGAAAAAACAUUGCUCUCAACCAAGGAAUAAAAUAUCGGUAAUAUCGGAAAUAUCGGUAGUCCGAAAACACGGAAAUAUCAAUGGAAAUAUCGGGAUAAUAUCGAUAUCGAUAAAAAUUACAUGGGAACCACGGAAAUUGUAAGAAAAACUUGGAAAUUUUUAUUGAAACUUUGCAGGAUGUUUAUUUAGUCAAUUAUCUAUUAGUUUAUCACAAAAAAUUGGAAGGAAAUGCAUUGCAUGAUGGAUUUAACAUUAUCAAGUUGAUUAUAUAGCGAGCUGACAAACAUUGUGAAUGUAGAAAAUAUGUAGUAAUUAAUGAAAGAAGUUUAAACACACCAAUUGGGGCUUAUUGCGGCAAGUUUUUUAGAUAUGACCUCGCAUCAAGUCGUCUUUUAUGUUAAUUUGUAAUCUUAACUGGUUUUGUUGUGUUGUGUCAAUUAGUUAAAUUAAGCUGUACAUCCAAUUGGGGCUUAUAAACAUUUUAAUUCUCCUUAAAAAUCUAAGGGCAUUUAAUCAGGAUUUUAAGUUAUUCUUUAAAGUUUAAGGGGUAUUCGAUCAUGAUUUUUAAGAAAUUCAUACAUUCCAAAUGUAUUCAUUUCGAAAUUGAUUCGAAGAGAUUUUUAAAAAGUUGGGAAACUCGAAAAAAAUAGAAAUAUUUUACAUAAUAUUUUAAACAUUCUCAAAUCGCUCCCUGAAAAUUUGAGAGAAUUCACUUAAAAUUUUACAUAAAAGUUUUAAAAUUUAUUAAACUUCAUCAAAAUUCAUAAAUUUUUAAAUCUAUUAUAAUCCUUUAAAAUCUGAAUGGAGUAAAAAAUUCAAAUCUAAACCUAAUAUGAAACAAUCACUAAAUUACAUAGAAUUUCUAAACCAAAUCUAACAAGGAUAAAUUACAAUUCUAAUACGAUGUUGUAAUUACUUGGAGUUUUUUAGGGCAAUAUGUAACACCCACCCCCAUUUAUAAAGAUAUAUUUGUGUAAUUAUCCCCUAAACAUUUUAAUAUAUCAAAUUGGUCCUCUUUGACUACCAAUCAGGAUCCAAAACAUUGGAUCCCUUUCUUUCUGAAGUGGCCAUGUGGCAGCCCCCCCUCCACUCUUCUCUUUUCUCUCUCUGUUCCCCCGUGACUCCCUUCUUCUUUUCUUCUUCUUUCUGUUUUCUUUUCUUUUUCUUCUGUCUCCCUCUCGGCUCUCUCUCAUAUCUCCCUCAUCUCUCUUCUCUGCACCGCACCACGCACCCAUCUCCCUGCGCGAGGAACAUCACCAUCACCAUCUCGUCCGUCGUCCCCAUCGGCGCUCUUUACUCCCUCUCCCUCUGGCUCUCCAACUCCGCCUACAUCUUCCUCUCCGUCUCCUUCAUCCAGAUGCUCCAAGCCCUCAUGCCCGUCGCCGUCUACUCCAUCGGCGUCGCCGUCUACUCCAUCGGCAUCGCCGUCUACUCCAUCGGCGUCAGCGUCGCCUUUCAAGCAAUGUCGUGAUAAUAUCGCUAAUAUCGCGAUAUUUUCGAUAUUUUUUUACGAAAACCUAUUGGAUGUGUGUGGAAAUAUCGGACUCCGAAAAAAACGAUAAUAUCGGCGAAAUAUCGCCGAUAUUAUCGAUUUUUUAUACCAUGCUCUCAAUAUAAACCACUAUGCUAUCACUCAACCAUUGAUCUUCCAUUCUGUUACGCAAUGGAAUCUUCACAAUAUUCAUAGCGGAAAAAACUCUCUCCACUGAAGCAGUAGCAACUAGUAGAACCAAAGCCAAUGUAAUUAGCAAAUACACAUGAUUAUAUACUCUAUUCCUUCCAGUCUCCACCAUUUUUUUUUUUGCAAGGCUACCAAUUCCUUUCAAUUGAAAAAAUUCACUAUUUGAGAGCAUAUAAAAAAUAUAAUGCCCAAGUUGAUCUUCAAGUGCCAAGAGUUGCAAGUAGUAAAUUCAUUCGGAUAAAAUGAGCAAAACAAAUUAGCUUUUGUUCAUCAAAAGUCGAGAAUGAAUCAUUCGGGCUCAAACUUGCUAAACAAAGAAACAACUCUAUAUUUACCUCAUCAAGCGACUAUUUAAUUUCACAAGUUGCUUAUCAACGAUAGCAACAAAGAGCUCCACAUGAUAAUGAUGGAAGUUUGUGAUUCUUUGAGCUCUACGCUGUGAUCUCCCUAGAGUAACAUAUCCAUCAUCCAAGCGUUUAUUUUUUUGGCUCUUGGCGUUUAUUUUUUUUAUUAAACUAAGGGUCCGAAACUAUGUGUUUUAACAAAGUAAUAUUUAUUAAAUAAUAAUAAUAAUAAUAAGAGCCACUCUUACAGUUGGAGGGCAUGUAUGAACCCAACUCCAAUCUUUAAAGAGGCACCACCCAAGUUAUCUAUGAACAUUCACCGAAGUUCAGAGGAUCAUCACUCAAGUUAUCUCUGGACAUUCACUGAAGUUCGUGGGGUCAGCUGACCCCUACCUCUCAAUGCAUCCGCCUCUGUAAGUGAAGAAUUAUGCAAAGUCCCGCGUCAAAAACCUAACAAUUAUAUUUUGACCUGAGCAUAACUGUUGUUUGUCUCUUUGAAUUAUUACUCCAGUUGAAAGUAAAUUCGAACUAUUUUUUUGGUAAAUUAAUCUUUAGGACUUUUUAAAAUCAGCCAAUUAACCCCACUGUUAAACCCGAUGAAAUUUUGUCUACUUUGCUGUCAAAUACUAGCACAACUUGACCCUCAAAAGUGAAUCACAAGCUAGUAUUUGACAGCAAAGUAUAUGAACUUUCAUCAAAAUUGACGGGGUUAAUUGACUAAUUUCAAAUAGUUUAGGAGGUUAAUUUAUCAAAAAAAUAGUUUGGGGAAUCAAUUUCAACUGGAGUAAAUAGUUCAGGGCUCGAACGACAGUUUAGCUUAUAUUGAGAAGUCAUCAGAUUUGGUCGAGAAUCAAGUCUUUCAUUUUUAUACACAUAUUGAAUAAUUACAUAAACAAGUCCGACAUCUCAAUGUGAAUGUUUUGAAUACAACCGUGUACUUGACUUAAUUGUGGUUACAAAUGAUAUUAGUUUGACAUAUAUACAUGGGUUUAACCCCUUCAUAAUCUGAUUACAACUUCUUCCAUACAGUGAUUAAAUUGAAUUAAUGGAUGUCAAUUUUAAAUCUAAUCCAAUCGUUUCUUCACAUCGAAUAACUGCUGGUCUAAUCGUCUUCGUGUUCACAGUCGCCACUCUCAUUCACAUGCUGCCUGCACGAAAUAGAAACUCACAUUGGUAUCCUCAUCAAAGAUACACAUAACGAAUAAGUGAAAAGAAGCACAUCGCAACCAACGGUGCAAAGCUCCGAGAGCAUUACCAGUUCAUGGAAUAUUAUGUGAUCAACAAAUAACACUCUUGAGGAGGAAAUGUGCACCUCUAUGAACUAGUGAACUCUUUCAGGGUAGUUCAUUUAUCAAAAGGAACUUUGUAUGUAAAAGAAGCAAAAGCUACACUUUUUCUGUUUGUAACAAUAGUUUAGAUCCGAUUCCAAUCUUGUCCCUGUAAUUCUAAUUUGAAUUACCCUUAUUUACUAACAUUUUCAAUGUGAUUCAUAUUUAAAUUUCUAUGAGAUUUACUUUCUCUCAACAAAAAAAAGUUCUAUGAGAUUUAUCCUGAUUUUACCAAGGCGGAUAAAUGAUCAUUAUGUAAUUGUGGAAUAAGGACAUGGACGAAGCGCAAAUUUGUUCACCUUUUGACGUAGUGAAAAGAAAUCCAUACCUCAAUCUUUCACAAAGCCGUGCUAAAGCAUCUGAACCUGUUCUAGACGCAAUGUCCUCAAUCGUAGAAGCAUUCUUUAGAUUAACACUAUCUGCAAGCCUAAAUUCACACAAUUCCUUCAAGGUACAUGCAUCAGUCAACACGGCUGAAUGGCCACCACCAGCUGCAAGUUUUCGCACUUCCCCAACGCACCUGUGCGAUGCAAACUUCAAUCAGUGUGCCAAUCAAGAUAGCCACAAAAAAAACUGAUCGUGAACAAUUUAUCUGUACCGUACCAAUCAACUGGAGAUGGAUACCAAGCGUAAGUCAGUUUCUCAUUAGAUGCUUGACCAUAGCUAUUGUAGCCCCAUCCAUGAAUUCUUCCAUCCCUUGUAGAGAUAAGUGUGUGGGAGUGUCCACACGCAAUGAGUUGCACACUAGUUGGAAUAACCAACGCAGGAAUAUUCCGGAAAAAUGACUGAGAUUCAUUAGGGUUGCAUGAAAAUAAUCCCGUUUCAGGGCCAAGGCCUAACUGCCCUGCACGACCACCACCCCAAGCAUAAAGAGCUCCCUUCUGAGUCACAGCACAUGUAUGUACGCCACCGCAUGCAACGUCCUUUACGACUAUUCCAUCAAGUGCGACCACUCUCCUCGGCAAUAACUCUUUCUCCCCAGAUUGAAGGGAACAAUGCCCAAGUUGACCCAUGUUUCCUAGCCCCCAAGUAUACCUAUGAGGGCCAAAUAAAAGUAUUGUGAGGAAGAAUUCCGAAAAGAAACUACAGGUAAACAAACAAAUGAAUAAACAUUGUAGUACAAUAAUAACCGACUCGUUGGGAAGACUACAUAACAGAUCAAGAGUAUACGAGUAUAACUGGCAUGUCACUUCUUCAUAACACAUCAAUAUCAGAUAACCUCUUUAUCUAGAACCUUGGUUAGUAAAAUAACUGAGACCAAAGCAUUUCUCAUAAAAAAUGGCUGGCCUGUCAUAAGCCCGGUUCCUUCACGAACGAAGUUCAGAAUCAACAAGGGUUCGAUAUGAAUAAAAAAUCACAGAUUAAAAACAAAUAUAAAUUCCGAGAAUGCAUAGUCGCAUAAAAUGCGUCCAGUAUUCUAGGCAUCCUGUCUCCUUUUAAAUGUGAGAUUCCCAUACGAAGAUUUUCGCAAACCUUCUGAACUAAAUGUGCCAUGGGGAUAACCACAAUACUUAAGCUUAGAUGUAUAACCUAAUCUCCAUCUAAGAAUUCCUCAAAUCACUUACACCUCGCCUUUUUCAGAUAUAGCUGCCGUGUGGUACUCCCCGCAUGACACUUGGGUAAUCUUCACAAGCUCAGGGGCUUCAUCUAGGAACUUCGCGUAUGCAUUUAUUAUACGAGCCCCCUGUAAUCCUUCACAUGUAAAUCCUCUGCCAAGUUGACCGUAUUCAUUAUAUCCUGGUGUAUCAUCACAGUAUUAAAUUUUGAUUAAUUAGAGGUGGGAGAAGAUGAAUUUAAGGUUUCUUUCAUUUUCAAUGGGAUAUGACAUCAUCAGAAACUAAGAAAUGGAAUAUGCAUUUACCCCAAGCUUGUAGCAAGCCAUCCUCUGAUAAAGCCAUCGCAUGAACUGCCCCACAAGACACUUGACGGAUAAUCUGUGAGAAACCUUCUAGUAAGUUGCAGGUAUUAAGUUUGAUAACCAUUCACUCUACCCUUAUAAAAGCAUUUCACUAUAUAGUGAUCCUUUUCUGAAGCAUUCGAUACGACAGGUGUUCAUCUCUAUCUUCUCGUAGGUUUUGGAGUUGUGACCUAAGACUAGUUUUCGAACUUUUUUUAUGCAUUUCCUGCAGUGACAGUAAACCCUAGCAGUUGUUCAUCAACCAACCCGGGUGAUGAUACUAAUCAAGGUUAUUAAAAUUACCACCCCAACUUUUUCUUAACAGAACCAAUUUACCUGAUAAAAGAAAAUGAUUUUACCCACAACUGAAAGCUGAUGAGCUCAUACCGAGUCAUUUGAAAUCGUAAUUCUGAGACCGAACAAUUCCAACCUAUAAGGAAAAGCAUAAUGAAUAGGAAGUGUAGCAUACCGUGUUUGGAGUAAAGGCUCCCCAAAACAAACGUGGAAGAUUCGAUCCCUGUCAUGAGAAGUAGGGGAAAGGUAAACAAAUUAUUAUCUGCCAAAGAGGAAUGAAAGCAGGGAUGACGCUACAGAAAAUCAUAGUAGGACCUGAUUCUGCCCCCACACCCAAAGCCUUCUUGUUGAGACGGUUCCAUCAUUUUCACGAGGUUCUGCAAUGGCAGCGGUACAAUGUGCUCCACAAGACACAGAUUUCACAAACUCUGCCUGUAAUUGCUUCACUUUCUUCGGAUUUUUUCUUCGCUCCUCCGUUCCAUCUCCCAAUUGACCAAAAUCAUUAGCCCCUGAUCAAUUGCAAACACAAUACAUAUUUACUCCAUUAACUAUCACAAACAUACGACUUGUCUCCAUCAUUGUAAUCAACCAUUUCCAAACCGAGAAAUGGCGGUUUAAGAUGGGAAAUCGUUCGUUCCCACAAUGCCAUUGAUUGAACUCAUAACUGAAAUAUUAUCAUCACAGAGCCAUACAGAUGAAUCAUAACCCGGGUAAAAAAACAACCGUCUGAUUUUAUUCACCAAAAGUCAUCAAAUUUACUUUCAUUUUUUUUCAGAAAGAUCAAUUUUACUUCAUCAACCACCACAAAUCAACCAUUUAUCAUUACUCAUAAUUUGCAAUUUGAUUAAAUUCAAAAAUGGAAGAAUUGAAAUUUAUAAAAAUUAACAGAAAUAUUAAAAAAAAAAAAAAAAAAAAAAAAAGAAGAUGAAAGCUUAAUUACCCCAAGUGAAAAGCGACCCGUCUGAGGUAACAGCGGCGGUGUGCUCGCGGCCGCAAGUAAUGUCCAGCCACCGCGAAUUAGCCCCCGCCGUACACCCAAAAAGCUCCGGCGAGAGCUGCUUCGGGAUCCUCAGCUGCUGCUCCUUCCCGUUCCGACCCGUCUGCCCGGACUGGUUAUAUCCCCACACGUAUAUCGCACUCUUCGUCGGAAUGCUGACCGGCUGGUUGCGACCCAGAAGCUCAUCAAUGUCCAUUUUCAUAAAUGUCCUUCACAAAUUGAACCACAAAGUUGCAAACUUGCAAGUCAACGAAUUUGAAAAAAGUUAACAAAUUUGAAUCCAAUUAAAGGAGAAAGUUGGGAGCUUUACAAAAUGGGUGCUCUGUUUGGUUGGAUUUUCUCGGCAGCCAAGCAGAGGAGAGAGAGAGAGAGAGAGAGAGAGAGAGAGAGAGAGAGAGAGAGAGAGAGGGCGAGUGGUGGAGAUACCUGAGGAGUCAAAGUGGAAGAGGAAGAAAGAAGGGAGAAACUGAAAAAUGGUUGCCGUUGAUCAUCUGUGAAAUAUAAAGAGUUACAUGUUGUGUUCCGAGAAUCUGGGAGGUGAAGGCGGAGUCGGGUCGGGUCAGUAGUUGAGGCCCGCAUGCAUGACACGCACGCAGCUGUGUAGAACCAAUGAAAUUUUCUCACCACAAAAAUAUAUUUCAAUAAAUUUACAUUUGUGCCUGAACAAGAAAAUUUAAGAUUACUAUGAAAUUUUAAAAUGACAGAGAUAUAAAUGAUGGAAUUUUAUUUUCUAUGAUUUAUGAAUUUUCUUAUUUGGUUAACCUAAGAAUAAUGGAAUUUGAAUACAUAAUUCUUAUUUUUAAAUUCUCACUCGUAGAAACUUAGAAAUAACACAUAUUUACAUUGAAUUUAAACUUGAGAAUUGAAGGUCUCAAAUUCCAAAUUUUUUUCCACUCAAAAAUUCUGUAAUUCUAUGUUUAUAAAUACAAAUAAGGACAUUUGUGCAUGUCAACUUAUAAAUUUUGACUUUUGUCAAAAUUCCAAGUUUAUUUUCCUCAUCCAAGCAUAUUGUUAGUGAAGGUUAUGUAUUUUUUAUUGCAACUCUAAAAAUUUAAUUACACUCAAGAUUUUUUAAGUUGAGAAAUAAUACAGACCAAUGCACAAUGAUUUUUUUAUUACUAAUAACAACACACAUUUUUUUAGUUAAUAUUAUGUUUUACUGGUAUUCUUCUUCGUUUAUGAGUGAGUGAUCCUAAAUUCAAAUUUCAAAAUUCACAACUAAUUUAUUCUGUCCCACUUUAGUCUAAAUAAAUAUGUCUUUGUUUCAAUUUUUUUUAUUUUUUGUAUAAUUUAAGAACUAUUCGUCAAUUUGCGUCUGACCUUAUGAGGCACUACUAAUUACUCUUAUGAAUUUUUAUAACUAGCCAAUUUUUUUCUACUAUUAGAUUUUCAAAUUUUCAGUCUAACAUGUCGUCCCUUCUUGUCAUGUGUAGUCCACCUGAGAUGAACAAUUUAUAUGACACAAAUACAUCGUCACAUAAUGUCUCAUGCCAAUAAGAAAAACAAUACUUUUUUUUAAUAAACGAUUAUCUACACUAACGGGAAGGGGGUGGACUUAGCCUCAUAAUGGGCAAUCAAUAAUAUGUUCAAUUCACAUUUGAUGAGAAUCAAACCUAAGACAUCUCGCUUACAAUUGAAGAGGAAUACUACUAGACCGUAGUACUAAGUGGUAAGAAAAAACGAUACUUAAACAAACAAAUUACACAUAUUUUUAUUUGGAAUAGGAUCAUCUCCGGAUCCUCUUUGUGGGGAUCCGGAGAAUCAAUCAAUCGAAUCCGUUUAUCGUACAUCAUGCGGUUAGAAAUCAUUUUGAAUUUUGAAUUUAAAAUUGAAUAGAAAUAGUACUUAACGAAAACUGACUGCACGAUAUACGAUGAACGGACACGAUUGAUUGAUCCCCAGAGAUCAAUCAAUCGUGUUCGUUCAUUGUACAUCGUACGGUCAGAAAUCAUUUUAAAUACUUUUAUUUAAAAUUAAAUAUAAGUAAUACAUGACGAAAAUUGAUCGCGAGAUUAAUCAAUCGUGUCCGUUCAUCGUACAUCAUACGGUCAGAAAUCAUUUUAAAUACUUUUAUUUAAAAUUAAAUAUAAGUAAUACAUGACGAAAACUGACCGCAUGCUAUAAGAUGAACAGUCAUGAUUUGAGGAUUCCCAAUAUCCUCACAAAGAGGAUUCUCCUAGUUUCAUUAGGAUGACAUACCACCAUGUCAUAUAGUCCAUCAACCAGGAAAACUUUUGACUUUUGAGGGUAAAAAUAUCAUUACCUUUUAUGCACAGUAUUCUAAAAAUCAGCCUAGGCGGCCACCUAGGUGUUGGACGACGGCCAACCGCUGCGCUUAACUCCAAAUCGGCUACAAAAUUGGAGAGCACAUUAGGUGGGACUAGGUGGAGAUAUGCAAGUCUGGGCAGGACUAGACGGAGACUAAUUGGGCUUAUAUGAACAAGCUGGAAUUUGCAAUUUUUUCUGUUGUAGAGUUGGCUCUACGAAGAAGACGACUUUGUUCCAAACCUUACUUUGCACGAUUCAAUUAAGAUGGUCCCACCAUCUUUUAUCUAGGAAAAGGAUCUAUAGCUGCAGCCUGCACGUUUUCUUUGAAUGGUCCCCACCAUUUUUUUAAAAUGAACUUUAACAAAAAGCUUCAGGUACUGUUCACUUUAACGAAAAACCACAUUUUUACACUACAAAGUCAAUCUUGAUACUAUUCAUUUUGUCAUUUAUUUUAUCCUUAUCGUUAAAACUUAAAAUUUUUAAGCACUUUUCAUUAGUUUUCCUUUUUUUUUUUACUACUUUUUAUACCCUUUUCUUUUUCCACUCUUAACCCCGUUAUUACUUUUCAUUCUUUUUUAAUUUUUUUGUUGUAAUGUUUUAUUUUUUUUUUAAGAUCAUACCAUAUGUAUUUUUAUUAUGUACUUAAAAUGCUAAAGCUCUCGCUUAAAAAAAAACAUAUUAUUUAAUGUUUAAAUUUGAUUAUCUUAUAAUUCUAAAUAAAAUUAUGUAUAUUUUAGAUAUGAACAAACAUUUAUUUAUACGAUAUAUAAUAAAUUUACUUAAAUCUGUUGAAUAUGUGGUUUUAAAUUGUGAGCUUGUUGUACAUAUAUCAUCCUACAAUACUCCUCACUAUGGUUAUAUGACAUAUAUGCUUAAUGUGUUUUUAAAUUUUGGACUUGUUGGAUACUCUUUUUGCAUUUUAUCAUUAUUUUAUUAUUAUAUCUAUAAAUUUCAUAUAAUUAUAAUUUUUUGUAAGUAUCAAUAUGCACUUAUUUACAAGAUAUACUAGAAAUUUACCUAAAUCCUUAUAGGCCGCAUAGACCCUGCUCUAGCUGCCUAGGAGCUAGGCAUUAGGCGCUAACCCGUCGCCCGACUAGCACCUAUCAUUUUUUAGAAUCUUGUUUAUGCAUCGCUGAGGCAUUGGAUCGCGUCAAAAUGCCAUGCAAGUCCUCCACUUUUUUUUGAUCAAAUAUGCCACUCAAGAUUAUCUCUCAUUGACUUUUGCGUUGCGUGGGUAAUAGCCUGAAAAUAAAAAGAUGGAAAAGUCCGCAGUGCAUCUAUAAAGCCAGUACGUGCGAGUGCGAUUGCGAUUGCAUUCUCUUUCUCCAAAGACGCAAGCUCUUGAUAAAAUUACAGAAUUUACAGUCUUUACAGACAGACAGGUAACCUAAGUGCUUAGUAACUUUUAAUGAAGGCAUCAAAGCUUUCUACUUUACUAGAUUCAUUUGUUUCAUCAAUCGUUGUGUUCGAAUUUGUAUGGAUAUGUUGGUAGAUGUUGGUUGGCUUUUGAUGUCAAAAUUGCCCAAGGGAAUUGUUCUAACUGCCGUUAAUUUUGUGGUAGAAGUAGAUACAUGGCUGGUGUGAAAAAGCUCAUCCAAAUCGACAUCGUUUCGGAUACGGUAUGCCCGUGGUGCUUUGUGGGCAAGAGAAAUCUUGAAAAAGCUUUCGAGGCAUCUCGUGAUCGAUUCAACUUUGAGGUUCUCUCUUUUUCCCUUUUGUUGGCUGUUGUUGUUGAUGUUGACGUUGUUGUUGUUGUUGAUGGUGUUGUUUAAAAGCCGUCUUUGACAACAAAAAACGCUUCUGAAUAGGUUUGGUAGGAAAAAUUAAAACUAUUUUGACUGUGUUUUUAAUAAAACCACUUAUAGUAAAAGCGGUUAUGAGCAGCAGUGCUUCCUACAAAAGCAGUACCAAACCGACCCUAAGUGUAUAUAAGUUGUUGGUUUUGUGUUGUGCCGUGAUUCCAUCCUAAAUUGUUGUCACUAUAUAUGAACUUUUCAGGUUAGAUGGCAUCCAUUCCAACUUAAUCCCAAUGCGCCUAAAGAAGGCGUUGAUAAGAGAAGUUAUUACGAGGAAAAAUUCGGGUCUAGUAGGUCGAAACAAAUGGAGACUCGGAUGCAAGAGGUAUCGCUGCAAUUCUAUGACUCACCUGUACAAAUCGAACACAUAAAAUACAUGUUUCCUCUCAUCUGUCCGGUCACUCACUGUGUCCCCUUUGACAAGUGCAGAUUUUCAGAAGCCAUGGCCUCGAAUAUAACCUGUCCGGACUCACGUAAGUGUAAAGGAUACUUAUUUCUUCCUUUUCCAUUGUUACGCUGAUUGUGUUAACUGUAAACAACAAAUUCGUGAUGGAAGGAAAUCCCGGAAAAGGUUUUGUUAGAACUUGGGUUGCAGUUUAUGUAUUUAGUUAUUAGCAUUGUGUCGAAAUUGUACAGGGGAAGUACUCUAGAUAGCCACAGGCUUAUCUAUUUUGCUGGGACUCAAGGGCAUGAUAAGCAACACGAUCUUGUGGGUGAACUGUUUCUAGGAUACUUCACACAGGCAAAAUACAUCGGGGACAGGUAAUUACGCAGAGUUUCAGGCCAGUUUUCGAUGAGUUUACAUCUGUAUGCCUUAGGGUUGUAUGUAGUGAUUUCUUUGUUUUUAUAGUUAUGUGUCAAAUGUUGUGAACCGCUUCCAUGGGAGAACAAAUGAAGUAGAAGUAAAUGCUUUUACAUCCUUAAAUCUGAAUUAAGAGGCACAACACAAAUAUUUGCAAUUUGGAUACAGGGAAUAUCUUCUGCAAAGUGCUCGAAAGGUCGGAGUAGAAGGGGCCGCAGAGUUUCUUGAAGACCCCAACAAUGGGCUCGAUGAGGUUUGUUUGCUGAUUCCUUCACGUUGCUAUUAUUUGCCAAGUUAACAAACGAGAACAUAACGUAGAUUUGAAGAUCGACUGAUUCAACUUAUAAGAUUCUGUUUAUAUGUACCUGGUAAGUACAUCUGGCUAGAAACAACCGUCUAUAUUUGCGAUAAAUCUGAUGUUGCUCGUUAAUAAAAUGAAGGUCAAUGAAGAACUAAAGAAGUACUCGAGAAACAUCAAUGGAGUCCCACAUUUUUUGGUGAGUGAUGAAAACUCACAUAUAUGAAUGUUGAACUUUUGUUGGAUUAGCUUAAUAGAUCCUCUACUUAUGAAUCCCUUGGUUCUUUCGGCAGAUUAACAACGGAAAGCAAGCGUUAAGUGGCGGCCAGCCGCCUGAGGUGUUCUUGAGAGCUUUUGAAGCAGCUACAAAGUGAUGCAACUGCAACCUCAUGUAUACGAGAUUUCGCUCUCCAUCUCCGAUAAGAAUCCAACGUUGGAAAUAUAUUUUCAAUACAUACGAGUAAUUUUCAUGUUGUUUGAGUGUGAAUCAUGAAACUUUUAUUUAUUCGCGUGAUGUAAGAAUGCUAAUGGUUCUGAGUGUAAUGUGCAUCAAUGGUUUGUUUAUAUGUCUAUCCAUGUGACACCGGGUUUUCUCUGUUCCUUUAUUUUGUUCAUGGUUUCAAAUCGCUGUGUUUUCACGAAUCACGUUGCUAGUAAGAUUAAAAUGCUUGAACUUCGACAUGUUUCUGCAACGCCCACAACUACAUCGAUAGGCAAACUCUGAAAGUCGUUUGAAAAUAUUAUUCUAUUCCUUUUUUUCUUCAUACGAAUGAUAUCAAGGAAGAGGAAUCGAACACAGAUGCUCGGGCAGAAGACUAAAAGCUUUAAGCACUGCAAGCAAAUAGUUAUAUUAUUUAGAUGAGAAAUAUUCAUCAUGCCAAAAUAUACUAGCCAGGUCAAAAUUUUGUUUGCAUGAAAACUCAAACUUAAAGCACAAGAGCUACGUGGUAGGUUGUAAAACUUUCCAACGUUUGCAGUCCACAAGGUUGUCCGAAACCCACUAAGCCAAUGCAUGAACAACUUUAAAACAAAAUCAUCAUCAGAUCCUCGUACGUUUAGCUCCAUUUGUUUGAUCCAUCUUUUGCAGAUGCACAUUUCAAUCGAUAUGGCUAGAAGGAAAAAACCUGUUGAAAUUGAUAUAGUUGCACACACUGUGUGUCCGUGGUGCUUUGUGGCGAAAAGAAAUCUCGACUAAGCUCUGGUGGUAGGUAACGAUCGAUACGAGUUCGAGCUCCGAUAGCGUCCGUAUUAACUCGACCCCGAUGGCCCUGAAAUAGGCACCCACAGGAAAGAGUAUUACGACGAAAAAGCUCCGCGAAGAUGUGUCCGAAGUGUUCGAGGAACGUAUGUCAGAUGUAAGACGUCAUGCACCAAGAAUCUCAACGUACAAAUCCAUAUAAAGAGGGAGGAGGGAUCCUUGGUUUAUUGUCAUGCACCAAGAAUAUCAACGUAUAAAUCCAUAUAAAGAGGGAGGAGGAAUCCUUAGUUUAUUCGAGGGACACCUUCGAAGGGCUUACAUUGUAUUUCAGUGAUCUGAAUCGUUUAUUUUCUUCUGCAACGUGUUGAAAAGGUUGAUGUAGAAGGGGCCCUAACAAUCGGCUCAAUGAGGAAUGUUCUUCGAAAGAUUCUAGCAUACAACUAGAGAUAUAUUUCCAUCUCUAUGUAGCUCUCAUCACGUAACCAUCAUGUAAUAAGACAUACGACGAAGGUGAUACAUCCGGGAACAACCAAGAAUUAAACACGAGCAAAAACAAAACAGCGCAUUGUGGUUUUCUUAUUUAUGAUUCUUUUUUAUGGAACUGAGAAGGUCAUGGAAGAGCUCAAGAAGUACUCAGGAGUAAAAAGGAGUCCCAUAUUUUGCAGUGGAUGAUGAAAACUUCACAUUUCGUAAAAAUUGUGACCCGUUUGAUAAUUAUUUCGUUUUAUUUAUGUUUGAUUGGCUAAUACAUUGAUCCGGAUCCACAUAUUAUUAUUAUUUUUUGGACGGUAGCUGUCCCGUCCCGUCCCAUUCCGUUCCGUCUCGUCCCGUCUGCAUACCAAACGAUACCUUAGUGGUGCUCAGCCAACUGAGGUCUUUCUGCCUUUGAAUCAGCCACAAAAUGAUGCAACUUCCCAUCUCAAAGCAGUCUCUCUAUGUGGCUCUAACAAGAAUAUGCAGCCUUGGAAACAUGUUUUAAAUGCUGAGCAAUUUCCUUUUGUUCAAAAAUUUUGUAUGUUACAGUAUUGUUAAUGACAAUCGUUAAUCGAGCGAAAUCAUAUUUGAAUGUGCAAUCUUGAUUUACAGUCUAAUAAAAUAUCAAAUAUCCGACAAAUGAGCGCUCGACAUUCAUCUGCAUAUAUUUAUCCUUACCUAUCCUGCUUUUAGUUCUACCCGAUAAAAAUACAUUCCCUUGCAUUCAGUAUUUUAGCGCGCUGAUAACAAUUCCCAAUAAACAAUUCGGCCAGCUUUGACACGCCCCGACCCCGAUAUUUCCCCGAAUAUCAGGGUAGACACGUGCUGGCCGACACCCGAGGGUGACGAAAGCCAUUAAUUGAUACAAAAGCUAGGAAUAAGAAAUAAAUACGAGUUAUGAAUUUAAAAACAAUGAAUUAACAAUUUAGGAACGUGUUCAGAGCAUACAACUAAACCUAGUCACUAACAAGAAUUAAGAUAAGAUUGAAUGAACAAGGAGUAGGUCCUACCCCGAGAGGACUCGAAGAUGCCGCUGCGGAAGUACCUUAAUGCCGGGAUUCUAUGCCUCGUUUCUAAGACCUGAAUGGGGGCGCAAAACAAAGGUGAGUGGACCAAGUUUAUAUACAUACAAAGUAUGAAAACAGUUAUGAACAUACUAACCCCCACAGUUUAAUAAUGAAAACUACUAGAAUAAUAAGUGAUAAGCUUUUCAGAAACCUUUAGCAUGCCAUAAAACAAUUCAUAUAUCUUUCUGCAAAUCAAUCUCAAAAAAUCAUAUCAAAAAGCAUAAUACAAGUUGUGCUGCUAGUGAGUGCACUGAAUAAUAAUACUCCCGGCCCAAUGCCUGCACCUUAGUCUCUGUGCCCGUAGCCAGAGAUAUCUCCCUCCCGGCCCAAUGCCUGUCUCCGUGUCCCUCAGCCUUUCGCUAGGGAUUAUUUCUCCCGGCCUCAAUGCCAACACCAGAUCCUCGCCCCAGGCGGCAUAGUGUUCACUAGGUACGCACAAAACAUAAUUCAUCUCUAAAAUACAACUUCGUAGCAUAAAUUCAUCGAUCCUCAAUUCAAAUAAUUCUGCAAGGCAUGCUAUUAAAUUAUGCAGUUCUACCAAUAAAACAUGCAACUUUUCGAAGGUGGUCCACUCACAGAUACUCCAUCAAAAGCUGCGCCACUAGUGAAGACAGAAACGUUGCGAUAAGUGUCCCUAAGUACAAGAACGUACAGUUAAUCAAACUACCCAACAAUAUAAUUCUAGGAAAUGGAAAUGGGCCUUGGAUUUGGAUAGGUUAGGAUCAAGAGGUGGUUUGGGCUUGAGCCCAACCCAUACUUAUACACACACGGCACACACACCAAACAUUUACACAUAAAUAUAUAUAUAUAAACACACACACUCCCACGCAUGCACACACACACACAUAUAUAUAUAUAUAUAUAUAUAUAUAUAUAUAUAUAUAUAUAUAUAUAUAAAUACACACACAGAGGCAACAUGCAUAUAUAUAUAUAUACAUAUAUAUAUAUAUAUAUAUAUAUAUAUAUAUAUAUAUAUAUAUAUAUAGAUACAUACAUAUAAAACACACGCAUGCACAGCAUGCAUAUAUAUAUAUAAGCACACACACGCACAGCAAGCAUACUUACACACACACACACACGGUUCACGCACACACACUUGCACAACGUACACACUGCACAAACACACACUCACGAACUCGCCGGAGUUCGUCGUCGGAACCGGACAUGCAUGCACAAGGGAUGGUAAGAGUUAGGGCUUGAAUAAGGGGUUCUAAAACUUCACAAAUAUACCUAAGAACUCACCUGGACGCACUGCAGCAGGUUUUGGGAAGAGAUGGACCUCGAACUCGUCGGAGUUCGUCGUCGGAGCUAGAUUGUUAGCACAGUGAAAAACUGAGAUCAAAACCCUUGAGUUUUGUCAUAAAACCAGCAUGCAUAACCCAGAAAUUUGAAGGAACACAAUCUUUACCUGGGUUCGAGUUUUAGAGCUUUGAAGCUCUCGGCUUCAAUGGCAGAAAAACCCACGGUGCUAAGAUGGCGCAUGCAAGGGUAUCGUUGAGUUCGUUAAGUCUCAAGGAUCCCAAAUAUAUGGUUUUUUGGGUUUGAUUUGUGAGGGAAGUGAGGUGAAAGCUAGAGAGAAGCUCUCGGAGCUUAGAGAGUGUGAGAGAGAGAGAGAGAAGAAACCGAAAGAAAGAGAGCAUUGAGAUUCUGAGAUGAGUUUCGGGCAGAGAUGAAAGGAAAGAGGGAUCUGAGAGCUGCCACAUGGCAGUUUAAGAUCAAUAGCCUUUCUAGAUCAAGGGUUAGGAUUAAAAGAGAAUAAGGGACUAAAUUGAUAGAUAACAAAUAUGUUCUAGGGGAAAAAUAGAAAUAGGAUGAAAAAUGGGGGUGGGGUUUAACAAGCUUUGUUCAGUCUUUCUAAUCUGAUGUGAGAUUUAAGAGACACCAUUAAGGGAGAAAGAAGUGAAAAAAUUAUUCAUAGUUUAACCAACUUUCUACUCCACAGAAGACAAUUACUACUCAAUGACCACAGCAAUUCAAGAACACAACUACUGAGCCUUAUCCCACUAAGUGGAGCCUAUAUAAUCCUAGAACGCCACAACGCUCGGUUUUGUGCCAAUGCAAGAAGUACCAAAUAAAUUUCUUUUCGCUGAAAACUUAUAUAGAAUGAAAAUUUAAUUACAAGUAAUCAGAAAUCAAGUUUAUAUGUACUAUCAAAGGACACUUUUUGACAUGUGGUAUUGACAAUGAAAUCACUUCUGUAGUGUUCUCUCUUCCGAAGUUGUUGGAUUCAUCAACGACGCAAACCUUUUCGAUCGCGAUCAAGUCGUUUCAUCGAAUGCCAUCACCUAGAAAGCCAAACAUAUAAAUCCAGAGUAAAACAAUAGAGGUUGCAGGAGAAAAGCAAUAUGCUUUAUUACAAUUUGUCAUAUCAGAUAAAAAGCCUAGAGAAAUAACUUUAGGAUGGACUUUCUUAUUUUUUAUAAUCGACAGUACAAAACCAAAUUGCUUGAUCAAGCAGCUCGAGUCUGUGCGUGUUCGUGAGGGAAAAAGAUAUUCGAGUACUUCAGGAACAAAAAUAAAUCGUUAAAACGUCUAACCUUCACGUGACUGCAGUAGACUAGAACAGUUAUCUUUCCACUAGUCAUAAAAUACGAAAGAUGCAUAGCAAUACAUCGGCAAUGGUGGAAUUUGCCUAUAACGUAACAAAGUAACACAAAUACUUGACUGUAGUUGAAAACUAAAAGCCGUUACGACCUACAGAUUAUCAUCAUUAUGAAGGAAAAUGUUACCUUGCCACAAACAGGGCAGCUUUCACUUCUCUCCAUCCAUUCAUAUAUACAACCAAGGUGAAAAUGAUGAGAGCAUUUUGUCAUUAUUUUGGGGUUUUCUGGCGUGUAUUCUGCAUACAACGACAACGGAAAAAAAAAUGAGAAUUUAUAUAUCAGAAGUUAUAUGUACCAUAAGGGUACACUUUCCAGAACCGUAAACCAAUCAAAAUUGCAACAAAUAUUGCAAAUCCACUUAAGUGCGUUUAACACUCUAUCCUAGCAAAGCUAGAAUUUGACAUGAAUGGAGGUGAAUAUCACUACCCAGACCCUUCCCUCCUAGCUUCGGACCCAACUUAAUGAAGGAGCGGAAUUUCUAGGGAAGCAAAGCAAAUGCACCAUGAAAAUGCACCCUUUGCAUAUGUAUUUGAGUUUAUUCAAUUCGGUAAACAAACAUUUGCAAUUACCAGAUUCUAAACAGGACAGGGUCAUCAUUCAUGUCGAGUAUUUUAAAGUGGAAACGACCAUCAGACGCACAAAAAAGUAUAUACGAAGAAACUUUGGUACUAGAGAUUGAGGAAGAAGGAGAAACACCACCAGUCAAAGAAACCCAAAUAAAAAUUACCUUCAAGACAUGUUGGGCAAACAUCCUCAUCCUCUGAUGAUGUAUAGAAGUUCCCAACUCCAGUUGUGGUUUUGGCUGAUGAUAACUUCAUUGAGGACUUGGAACGAUGUUCUAUUGACCCAUCUUCACAAGCAGAGCCAUUCCAUUUUUCUCCUGUACUCAAACUUUCAGAAUCUGCAUCAGUAUCACUUCUUAGAGGUUCAGCCUCCUCAUGAGAGUGGCUUGAGCCCUUCUCCCGCCUAGAAAUCAACCCAUCCCGCUGUAACCGGAUGUAUCUAGGGUCAGCAUCAUAAGGCAAGGGCCUUGGAGGCGAACGAUACAUGUCAGAUAAGGAGUUGUCAAGUGAUCCCGAGGAAUUCAUUGAUGCAGCCCCCUGAAUGGAUGAGGGGAUUGAAUGCACUUCCCCUCUUCUGAAUAGUGAUGUAUACUGCAAAAUAAGAGAAGAUAGCACGUUAUACUUCCAUCUUGAAGAUUUAAGUUUUUAUCAUCAAUAUUAAUAUCUUAAGAAGCAUCAGUUUCAGUUUUUAUACUCUUCAAAACUUCUAAACAGUGAGCACCUGCCUACUUGAGCAAUCAAAAGUAAACUAGAAAAAACGGCUUUUAAUUUGUUCCAGCAAAAUAUCCACAGGGUUGCCAAUGCAAUAGAAGAUAAGUGAGGGCACAAAAGCAGCACUGAGCAUAACUACAAAUAAACAAAAGAACUAUGAUGAAACUUUUAUGCAUUCUAAAUAUGUGGAACUCAGAAAAUAAAAAGGACAAGAAAAAAGAAGAAUUAGUUCAGUAAUGAGGAUGACGAAGGCAGAAAGCAUACCACAUUUAGAAAGUUCUGAAGAAAACAACGAAGACAGACACAUUCCCUAUAUGCAGAACUGUUUGGAUUCACAUAAUCUUCAAAAUCCUCAGCAUUCAAACAACAACAAACAGAACCCAUUGUGCCAGCUUCAAAAUAAAUCUCGGCAACAAUUCCACACUCUCAUCGACCGAAACCAACCAAGCUCCACUCGUGUAAUAACCAAAAGAGUGCUAGGAGCAAUAACUGUACUUUGACAAGUAUGAGAGAGGACACAAAGCUCGCAGAAGUUCCACUGCCUCUGCGGACUAGUACCCUCCCUCUUUUAUUUAACAAUGUUGAAUGCCUCAGUGGUUUUGGUAUAACCUAAGGUUAUAUUCUUCACCUGCAAAAUAGAAGACAGUAAAUAUUCAAGUUUCAAACAAAACAACAACAUCGACAAGGAAAGAUCUAAGACUCAAGAGUGCUAUCCUCAAACAAAUUCACCAGCUGCAAAAGACCCAAAAAAAUGCAAUUCAUGUUGAUCAGUUUAAUGGUACAGAGAGUUCAUACAUUUGAAAUAAACCAAUCAUGUCAUUGUCAUGUUUCCUGCGAAAGAUCGUAAGCACCUAACCAAUUGCAGCUACAUAAUACCAUGACUUCAAUAAUAAGUAAACAUAGAAAAUUGAGAAGGUCAUUAUGAUUAUAAUGUUCCACCAAAGAGGUAUUUUAAGACAUAAAUUCCCCACAUCUAUUCAGAAAGCAACCAUCUUUUGGUUCCUCACCCUCCCUCUAGUCUGGUGAAAGAAAGGCAUAUACCAACCAACACAAAAAUUCAAAGAAAUGUGAAGGUAAAGUCAGUCUAUCCAAAAACUUUAAAAAGUAAAUUGUGAAAGGAAAACAAGCAGUUAUUCCAAUUUUUCAAAGAUGAUUGAAUUAAAAGAACCCAGAAAAACACAUAAACCAAUGUAAUUAGACAGACCCUUUGGCAAAAAUCAAAUCUUGGAACAUCCAAAAGGUUCAAAAAACAAAACCCAACUGCAAAAAUCAAAUUUGCAGCAAUCAGAAUGUUCAUGGAAUAAAACCCACUAUCAGAAAAAGCAAACAAAUAAAAAAAUCAAUCCCUUCUGCAGAUAUCAAUUCAUUCCUGAUACAUGAAUAUUCAAAACACUGCAGAAAGCAUAUAAGUAUCAGAAAAAAUUACAGAUACAUAGAUUUUUAAAUUGAAUAGUACCUGAGAGAGGUGGGAAGGAAGUGGAAGGAGAGAGAUGGAGAUUGAUAUUGGUGGAUGGACAGAGACAAGUGUCACCAAGGAAUCGGAAAUUCAGCAGAAUCAGGAACUGGGUGUUUUGAUAAAUAGAUGAUUAAAAAAUCGGAUGCUAAAUUUGGGUGGGUGGGUUGAGUAAUUUGGGUCUUCGAAUUUGUAAAAUAUGUGUUGGACUUUCGUUGUAUUUUGGAUUUUGGGAGAUAGAAGCCAUGAAUGCGCUCCUUUAAUCUUUUGUCUCCUGACGGUGGGUGGGUGGAAGGAAGAAUCUAUAUUUCCUUCAUAUGUUAUUUUGCAUUAACAAUGGAAAUUAACUUUACUUUAAUGAUCCCAAUCCCAAUCCAAAUAUAAAAUAAAUAAUUCUCCCCCAAAAAAAAAAAAAAAGUUUUGUGUUUUUUAUAUUUUUAUGCUUUAAAUGUCAAAUGGUCUCUGUGUUUUACUCUAUAGGCCAAUUUAGUAUCUGUGUUUUGCUCUAUAGACCAAUUUAGUCUUUGUGUUUUCAAUUUUGUCAAAUUGGUCUAUAUAUUUACAUCUGUUAGCCAAUUCAAGACAAUCCGUUAGAGGAACGUUAAAAUUGACAUGUGUCAGGCACGCGAGAUGACAAAAAACAUAAUCACCCACUAAAUAAAUAUGAUGUCUAUCUUUAGAAAUUGACAUUUUGUUUAAUUCACUUGAGUACUACAUAGUUUAGGACAUGUUAAUAUUAACUGUCUUUUAACAUAUUGUCUUUAAUUGACUAACGGAUGUAAACAUAGGGACCAGUUUGGCCAUAUUAAAAAUACAGUGACUAAAUUAGACGAUAAAGUAAAAUACAGAGACCAUUUUGAUAUUUAAGCGUAUUUAUAUUGGUAGAACCUUAAAAAAUUGGUGUCUAUUUAUUUAUCUUUUCUAUUGGUGAAGUAUAAAUUGUCAUGACAUGUUUACUUGAAUUGGCUAGGAGUUGUAAUUAUUCUGUUCUUUAAUUUUUCUUUGUAUUUACCCAUGGUAUGUUUUUUUUUAUUGUUAAUGAUCUGUUUUCUUAUCAACUAUAACCACUAAUUUUAUCUCAUUAAGUGAAUCGGUGAUGCAAAUUCUAGAUACCAUUGUGUUUGAUUUCAGAAAUUAAGGUAAGACCUACCUUUGUUUUUCAUUUCUUAUAUGAGAAGUCAAAGAGUUAGAAUCAUUCUUUGUCCUCUCACACUCAUUCUUUCUAAUUUUUCAUGUGUAAUGAUCAAGGAAGAAAAUAUCGGUAAUAUCAGAAAUAUCGGUAGUCCGAAAACACGGAAAUAUCGAUGGAAAUAUCGGUAAAAUAUCGAUAUCGAUAAAAAUUAUAUGGAAACCACGGAAAUUGUAAGAAAAACUUGAAAAUUUUUAUUGAAACUUUGCAGGAUGUUUAUUUAGUCAAUUAUCUAUUAGUUUAUCACACAAAAAUUGGAAGGAAAUGCAUUGCAUGAUGGAUUUAAUAUUAUCAAGUUGAUUAUAUAGCGAGCUAACAAACAUUAUGAGUGUAGAAAAUAUGUAGUAAUUAAUGAAAGAAGUCUAAACACACCAUAAUCAUUUAUAUAUAAUGAAUUAGUACAAUAUUUUACACAAAAGCCUAAAAAAUUAAAAUCCUAAAAUUUUACUUUCCCACCCCCAAACUUAUUGCACACCUUGUCCUCAAGGUGUGUAAAAAUAAACAAAAGAUUGAAGAACAAAAAUAAAAACUGUAAAAAAGAUAAAACAAAAAGCCUAAAAUAAAUAAACUAGAAGAAAAGGAAAAUAGAAAAGAAAACAAAGAAAUUAAAAUAAACAAAUAAUAAAACAAAAAUAAAAGAAGAAGAACAAAAAUAAAAACUGUAAAAGAUAAAACAAAAGCCUAAAAUAAAUAAACUAGAAGAAAAGGAAAAUAGAAAACAAAACAAAGAAAUUAAAAUAAACAAAUAAUAAAACAAAAAGAAAAGAAGAAAAAGGACAAAGAUCACCUGGAUUCGAACUGAAGACCUGGUGCUAUUGAAGAGAAACACGGCCCAACACGUCCAAGUCCACACUUGUGUCAAAGUGCAGCAACAACUACAAUAUAUGCUGAUGCAGCAGCUUCCUGUUUGAAUUGAAAAACCCUAGCAGCUGCUACAUAUUUUGCCCUUGCCUCGAGCCCAGAGCCUCAAAAGGCUCUCUAUCUCUCCGUAGCAGACCAUCCCUUUCAAUCUAUCCAUUGUUUCUCAGUUUCGCACCCCUUUUCAACUAAGAGCCAAGCAACAUACAUACCCAUUUUCGCACCCCGUGGCUCUACCUCAAAUCGGUCAUCCUCAUCGGCGCCCUCUACUUCCUUUCCCUCUGCUCCUCCCUCGCCUUCCUCCUCGUCAAGCCCGUCACCAUGUCCCGCGGGCCGCGACCUCUACCUCUCAUCCGUCGUCCCCAUCGGCGCGAUCCUCCUCGUCCGCGUCUCCCUCUGCUCUCUCUCUCUCUCCUCUCUUUUAGCCGCUGAUCGAAUACGAUCUGUGAAAUGCUUGCUCAUUGAUCUCUGAGCUCCGUCCGAUCCGCGACCUUCCAAAGAUGAUGAUCUUUAGCACUGUAACUGCCGGUGAGGUACUCGAUCUCUCAGCUUCUACUGUUUUCUUCCAGAUCUUGCUCGAAUUCAAGCCCUUGCUUCUCGGAUUAGUGUAAUUUUGUCACUGAUUUUGGUAUAAAGUGGUGAUUUUUGUUGAAAGAUAGUGAUGAUUUUGUUCCGUUUGGUUGCAGGUUUCGUUCUUGCUCGGAGUUAUUCCGAUUCUCCGGCGAGGUUGUGACUGACUGUCGAGAAACCAAAAAUAUCGCGAUAUUAUCUAAAAUAUCGCGAUAUUAUCGAUAAUAUCGCGAUAUUUUGACGAAAAUUCCUCGGAUACCUAUUAAAAUAUCGGUAAAGCAAAAAACCGAUAAUAUCGGCGAAAUAUCGCCGAUAUUAUCGAUUUUUUCUUCCAUAGUAAUGAUACAUAUGAAAUCAGAAGACAUUUUAGACCACAUUCGCAAAUCAGGUGACGUGUCGCCAAUAAAAAAAAACAUGUAAAUCAACACUUAAAUAAUAAUCUAAUCAUCGACAACCACGUCAUAUUAUUUACAAAAUAUGAUUUAAACAAAGAGUAAACUGCCGAUUUGCCCCCUGAACUAUCACCCAACUUUCGAUUUGCCCCCUGAACUUUUUAAUUAGAAAAUUAAGGACUUAAACUAAUUUUUUUGGCCGAUUUCCCCCCUACCGUUAGUUUUUCAUAAAUUUCAUCCAAAUUAACGUUAACUUUUAUCAUGUGCAAACCACGUAACUCUCAUUUGUGGACAAAAGCGUCAUUUCACUAGACCUUCAGACAGAAAAGCUAUAAAAUCACACAUAUUUGCAUAGGUUUAUAUUUUAUAAAUCUAAGGUUUUCAAUUAUUUUAAAGAAUGAAGUGACCGAACUACCCACACAUGUUGUGCAUAUGCUUCCAUUUAACAGAAAUUUGGAUGGAAUGAAUGAAAAAUUAACAGCAGGGGGCAAAUUGGCCAAAAAAAUUAGUUUAAGUCCUUAAUUUUCCAAUUAAAAAGUUCAGGGGGCAAAUCGAAAGUUGGGUGAUAGUUCAGGGGGCAAAUCGGCAGUUAACUCUUUAAACAAAUGAUUUCACUUGCAUUACCCUUUUCCAUUUUUGGUAGGAUGCAUGAAUUAGUGGCCGAGGAUCAUAUUGAUGGUCUAUAAAGAGAUUAGCAAUUUGUUUUGGCUUUUUGGCCAAAAUGGUCAUUGAGAUUGAUAUAACUUCUCAUUUUGGUCUAUGAUUUUUUAAAUCAAUGGAAUUAGUCCUUGAGUUUGUUUACCAUAAAUUAUUUUGGUCAUUUUCGUGAAAAUCUUCAUUGAGUAAGAAUAAAAUGACAAAACAACUCUCAAUGAUUGGUGUGGACAAACUCGAUGACUACUUUUAUCGAUUUCAAAUCUCAAAAAUCAAAGUGAAGAAUUUUACCGAUCUCAUAGACUAUUUUAACUAAAAAAAACUCUUUGUUGUUCAUCAAAGUGUCGGCCUUGCUAUUAUAUGCAACAAACACCGGGCACCAAAUAAAUAUUACAGUUUGAGAAAGAAACAAUAGAAAGGACGCAUUAUCUUGACAAACAUUGCACGCCAAACUCUAAUUUUUAUUCAAAAAAAUCGGUUUCUUAGUAAGGAGCUUUUGGUUGAGAAUUCCUCACAUUUCCGCUUCAAGUUUUAUGUUCAAUUUCUCAAAUUAUAUGAAAAGAAAAAUAGACGAUUUAAGGGAAGUGACUUAUACAUACAUACAUACAUAUAUAUAUAUAUAUAUAUAUAUAUAUAUAUAUAUUUUUUUUUUAUCUUCGUGCAUACUCAUAUUUAUUUUUAGCCACUAAAUUACUGUGAUUUUCAAAUUUUUGUUUGUUUUCAUUUUAGUAGUAAAAAACUUUUAGUUAAGAAUAUUUACUUUUGUUGUUAGAUUUUAAAUUUAGUUUCCCUCUCGUAAAAAAAUAAUAAAGAUGCUGAUUAUUACUAAAAACAAAGAAUUUAAAUUUAAUAGUACCUAGCACUAAGUGGUACGAACAUUGAAUAACUAAUAUUAAAAAUAUUUUUUUUAAUAAUUCUGAAAAUCAAAAUUAACAAUUAAAAUACACAAAAAAAAAGUGUGUAUAAACUUAUUCAAAACUCAAAACUUGACACAUCAGCAUAUGUCAAGGGAAGCAUUAAAUUUGAUUAGUUAAAUUUAAAAGGUUGACAACUUGGAUUGAUACCGUACGUCUUGUCGUAGAUUUUAAUUUGAAUCAAACAAAAUUACACGGCUCGUUUCAGUUGUUUAAAAAUCAUCAAAUUACCGUUGAACACAUAAGCUCUCCGCCGGUGACGUCUCAGAUCUACUUCUCCCUCCCCAACAUUUUCCCCCAAAUUCCAAACCCUAAUUCUCACAAACUAGCGCAGACACCUCCAUUGCCCCCAAUCCGCAACCUUUCGCACUCUCCCGGCGCUGGUAGCAGUGUCAGUGUGAGGCGUUUGAAGUAAUUUAGCUCCAAUUUCAGUUUGCCAGUGCACGAAUUAGGGGAUUGAAUGUUCGCCGCGGAUGGCGAUUUAGUUUCUGAAGCUUUUGUUCUCUGAGGAUUCGUGAGAGUCUAGAUUGUAUACGGAAGAAUGCAGGGCUCGUCGCAGAGCUCUGCGGCGGCUCAGCCGGAGGCGAUAUUGCAAUGGCUUCAGAAGGAAAUGGGGUACCGGCCUUUGGGUCCGUACAGUGCUGCUUCUAGCAAAUCGCAAUUGCCCUCAAUCGACUCGAUGAGGAAGAUUUGCCGUGGGAACAUGAUACCCAUUUGGAAUUUCUUGAUUACCCGCGUGAAGUCGGAGAACACGGUGAAGAAUAUUCGGAGGAAUAUAACGGUUCACGGUGGUGGCGGUGGCGGGGAUGGUGGCGCAUUGGUAAAAUCGAGGAAGGAGGAGGGUACCAGGAGUAAAGGAGGUAGGAGAAAGGAGAAGCUUGGGGAGGGUACGAGUGCGGCGGAGACUAGGGAGGCCGCGCUGCAAGAGAGGGACUUGGCGGCAAAGGAGGUGGAGAAGUUGAGGAACAUUGUGAAGAGGCAGAGGAAGGAUUUGAAGGCCAGAAUGUUGGAGGUUUCAAGGGCCGAGGCCGAACGGAAGAGGAUGCUUGAUGAACGCUCUAAAAAAAGGUUUGCACUUUUCUGAAAGAUUGGCAUUAUCAUGUGUACAUGAUUUGGUUCAGUUGAAAACUUGCUUUGUAAAAUCUAUUGUGAUAUGUGAUUAUCAUCAUAUACAAGAUUGAUAUGAGCUACGUAGAUUAUUUAGGGAGGAAAUGCUAUGCUAUUACUCUUUGCAAGGUUUAUUUGAGAAUGAUCUUAUUAUUUGAAAAAUCGUGUUAGUUCAUUGAUCCACGCAACAAAAUGAUAACACCUUUUUUUGGAAGGCCGUGUAAAUGCAAAUGAUAUUCACAGUAUAGUAUUUCAAUUUUCUAGUUAUUCAAUGUGGAUUGCGGGCUAUGUUGAUAUAUCCUUGAUCUUAAUGCAGGCAUAAGCAAGUAAUGUUGGAGGCUUAUUAUCAACAGUGUGAUGAAGCGGAAAAGAUAUUUGCAGAGUAUCAUAAACGUCUUCGUUAUUAUGUUAAUCAAGCAAGAGAUGCUCAAAGGUCUGGUGUUGAUUCAUCUCUUGAAUUGGUUAACAGUUUUGGUUCAAAUAGUGAAAAGGAAGCUGUUUAUUCAACUCUUAAGGGCAGUAAAGCUGCAGAAGAUGUACUUCUUAUUGAAACCACUAAGGAAAGAAAUAUCCGAAAUGCCUGUGAAUCUCUUGCAGCACAUAUGAUAGAAAAAAUUCGAUGUUCUUUUCCUGCAUAUGAAGGAAGUGGUAUUCAUUUGAAUCCUCAGUUAGAAGCAGCCAAGUUAGGCUUUAAUUUUGAUGGGGAAUUACCCGAUGAGGUUAGAGCUGCAAUUGUGAAUGGGUUGAAGAAUCCUCCUCAAUUGCUUGAGGCAAUUACUUCAUACACAUCACGGUUGAAAUCUCUAAUUUCCAGAGAGAUAGAGAAAAUUGAUGUUAGAGCUGAUGCAGAAACUUUGAGGUAAAUACUUCCUUGUUAGUUCUGUUGGAGAUUUGGAGUUUAUUCAAUUUUCUCUUUGCCUUAGCUUCUACAGACAAGGCUGUUCAACCACAAUAUACCUUCUUUGUUUUUUCUUUGAAGAGUAGCUGAGCCAAAGAUUGUUGAUAAUAUGGUCUCCCCAUCCCUGCCCAAUCCCCUCGUACCUUUAAUACUUGAAGCUGCUUGAUUUAAAUAAUAGCAUACCUUUUUCAAAUUCGAUCAUUUCGGCGUCUGAAUUCUCAUUCAUUCUUCAUAUGCUUGACUUUUGUUUCAUAAAUUCCUUAAUCAGGUACAAGUAUGAGAACAACCGAGUUAUGGAUGUUUCUUCUCCUGAUGUGAGUUCACCAUUACACUAUCAACUAUAUGGUAAUGGAAAGAUAAGAGCGGAUGCACCUUCUAGAGGAACUCAACUUCUUGAAAGACAGGUUAUAUUCUUUACUAGAUAGUAGCUUUUCAUUAAUAUUUAAUUAUAUUUUCAUCUAUUCACUUGUAUCAUCCAUCAUAUCAUUCUCAUUUUCACUACAAGGAUACAUUGUUCCUACUCUUUCUUUAAAUGAUUUAUCCCCAAAGUAUAAUAGUUGGUCUAAACCCUAAUUCCAUAAACGACCAUACUGUUUACAUGAAAUAAUUGCUCGGUUCCAUUUUACCCCCACCUUUUCUGCUUUUGUUUUGUUGCAAGAGUUUAACUUGUUAUUUGGAAUAUAUUGUUCACAGAAUGCACAUGUUCAGCAAUUUUUGGCUACUGAAGAUGCACUGAACAAAGCUGCAGAAGCUAGGGACCUAUGUCAAAAACUUAUAAAACGCUUGCAUGGCAAUAGUGAUGUAAUUUCUUCAGGAACAUCACAAAAUGUGGGCAGUCUUAGGCAACUUGAGGUAAAUCUUCCUUGCAUAUUAAAAGUAUUAACUACCAAUAGUUGGGUGGAAAUAGCACCAUGGGUGACAGGUUUGAUUAGUUUCAGUCUUUUGAUCCUUUUCAUAGUUGUAUACUGUAUACUAGGUUACUUUUAGCCUGCACUGUGUUAUCAUAUGGUUUUUUACAGUCGUCCAUUUUCUUCGUGUAGCUGGAGGUUUGGGCCAAGGAAAGAGAAGUUGCUGGCUUGAGGGCUAGCUUGAAUACACUGAUGUCUGAAAUACAACGCUUAAAUAAAUUAUGUGCGGAAAGGAAAGAAGCUGAAGAUUCUUUGAAAAGAAGUGGAAGAAGAUUGAAGAAUUUGAUUACCGCAGAUCAGAACUUGAAAUCAUAUAUACCUCAUUACUAAAAGUUAACAUGGUAAGGAUCUCAGCUUCAACAGUGCUUAUAAAUUUUCUAGUCACUUCAUAUACUGGCAUUGUAUAAGCCAUGUCUGGUCAUUCCAUGGAGCGUUGGCUCUUUUUCUUUAAGUUCCAGGCAAAAGUUCAUAUAUAUAAUAUAAAAUUCAAGACAAAUUUUUCUAGCAGUUCAAUGAGUAGAUGGACUCUUUUUUUAUUAAAUGAAAUCCACGGUCUCCUCUUUAGAUGCCCAAAGACCCUAUUUAUGGUUAUAGGUCUGGGGUUAACUCACCAGGAGACUUCAAUUUCCCUGGAACUUAUGCAAAUGAUAUCACCAAUUGCAUAGUUUUCAUUUGUUAUUCGUAUCAUAUGGUAGAAUAUUUCAAUAGAGGCAGCUAGGAUAAUGCUUAUCUAUCUCUUUGUCUUCUGUCGGGAAUAUUUUCUAAUGUUAUUUUUGUCUUCUACUUGGUAGGAUGCUGCUGCCUUCUGGAAUCAGCAGCCAUUAGCCGCACGGGAGUAUGCAUCAAGCACUAUUAUUCCUGCAUGCACAAUAGUCAUGGAUCUUUCAAAUGGUGCAAAAGAUCUUAUUGAAAGAGAAGUUUCUGCUUUUGACCAAAGUCCUGAUAAUAGCCUCUACAUGCUUCCAGCAACUCCACAGGUUUGUUGAGUAAAUUUGUGGCUUUAUCAUUAUUAAAGAAUUGUUAUUCCUGUAAGUAUCACUCUUUUACUUUUAAGUUGGCGAUUGAUUGGUUUAAUGCUAGAAAGUAAAAAUUGAUGAAUCUGUUUCUUAUGUCCCUUAUCAGGUUGUCAUAAUUAGCGACUAAUCAUAAUUUGUAUAUAAUCUCUUUACGAUUUUAAAAUUCAGGACUUAUAUAAUUUGUGUAAGAUCUUGAUUAUCCUGAAGUUUUUCUGACUGUUCUUUGGCUAGAAAAUACGAAUCUGUCUUUUCUUGUUCACCUUCUAUAAUCUGUGUAUGUAACGAUGUAAACCAUUAAUUACUUUGUAUCAGGCACUAUUGGAGUCCAUGGGUACAAAUGGGUCUACUGGACCUGAAGCUGUUGCUGCUGCAGAAAAAAAUGCUGCUAUAUUAACUGCAAAAGCAGGAGCUAGGGAUCCAUCAGCAAUACCAUCCAUAUGUCGCAUAUCUGCGGCCCUUCAGUAUCCUGGUGGUGAGUCUUCAUUCAUCCGCUAUGACACUAUAGGAAUGCCUAAGAUUGGAAGGCACUGCCUCCAUUAUAGGCUUGGUUUUGGAAGAAAUUCAUCCUCCCCACUUGUCCCAGGCUUGGCAACAGAAGAUCCAUUUUGCCUUCUUUUUUGAGUUGUGUGUGUAAUGGUUUGUCAAUUGCACUUAAGAAUAAAAACAAAAUGCAUCAGUUUUUCAAUAAAUUGGUAAAGCUCACUGCAAAGUUAGAUUUCAUGCUGGUGAGUAUGGAGGUGCUGUUACAUGACAGCCUGCAAGGAUCUUGUUUUGAAUAAUUUUAAGCCCUAGUAGGCAGUGGGACAUUGUGCAUAAGUGACCUCGUGCUCCCUAAGCUUGUUACUUGUAUCAAUAGUAAUAUAAAGAUAAUCAGUUUAAAUUUGCUCCUUAAACUUAAAGAUGCUUAGCCUGAGCUUAAUGAAUGCUACCAUAUGCAUGUUCUGAUGUGUUAUUUUUUUCUAUUUCAUUGUUUGUGUGCCUGCUUAAUGAGUGCUUUCAGUUCGAACUUACAUUUACUGGAUAACAGGUUUGGAGGGUUCAGACGCUGCCCUAGCAUCAAUCCUAGAGUCCCUGGAAUUCUGUUUGAAACUUCGUGGUUCUGAAGCUAGUGUGUUGGAGGACUUGGUAAAGGCAAUCAAUUUGGUCCAUACACGACAGGAUCUUGUUGAAAGUGGUCAUGUAUUGUUGAACCAUGCCUAUAGAGCUCAACAAGAAUAUGAAAGGUAAAACUUCACAUGGCCUUAUUUUACAGGAAACUAGACUGUGUUAUCCUCCAAAACCUGAAGGUUUCAGUAAGCAGACCUCAGUCAAAUAAUAUAGACUUGAAUUCCAUUUUGAGCAUUGUGAGAUGAGGGAAAGUGCCAAAAACUGCUUUCUUAUUUCAUUUGAGAUUCACAUGGUUUGUUGCGCUAGAUGUUCUGAAUUUUUUUCAUCCAGAUUCUAAAUACAUUACAGUUUGCUCUUUGUUCUAAUCUGUUGUCAAAACUAAGGAUGUAUAGCUCUGGUGUUACGUUAAAUUCAUUCUAAAUAUUAAACCAUUCAAAUAUGUGAUGGUUAUUAAUUAGCAUUUUAGGAUCUCUGACUAUGUUUUAGAUUAACAUGCACUUAAUUUGUAUCUACUACUCUGCAGGACAACGAGCUAUUGUUUAAAUAUGGCUGCUGAGCAAGAGAAAAUUGUCAUGGAGAAAUGGUUGCCUGAACUUAAGGCUGCAAUUUUGAGUGCUCAGAAGUGCUUGGAAGAUUGCAACUAUGUUAGGGGAUUGGUGAGUGACCACCAUACACGGAGUUAGCCUGCAUUUUUUAGUUCUAUGGUUGUUGUAUAGACAGUCCAUUUUUCUACGUUAGCAGUACUAAUUCUUUUGUUGUCUUGUUUUCCCCCUCUUUAAUUGUCUGAACUACAAUACGUUUCUGCAGCUUGAUGAAUGGUGGGAGCAACCAGCAGCAACUGUUGUUGACUGGGUCCUAGUCGAUGGAUUAAACGUUGCUGCCUGGCAUAAUCAUGUGAAGCAGCUCCUUGCAUUUUAUGAUCAGGAGCACUUGUGAAUAUUAAUCGAGUACUCAGCAAACAAGAUUUUCUCGGGAUCUCCCUGGUCUUCCUGGAUCAAAUUUGCCACUUCUACAAAGCCCUGGUCUCAUUCAUUCUGGCAUUACUAAAAACACCUACAAAGGCCUGGUAGAAAUGGCUCAAGCUUGACUUCCUGCUUGGAAGGUGAUUUGUCAUCUCUUGCUGGUCGGGCCAGUCUUGUUCAGUCUUCCACCUCCACUAUCCCAGUAUAUGGUAUGCAGACAGGGUUUAGGGUUUAGAGUUUAGGUAUGCAGACAAGGGUCGGGCUAAGUUUGCCUUCCGAAGUCUCUUGGUGGGCUUGGCUUGAAAAACAUGAGAGUUAUGAACAGCUCUUCUUGCUAAGAACUCUUGGAGAUUGAUGGAGGGGAUAAUGGUCUCUGGGCAAAAGUUUUCAGUGGCAAGUACAUUGACCAUUGGGUCAGUUACUCUGAUAAAACUGCUUUGGCUCUUCUUGCACUUGGAAAUGUAUUCUUGAAGGGACUAAACUUUUGUAUGAACGGCUACUUUGGCGAAUUUGGAAAUGGUAAUACGGUAAAAGUUUGGACUGACAAAUGGGCUAAUGUGGUAUUUUGCUUCAUCAUGGUAGCUGCCCGCUCUUCAACGAUAUGCUUUAAAGCUACCGUAGCUAAUUAUUGUUACAAUAAUGGUUGGGAUAUUGGUAUAUACUACUUGUUUGACCAAAGGAGAUUGUUGAACAAAUUCUUAGCAUUCUAGUUGGUUUUGAUACUUUGGAGGAUACGUGUAUUUGGAGUGGAACACAAGUGAUGGUAAUAUGUUGGCCAUUAAUUCUAGUGGUUUUCCUAAUUUGCAAUCUAAUCUCAUUUGGAAUCUUCGUAUUCCUUCAAAAGUUUAGAGUUUCUUAUGGCUGCUCAUUCUUGAUAAGCCAACUAAUGAUCAGAGGUUGAAAGGGUUACGACUGAUAACCCUGAGUGUUAAAGAUGUACUUGUGGCUUUGAAUCAACAGCUCAUUUUUUUUAAGAUUGUCCUAAGGCAAGAGAAGUCUGGCUGAGGUUGAGAAUGUAUAAUCAACUGUCUAACCAAAUUGAUUUUCAUGAUUGUUUUCAUUUUAAUCUCACCACUGAUUUAGGAGGUUUAGAGUGAAGGUUAGUUUUUUCGUUGUUUGUUGGUUUAUUUGGUAUUGGCAAAAUAAAUUUGUUUUUGAGCAGGAUUUUGCAAUGUUUGAUGAGCCUAUAGUUGCUAUUUGUGCAUGUCUUCGUGAAUGGUUGAAGGCUAAUACUCACAAGAUUGAUAAAUGACAUAUGAUUGAAUCUUUGCUCCACUGAAAAGCUCUUUAUUCAAAUUGAUAUAAGCUUAAUGUUGAUGGUUGUAAGAAGGAAAAUAAUAAUUCUUUACGUAACCAACCGACAACAGACAAGGGUUCUUUACGUAACCAACCAACAGUAAACAAGGGAUAUGUUGAUGUUGAUGGUUGCAAGCUCUCCACUUUUUUUUUUCUCUCCCCUCCUGUUUAAACACUCAAGAUUUUAUCUUUACAAAGAGAGAAGAAUAAAAUAGAGAGAGAGAGAGAGAGAGAGAGAGAGAGAGAGAGAGAAGAAAAAAAUCUAUGAGAGGAGGGAAGGGAGGGGAAGAGAAAGAGGGAGGAGAGAGAAUACCGUCCUUAUAACUUGGUCCCUUAUUAAAUGAAAGGACAACUUUUGCUUAGCUUAAUGGAGUAUGAUUCUAUUCCCUCUUUUUUUCCCUGCAGUUUCCUUCCCUAUUUGAACGGUCAUAGUUAAGCUACGAUAACAUCUUAUAUUAAUUUUUUAUAAAAAGAGAAAGAUAAAAUAGAGAAUAUAAGAGGAGAGGAUAGAAGGGGAUGGAAAGAGGAGAGAAGAUAAUGCUAGUCCUAGCUUAAUACCUCUUCAGUCCAAUUGUCUUCUUGUUCUGGAAAUUGACAACUCCAUGCGAUGAAAAAACAUCUCAUGUAUUUUUGUACGGAUGAAAAGGCUGCUUUACACUAUUACAUUUUAAGCGAAUAGAAAUUUCGUGAAAAUUUACAAUAUCUCGUUGCAUUGAUGAAUGAGUGAGAUAUAAAGAAACAAAAUUUUAUACCUUCAUCUACUACAUUGAUGCUUAGGCGCACCGAAAGUCACGGUUUAUUGUACCCAAAACCCCAAAAUUCUCCUAAUGAAUUAUGUGUCUAAUAUUUUUCAGAGUUGUAAUCAGCACUUGCAAACAGUGUUUUAUGCAUGUCAGUCUCGAAGUAAUCCAUGAGGGAUCAUGAUAAUUAUUUGAAAAUGUUAAUAAUAGCUCUCUUUGCUUAUUCUCGGUAGGUCGGCUACAUCCCUACAAUCUCAAAAUAUGCUUAAAUUCACUCAUGUACAUUUAGAAAAUGCCAAUGACAGACAAUUUGGAAAUUGGUGAGACAUGAAAAAGUCCUUAAACCUCACUCCUCAAGCGGCAGCCCUAAACUCGCCCGUGAUCGGAAGACAUGACAUGUCUUUUGCGAAUGACAGGGAAUUGGACAAAGCCAUCCCUUCUUUGUUUCAAUAAUUGUUAUGAAUUAUUGUAUAUCGAUCAACCUGUAAGUAGAUACCAACACAAAUAUAGAUACCUCGUACACGACUAAAUUGCCACUCAUUUUCACUAUAAAAGGAAAACAUUUCUUCACAAGAUUGCACUGGGGACCGAGAGGGUUGUGGUUGUGGUUGUCGUAGAUGUUUAGGUUUCCUCACAAAGCAGGAAAUUGAAUUAAGAAUAAAACAAUCAGAUUGCGUGACACACCUCGACCGAGAUCAAGGCAUGUUGGCUGUCACGUGAGGGUGGUGUAGCCAUGUGUAUAGUGCGGAAGUAGUUAAGAUAAGAAAUAUACGAAUAUUUAAAAACCGAAACUACUAGAGUGUACUAGAAAAUAGGAAGUGUUAGGAGUCAGUUACAAAAGUAAAUACUCCUAAUCAGAGCAUAAUAAGCCUAGGUGCAGUCCAGUAUGACAAGUACUGGUUAUACAGUACUAGGAAUGUCCUACUAUUAUUUAGAUAUGUCAGAACCGCCGAAAUCCUCAAGGCCACCGAUAGCAAGCUUACCUAAAACCUGGAGGGGCGCAAAACAGGAAACGUGAGUGGGCAAAAACAAAUGUUUUACAAAAUCAUUUCAUUCAUCAAUAUUUCAAACCCCUCGCUGUAAAACAUGUAUAAUUCUUCUUAGAAUCAGAAAAUAAGCAUAUACAUAAAUAUAUCAAUUCAAAUCAUGCUUCGCAAUAUCAUAAUCAUAUGUACGCCAUGCCAAGAUAUAACAGAGUAAGCAAUUCAGGUGAGAAUAAUUUCAUAUAAAUAUAACAUGUUAGCCGGAAUCUCGGUGGUAGUUUGUACGGCUGAAUUCAUAGCUCAAAAGUCAAUCUAGCCGGAGUCACUACAAUGACCUAUACGACAUUAAACUGCACAAGAGUCGGAAUCAAAUGAAAAGGUCUGUACGACAAUAAUGGGUGUAAUAUAAUCAUGCUCAAUACUACUCACACAUAAUAGCUGGGCGAUAAAUCGCUAGUCACCUACGAGUCGGAACCACUAAGAUGGUCUAUACGACAGGACUGUGCACCUAAAUUGGAUCCAAUGUGAGCAUAGGGUGCAGGAGGUGACAUUAUAUACAGGCAUGUGCCAUAUCUCUGGCUAAAUCACAAUCACCCUAGGUGCAGUUUUAUGAGCUCAACAUUAUUCAAUCACAUAUCGCAUCAUUGAUAAUUCACAUAACCAAACAUAACUCACCUGAGCUUACCUGAGCGUCCACAGCACCGCAAUUAUAUAUAAUGCAUCAUAUACCAAUUCAUAUACGAAAUAUAAAUUCAUAUGCAUGGCAUUUAAGGCAUACUUUCAUUUAAACUUAUUUUUCUGGGAAAAUAUCAAGUAUAUAAAUAUAUACUGAAAACCAAAAGCCCACUCACUGGUAUGUCGAAGGGUCGUAGCCCCCGAGUCGCCCUUGAACACGCUCGUCCUCGGGAUAAGUCUCACAUAUAUGCGAAUUAACUAUAAAAACGUUAUUUAAAGCACAUAGGCAAAACUAGCUAAUAACUUCUCAUACAAUGCUCAAUUUUGGUAUUUGAAUAUACCACAGUGACCUACACAACCUCAGGAUCAUUCCUAAAUUUUUAGAAUAUUUUUCUGACCCCUCACGCGCGGCCAUGCGCCGACGAGUGCGCGGUAACACGCGCAGGGAAUCCUAACGGAUUCUCUAACUGCCGUUAGGAAUAUUCCAUGGAAUAUUCAGUUAAAACCCAACAGUAACUGUUAACUCUAAUUGACGGCGUCAGAAUAUUUCGUCAAAAUUGACGGAAUUCCGUCGUCUUCUUCCUAAAUCCCCAGCGACCGUCACCAUCGCCGGAAACUGGGGAUUUCGAAAAAUCUUAUUUUCUCACUCUUUUCUUCACCAUUUUCUAUGAAAUUUGCACCAUUGGAAAGCUGGAGAUGAGAGGAACGACAUUAUACAUGUUUUAGGACCUGUAACCCACAAAUUCUUGCCGGAGAAAUUCGAGAAAACUGGCCAACUUCGAAACUAGCUAUCUUGACGUCCAAUUUCUUCCAACGAACUACUCCGAGCCUCAUGAAGACCUUAUAAAGCUCCAUGUGUCCUUAAAAUUCCCUGAAACACAAGAUUUUACGUCCACAUGAAUAGUAUCUCAAAUCAGAGAUAGGAUUUUCACGGGGUUUCGAGGGUUUCCUUACCUGAAAAUGGUACCUUUGAACUUGUAUGGUCCUCACGAACACAAUGGUGAUCUUAAAACCUUCGAUCUACAAGGUUUGAGAGGGUUUUUGGGUUGGUUCGUUCGAAGAAGGGAGAGAGAGAGUGAGAGUCUGCGAGAGAGAGAGAGCACGGGAAUGAGAGAGAAAAAGAUGGGUGUGUGUGUGGUCCAAAAGCCACCAAUCAACACAAAGAAAAGUCUUAGUUCUAAUUGGGUCAUCAAUCUAAAACAAUUUAACCCAAUAAUAACUCACACACAUCAUUUAACGUCCAAGGAUAAAACCGUCAUUUUACAUUACCGAUAAUAAUAAUUCGGGGACGGGCUGUGACAUUGCGGGUAGGAAAAUAAAUUUUUUUUAGUGUGUCACUGUUUGGUACACCUACUCUAAUAAUAUAAUUGGAUGGAAACUUGUAGAAAAAAACAAAGAAGUAUAUCAUACCGUAUUUCCGACGUACUAAAAAAAUUUCUAAUAGGAAACGAUAGUUUGAUGCAAAGGGAAUCUAGGUGCGACACCAACACAUGACUGUACCAAAACCCUAAUUUGGAUGUUAUACACAUCUUCACUUGAAAGUGAGAGGUUUUAGAUUUGAAUCUCGUGGAUAAUGAAUUCGAUACCAAAUUAGGCUACCCAUUAUGUGGUUUAGCCGAACUCCUUAUUUCCUUAGUGUAAAAAUAUCGAUGGAUUAAAAAAAUAAAUUAAUAAUGAUGCUAAUGAUUCAGUUAAGUGUCCUGGCACAAGUACAAGACAUCCACGAGAUUUGGAUGUCACACAUACAAAUAAAGCCCCUUAUUAAUGUCACACAUAUAAUUAAAGCCCUUUAUUAAUGUCACAUUAUUAUGUCAUGAUAAGAUCUUUAUUUAUUUCUUGCUCAAGUCCUAUUGAGAAAUGCUAAGGAGAUUCUCUUAAAAGUGAGAUUCUUUAUAGAUUCUUUAUUUGUCACUUCAUGUCUUUAAUAGAGUGUUUUAUAAUGUUGACACCAAAAUUGACUGUAAACUGGAAGGCGACAGAGAGUCUAUGAAAAGUCUUAUUUUAAGAGGGUUUCCUUAACAUUUCUCAUUCCAUAUUUUGACAUCAUGGUAAGUAGUCAUUUUUAUUGUAAGUUUAGUUUUCACACAUAUUUAUGUUUUGCGAGACAACCGCAAAUAAAUCUUUCUGUAUGUACAACUUUUAUCAAGUUUAAGAGUUAUAAUUAAUUAGAUAUUCCCGGUUGUAUAUAUGAAAUUCUUUGAUUGGUUUUUCCUAGAGAAAUGAUCCUUGAUAGGACAACAAACAAUUAACUAGAAAAUGAAUUAUAACAAAUAUAAAAAAUCUAUAAAACUAAAUAUAUAAAUUAUAUAAUAAACUAUUCUUAUUUGAAACGCCUUGUAAUCUUCAACCAACUAUGUGCUUCAAUAUAAUUACCAGGAGUAAGCACUAUUGCUUGUUUUCAAUACUCGGUGGCUUGAUCAAACCAAGCCUCCGCAAUUUCGGAAUCUCCUUGUUGAACGGCUUGUUCUCCCCCGGUUAGAAUAGGGGGUAAACCGUACAUGAGAGUUUCCGACCUCAUACGGCUCAGCGAUCAAAUUCUUUUGGUGUCCUAUUUUUUAAUUACCCUAUCUAAUUGAAUGAGAUUUCUUAGAGAUAUAUCCCUUUUUUUCCUCGAGUUAACCAAAAGAAGGAGGUUAAUUGCAUAAGUUUCAAACUCUAAUAUUUCUUAAUAAGUUUUAUUUAUAUGUUUUUAGUUAGUAUAGUAGGAGCUCAUCAUUUGUGCGUACGUGAUAGAUAUCCCCGGUUACACGACAGAAUCUCACAGGGAUGUCAUAGCCAAUAAAGUAGGCUCCUAUGCAUCAUUUGUUUCUGUGUGAAGAGAAAACAUGAAUAAAUACAUGCAAUAACCUUUUGUCGCUGAUAGUGUACAGCUUCAGACUCAUGAAAUUUGUAGCCACUCUACAUAUCUUGUGUGUAGAGUGUUACAUCAAGUGUGUCGGACUUGGUACAUCAAAUGCCAUAAUGCAAUUGAUUAAAAAACAAGAUUUCAAAUCUUUUUUUCAAGUUUCUCACCUAACCAGGACCCAAUUGAGACUUUUACAGGGACUUGGAUCCUCUCCUGAGCCCAAGUAGGGGAUCCUUCUGACCAAAGGACUUAGGCCGUUGGAUGAAAAUCUAACGGUUAUAAUUAUUAUAACUUUAAAGGGACUCCUUGUUUGUAGCCGUUGGAUUUUCAUCUAACGGCCCAAGUCCUUUGGUCAAGAGGAUCCUCUUCUUGAGCUUAGGAGAGGAUCCAAGUCCCUUUUACAGCAACAAAGAAACAACCUCAAUCUACUUGCCCACCAUCCCAUACCUUUUUUUUCUUGUCUGGUUUGGUGGUAGGGAAUGAAACUUAUCUACGUUCACUUCUUCUGGUUUGCAGUUUACUGGUUUUUCCAUUAGUGUAAAAACGAAGCUUGAUGGACCCCGGGUUAUAAUAUUGCAAAAUAGUCAUUCCUUAUUUGUCUGUCAAUCACAAUUAAUUUGUUGAGUUAAUUUUGUUGUGUACUUGUAUAAUAGCCAACUAGCGUCUUUUUUAUAUUAGUACCCCACAAAAUGUUGAAUCCAUCUCACAUUAAAAUUUAAUAUUAAAUUACUUAUUUACCCCACCAUACAAUGACAAUUUAAACCUUUUUAGGUUAAAAAAAAAAAUUCUAAAUACACCCCAAAUCACUUUUAACGUAUUAUUUAUCUUCUUCAACUCAAAAUCCCUCUCACCCCAAAUCAUUUUUAAUGAUGAUUUUUGACUAGGCAGUGGUUGCAGUGACUAUGGUAUGGCCAUGUCCUUUUGGUAGAUCAUGAACUGGUGGCAAAGUGAGGGCAAAAGCUAUGGCCCCCGAAGUCCUACUCAAUCUCAUAAUUCAAGACUUAGCACUUAUGAAUCUCAUAAUUCAAAAGCCAUGGCCUCCGAACUGAUUGCAGAGUGAGUCAAUGACAUUCAUAAGGUGCUUUCUUGCACAAUACUAAGAUGCUUUCUUGCAGGUGACUUGGUUUGACCAAAUAUGCACAAAAAAAUGGAAACAACAUGGUAGCUUUGAAAUCGUUCUUAUUAUUAUUGAAAAACGUUCAAAUGAAUCUAAAUAUUUUUGAAAUCAUUUGGCCAGCUAAACAUUCAAAUGUUUAGAUUCAGCCCCUGAAAAUAAAAAAUGAGGGUUAUAACAUUUGAGAAAUGUGGGGUGUAUGUAGAAAAUAUAAGGUGUAUAUUGAGAAAGUGGGGUGUGAGAGUAUUAUAGGGAAGUAUGUGGGGGUGUAUUAAGAUAAUUUUUAAUUGAAAAAAGCAAAUGUGGGAUGUAUUAAGUGUAUAGGGUUUAGUCAACAAUUUGUGGGGUAUUAAUAUAAUAAGCCCUAAAAAAUUGUAUAACCCUACAGACGAUAUUUGUAUUAGGCCUCGGCAAUUGAUAUAAAAGGCAACUUGUAUGAACACAUUCUUAGAGUCAAUACCAGAGCUUCUUAGAGGGGAAAUAGACAGGUUGUAAAACAAUGUCUUGGUUUCAAACAGUUAUCUUUCUGGUUACUACUCUUACAUUUCAUGCUCCUUCAGAGGCUAGCUAUGAGGAGAUCCAGCCUUCUGCAGUUGUUGUAGGUACUGUCUACUGUGACACAUGUUUCCAAGAGGAUUUCUCAAAUACCAGCCAUUUCAUCUCAGGUAAAUUCAUCUUAAAUUUUCAACAAGUUCUUCAUCAAUUUUAUUUUUAUAUUGUAGCCCAUUCAAUGAUUUCCGUACACCCUUCUUCUUCUAUACACACUCAUGCUUAUAUUUUAAUCUUUAAAUUUGAAUAAAUCAAAGAAAAAUUAAAGGAAAGAACUAAACAAAAGUGUACAAAUGGAGAAAAUGUAAAAUCUAAUGACUGAAAACCUUUAUACAGGUAUUUCCUAAGAGUCAACCAUACAACUACGAAAAAUUAAAUAACACAGAGCAAAAAAAAAAAUCUCACCUAAACUAACUCCUUGACGGUAGGAUUUUGCUGUCAAUCACGAUUUCUUUCCAACAGACAACAAAACGUCCUGACAUGUUAUGGAUGCAUUAUCCACAAUAUCAAUAAUUUUGUGGGGUUUUUGUGCAGGGGCUUCUGUUGGUGUGGAAUGCAAAGAUGGGACUUCAACAAAACCAAGUUUCAACGCACAAGUGAAAACAAACAGCCAUGGGCAAUUCAAAGUCCAUCUGCCCUUCUCAGUGAGCAAAGAUGUCAAGAAAAUUGAAGGAUGCUCCGUGAAACUAAUCCGCAGCAGUGAACCCUACUGUGCUGUGGCCUCAUCAACCACCUCAUCUUCCCUACACCUCAAGGCAAGAAAGCAAGGGACUCACAUAUUCUCUGCUGGUUUCUUCACCUUCAAGCCUCUCAAGCAACCCAGCUUAUGCAACCAGAAACCCAGCAUUCAGAAUUCCAAGAAAUUAAAUUCCCAGAAGUUCUCAGAGAUGGCAUUCCCGUCCUCCUCUCAGGUGGACCCCAAAAUGCAUGAUCCCUCUCUCAAUCAAUCUGAUCUCCUAGGUCUCCCAAUCAAUCUCCCAGGACUCCCAGGUCUCCCAGGACUCCCAGGCCUCCCAGGCCUCCCAGGACUUCCAAUAUCCCUUGCUGCUGAAAAAACUUCAUCUAAGUCCUCCAACUCCAAAACUUCAAAGAAUGGGCAACUAGGUGAUAAUAGAGAAGUAGCCCAUCCAGAUUCUCCACCAGCAGGUUCAGCACCAUGAUUCCCAACCUGCCACCUAUCCUGGUUUCUGUUGGGUUCCUAUCCUAUUGGGCGUAACCCGUUUAAGUAUAAUAAGCCCAUUUAGGUCUUCUGAGUUGUGGUUUCCUGAACUUCUAUGUAUAUGGUCUCUUCCUUCUCCUUGAGAACUAUGUGAAAUAUUAAGAGAACUAUGUGAAAUAUUGAAUAUUUAAGUUUUAUCUUCUUUUCCCAUUUUCUCUGUAAUUUUCCCUCUUUCUUCUCUAACGAGAAUGUGUCAUGCAUAGACAGCUAGUCAGCUACGAGUACGGUAAUAUAAUACGAUUCAAUUAUUAGUUAAAUACAAUGAUUAUCGUUGAAACUCAAAAUUUCAGGACAAGGGAGUCGCAUGGAUUCAGAUAUAAAAAUUAUAUAUAUAUAUAUAUAUAUAUAUAUAUAUAUAUAUAUAUAUAUAUAUAUAUAUAUAUAUAUAGGGAAUUGUUAUUGGCACUUCAAAAAUCUCAUUCUACACUCCAAAUUUUCUAUGUUUGGAAAGAAAAAAACAUUUGUGAGGUGUGUAGAAUUAGAUUUUUGGAGUGACAAUAACAAUUCCCUAUAUAUAUAUAAAUUAUUAUUGAAUAUUACCCAAGGAUGAAAUAUGUGAUGUUUAUUAACUAAUGAAAUGUGCUUGAAAACUUUGAGUUUUAAUGAUAAGGACAAAAUAAAGGGUAAAGUGAAUAGUACCAGGAUUGACUUUUUAAUGUAAAAAUGUAGUUUUUCGUUAAAAUGAACAGUACCAGGAACUUUUCGUUAAAGUUCCCUUAUUAAUAAGCAUUUUAGGAAUAUCUCUGACUAUGUUUAUUAACAAUUCCCUAUUAUUGAAUAUUAUUGAAUAUAACCUUUUUCAUCCUUGGGUAAUAUUCAAUAAUAAUUUAUAUAUAUAAUAUUAUAAUAAUUUAUAUAUAUAUAUAUAUAUAUAUAUAUAUAUAUAUAUAUAUAUAUAUAUAUAUAUAGGGAAUUGUUAUUGUCACUCCAAAAAUCUAAUUCAGGGACGUCGUCGUUCUGUAAAUUAUUAAACCAUUCAAAUAUGCGAUGUUUAUUAAUAAGCAUUUUAGGAAUAUCUCUGACUAUGUUUUUAGAUUAACAUGCGCUUAGCAACAGAAAAUUGUCAUGGAGAAGCGGUUGCCCAAACUUAAGGCUGCAAUUUUGAGUGCUCAGAAGUGCUUGGAAGAUUGCAACUAUGUUAGGGGAUUGGUGAGUGACCAUCAUACGCGGAGUUGUUCUGCAUUUUUUAGUUGUACAGUAGUUGUAUAGACAGUCCAUUUUUCUACGUUAGCAGUACAAUUUCUUUUUGUUUUCAUCUUGUUUUUCCUCUCUUUAAUUGUCUGAACUGCAAUACGUUUCUGCAGCUUGAUGAAUGGUGGGACUCCCACCCACCAUAACCGUUGCUCAUCCCUAGAUAGGAGCAACCAGCAACAAUUGUUGUUGACUGGGUCUGAGUCGAUGGAUUAAAUGUUGCUGCCUGGCAUGAUCAUGUGAAGCAGCUCCUUGAAUUUUAUGAUCAGGAGCACUUGUGAGUAUUAUUCGAGUACUCAGCAAACAAGAUUUUAUGGGGAUCUAACUGGUCUUCCUGUUGGCAGUCCCACAUUGAUGGGGGAAGUCAACAAGGGUGGCUAUAAAUAUGAUUACGCUACUCUAACUAAUACCAAGGUUUUUUUUGGUAAAACCCCACACUUGACGGAUUGGGCAGGUGAUAAAGUUGGGGACUGUAUCGGUCUUAUUAGAGUGGCCAGUUGGGGACUCUAUAGGUCUUGUUAGAGUGGUCCCUGGGUCCGUCGAUCUCUACGAAGCCCCUUGUUUCAUUCAUUCUCGCAUUGCUAAAAACACAUUUUCAUUCAUUCUCGCAUCGUUAAAAACACCUACAAAGGCUUGGUAGAAACUCAAGCUCGACUUUAUGCUUGGAAGGUGAAUUCAUUAUCUCUGGCUGGUCGCGCCACUUUUGUUCAGUCUAUGACCUCCGCUGUCCAGUAUAUGCUUUGCAGACAAUAUUACCAAUUACCAUUACAGAUAACCCCGAGUGUCAAAGAUUUUCCCAAGGCAAGAGAAGUUUGGCAAAAGUUGGAAAGUAUAACCAAUAGUCAGACCACAUUAAUUUUCAUGAUUGGCUUCAUUUUAAUUUCACCACUAAAUCACUCAUAUUGGGGGGUUUAGAGUAGAUGUUAGUAUUUUCUGUUGCUUGUUGGUUUAUUUGGUAUUGGCGAAAUACAUUUAUUUUCGAGCAAGAUUUUGCAAUGUUAGAUGAGCCUACCGUCGAUAUUUGUGCAUAUUUUCAUGAAUUGUUAGCCUUCUAAUACUCACAAAAUUGAUAAAUGCCGAAAGACUGAAUCUUUGCUCCACUGGGAAGCUCUUCAUUCAAAAUUGAUUUACACUUGAUGGAAAAUAAUGCUCCUUACAUAACUAACCGGCAGCCGUGCCGGAGGCAAUGUGUGUAUGGAAUCAUAUACUGAGGAUAUUGUCACUUCUAUGUUACGAUUUGAGGAGAGAAAGGCGGAGUAGGGAAGCCGGCCGAGAGGAACAGCUCCUGAUCUUAAGAAGGAUAUGUUGUAUCAUAAACUUAUAACUUGGUCCCUUAUUGAAUGAAAGGGCAGGCUUCUGCUUUGAAUAAUACCACUUCAGACUUCAGUCCAAUUAUGUCUUCCUGUUCUGAAAAUUGACAACUCCAUGUGAUAACAAAACAUCUCAUGUAUUAUUGUACGGUUGAAAAUUGCUGCUUUACACUAUACAUUUAACGUGAUUAGAAAUUCCAUGAAAAUUUACAAACAAUACCAGGGAUGUGUCAUAGGCUGAAAAGGAGUAAGGAUGUUUGUACAUAGGCUGAAAAGGAGUAGGGAUGUUUGUACGUUCCUUCCCCACAGCAAAACCACAUAGCAAAAGGAUUACAAACACAGCUAACAAAUCAAUAAACACAAAAUCAUCAUUAGGUCAACGAUCAUAUGAUUAUAUCAGAUGCACGUCAAUUAAAUAAUUCUCAUGUUCAACUAAGGUCACUAAAAGCCCCCUAUUUGGCCUAAUUAGAUAUGGUCUUCGUGGUGAUAGGAUAUUUGUAAUAUAGCUCAUGACUUAAAAAAAAAAAUUCGGAUUUAAACCCUUGUGGUGAUAGGGUAUUUAGAAGACAAUCCAUUUCUAUUGAGCCACAAUGAAGGGAGUGCAGAAAUUCACAGUUUUGUUUUUGGGAUUAACAAAGAAAUAACAGAAAUUUGGUUUUUGGGCUUAAAUCACAACGGACUUCACCACAAGAAUAUAAAUCUGAUUUUUUUUACCACAUGGGCUAUCUUCCGAAUACUCUAUCAUCACGAGGACUAUUUAUACAAUUAGGUCAAUGUUUUUUUAAGGUGAAUAUCACAUGCUAAAACGGAGAAGGAUUCUCUCAUCUUCUAAUCUCUCUCCCAUUCCCUCCUCUCCUACUUGAACAAUUAUGAUUAAGUUAUGUCAAUAUUUUAUAUUGAUAUUUUUAUAAAGAUAAUAAGACAAAAAACAAUGUGUUGAUGCACAAAAUCAGCGAGGACUUUGGUACAACAGAAAGUGUCAGGUUUGUGACAUUCGCUUGGUUGCUUCGAUCACUAGUGAAGAUAAGUACGUAAAUGAAUAGGGACAGGGAAGCAAACACAAGAUGUACGUGGUUCACCCAAAUCGACUACGUCCACGGAGUAGAGGAGUUCUCAUUAAUUGUGAAGGGUUUACACAAAUACAUAGGUUCAAGCUCUCAUUUUUUGAGUUCUAGUGAAUAGUUUAGUACAAAAUGACAUUAGAUAUUAUUGUGGGAGAAUGAUCCCUAUUUAUAGAAGAAAGUUUCUAGUUUUGUUCUAACAUUGACACGUGUCGUGUUGUGAUUGGCUUCUGAUGUUGACACGUGUCGCGCUGUGAUUGGCUUCUGAUGUCGACACGUGUUGCAUUGUGAUUGGCCUCCUGGUUGAAGGGAAGCUCUUCUGGGUCCUUGACGUAUAACGUUGACCGGUGCUCAGUAGUUUCGGGAUUGGUCAAGUAUGGUACAAACAGUGCUCCCCUAAGUUCCCGAGUGAGGGAAGCUCCUCGGUUGGGGACUUGCAAGAUCCAAGCCACUGAGUAAUCACGAAACUUCUAAGUACCGAAGUGUGGUAUCAUUUUCACGCGCCUUAUCUGUCUCAUAUGUAGAUGUGGCAUCUUCUUUGGAAGUACUUUUCCUUCAUCCAUGGGUGGUAUCUUUAACCGAUGAAGAUGCACAAGGUAAUGUAUCAAUUUCACUUGAAGCUUACUUAUAGUUUCGGGCUUGGUCAAGUGCGAUACAAACCCUAUAGUAGGAGUCCCCCAAGUCGCCGAGCUAGGAGAUCUGCCGAAAGAGGUGACAGACAAGGUAAGCAGUCAAACUUCCAAGCAAGCAACCCAGGAUCAGAGGUUCGACUUCGGCUUCCGGUUGAUUGUUCUCCUUCUCCUUGUCUCUCAUUCAGCUGCCGGGAUAAGGAGAGGCAAAUGGAGAAGAGAUGAUAUGAGAUACUUUUGCUUUUGAAGAAGUAACUUUCCACAGGCUUAUUCUUGAACUGUGCUGGAGGGUUUUCUGGUUCCCUUCAGAGUAUAAGGCCGACUCAAGAAUUUGAGGGUCAAAACAAGUCCAUCAAAUCUAGAGUACGUUCGACCUUGAUGAUAUGGGAUACUUUUGCUGUUGACGGAAUAGUGAAUGUGGUAUGGAAAAGUGUCGUGCUGUAGUGAUCUGUUUCAGCUCACCGUUAAACCUUCUGCUUUAAUCUUUUGCAUGGCAGAAGUGGUGUGCAACCUUUGCAUUUAAAUGGUCCUUCAGAACAUUCCUUCAUAGUGACUCAUCCACGCUUGGCAGCUUCAGUGUAAAGAGCCAAUAUCUGAUCAACUGUCAUGAGGUAUGUGCCGGUGGAAUUCAUGACCUUGACAGCAGUUGAGGAUGAGUUCUCGAGAGCAAUGCUAAGUAAGCAACCAGGCAAAGGUCUCAGGCAGUCAGUUCCAGAUUGGAGGUUUGAUUUCAGGUUCCGACUGACUGCUCUCUUUCUCUUGUCCUGCAGGUGUGGACAAGGACGAAGACAAGGACAGGGAGAAAGCAUAAUAUGAGAUACUCUUACUUUCGACCCUGAUGAUAUGAGAUACUCUUGUUCUUGGUGUGGCUUAUUUGCUGAGGUAUUAUCGGGGGGAAAUAAAGCUGAGUAUUUCGAGAGGUUAUGUUGAGGGUGCAUUCUCGAAUGUGAGAAAGGGUUGAGCAUUUUUGUAGGUUUGCCUGUCCGUUGAGGAUGGAGGUCGAUGUAUAUAGGGAUUUCCCAAUAACAAGUAGUAAUGCUAUUCCUUUAUCCUUCUUGGUCACAACAAUGUAGUGGGAGCUGCCAGCUUCACGUGUUUUAACUUUGUCAGAGCACUUUGAAAAAUUGGUAUGUGGUAUCUGGAAAGCUGAUGUUGCGUGUGAAGAUUACAGACAAGCUUUAUCUAAGGAAAUCUGGCUCUCGAAGUUCUGAGAGCUGUGCCUCUUCGGUUUUCGAACAAGCAAUCCCGUCGGGGAUCUAGCUCUCGAGAUUCGGAAAGCGGUGCAGCUUCGGUUUUUGAGAAAGUAAUUAUGUUAGGAGUCUUUUCUCGAAGGUGAGUAAAGGUUGGACGUUCUUGCCAGCCUGUCUUGCCACAGAACACGGAGGUCGACACACAUAGGGGCUUUCCAGUUGUCAAGCAGUGGUGCUGUUCCUUUACCCUUGUGGGUAAUAGUAGGGUAGCUGGAACUUCUAAAUUCUCGUGCCUAAACUUUGUCAGAGAUCUUUGGCAAAGUUAUAUGUGGUACCCGAGGAGUUGAUGGUGCGUGUGGAGAGUGGUGAUUGAACAGUAAGAUUCACGUGCUUUUUAUUUCACCAGAAAUCUUCGACAGAUUGCCCAUAAUUUCCGCAAAGCUGAGUGUGCAUGUGACAGGUGCUGACGAGGCUGAAAAAGCAGGUGCUUCUUCGAUUUCUGAGAUCGGCCCUCGUGGUCUCUGAGCAACUCAGCUUUCGAGAAAGCAAACGCCUCUUCGAUUUCUGAAGCUCUGUCAAGUGUAGAUUUUUAUAGAGGUUGGCAUUAAGUUCCACAUCACACUUGAAUCUCCACCAGUAGAAGCUCCCUUCUUGCACUUCUAAGAUCUUGAUUUGUCUGACCUCUUCCCUCUUCAACACCUUUGAAAAUGUCUAGCUCCUCUGACCGUCGUUUUGACUUGAACCUUGGAGAAGAGACAGCCACGCCUUCUCCAGACAACAUAUGGCGCCCAUCCUUCAUAUCCCCUACUGGUCCUCUUACCGUUGGGGAUUCUGUGAUGAAGAAUGAUAUGACCGCUGCAGUGGUGGCCAAGAACCUUUUCACUCCCAAAGAUAACAUACUACUUUCCAAACGGUCUGAUGAGUUGGCUGUUAAGGAUUCUUUGGCUCUUAGUGUUCAGUGUGCAGGUUCUGUGUCUAAUAUGGCCCAACGCCUAUUUGCUAGAACCCGCCAAGUUGAAUCAUUGGCUGCUGAAGUGAUGAGUUUCAAACAGGAGAUUAGAGGGCUCAAGCAUGAGAAUAAACAGUUGCACCAGCUUGCACAUGACUAUGCUACAAACAUGAAGAGGAAGCUUGACCAGAUGAAGGAAUCUGAUGGUCAGGUUUUACUUGAUCAUCAGCGGUUUGUGGGUUUGUUCUAAAGGCAUUUAUUACCGUCGUCUUCUGAGGCUGUACUGCGUAAUGAAGCUCCAAAUGAUCAACCUCCGAUGCCUCCUCCUUCUGGGGUUCUGUCCAGUACUGAGGCUCCGGAUAACCACCCUUCGGUGCUUUCUCUUUCUGGGGCUCUACCGACUGCUGAGACUUCCCCUGAGCAACCUUUGUGAAGGCUCCCUCUUGUUUGUUUAUUUUGAUUCAUGUAUAUGUACAUAUUUGUAACUUAUCGGAAAUAUCAAUAAACAAGAUUAUCUUCAUUUCAACGUAUUGUGUUAAAUACACCAAGGCAUUCUUCACUAAGUUCUUUGAAUUUUUCCUUUUGUUGAAGCUUGUAUGUUGAAACUUUGUGAGUGAAGCAUGUAGGUUGAGGUAGUGCUCCCUUAAUUUCCCGAGUGAGGAAAACUUCUCGUUUGGAGACUUGAAAAAUCCAAGUCACUGAGUGGUCGUGAGACUUCCGAGUAUCAAGGUGCAGUAGCAUAUGGUAGGAGUCCCCCAAGUCUCUGGUCGAGGGAGUUGACAAAUGAGGCAUUUCCUUUCGAAGUGGUAGCCCAAAACUCCUUCUUCAUAUAUAUUUGUUAUGAAAGUUGUUAGGCCCAAAGAAGAGGAGGCCUAGGCAAAUUUUUUUUUUUUUGAAUUUUCAAAUUUCCGGAUUUUUGAAUUUUCGAAUUUCCGAAAAAUAAAAAAUAAAAAUAAUAUAUAUAUAUUUAAAAGCUUUGUAGGUGAAGCUUUGGUGUUGAAGAUUUGUAGGUGAAGCUUUGAGGUUGAAGCUUUGUUGGGCACCAUGAAUUGAUUUUGCUUCACACUAUCUUGAUGAAGAGUGUGUGAAGCUUUUAUAUGUUUUGGUGUUGAAAUUUUGUAUUGUAGGUGAAACUUUGGGGUUGAAGCUUGAUAGGUGAAGCUUUGGUGUUGAAGCUUUAUAGGUGAAGCUUUGGUGUUGAAAGCUUUAUAGGUGAAAGCUUUGGUGUUGAAGCUUUAUGAAGCUUUAUGUGAAGCUUUGGUGUUGAAGCUUUAUAGGUGAAGCUUUUGUUGGCACCAUAAAUUAAUUUUGCUUCACACUAUCUUGAUGAAGAUAGUGCGAAGUUUUGGAGAUUGAUAUUUGUCCUCCAUUGAUGAAGCUUUUGUUGGCACCAUAAAUUGAUCUUGCUUCACACUAUCUUGAUGAAGAUAGUGCGAAGCUUUUGAGAUUGAUAUUUGUCCUCCAUUGAUGAAGCUUUUGUUGGCACCAUAAAUUGAUUUUGCUUCACAGUAUCUUGAUGAAGAUAGUGCAAAGCUUUUGAGAUUGAUAUUUGUCCUCCAUUGAUGAAGCUUUUGUUGGCACCAUAAAUUGAUCUUGCUUCACACUAUCUUGAUGAAGAUAGUGCGAAGUUUUGGAGAUUGAUAUUUGUCCUCCAUUGAUGAAGCUUUUGUUGGCACCAUAAAUUGAUCUUGCUUCACACUAUCUUGAUGAAGAUAGUGCGAAGCUUUUGAGAUUGAUAUUUGUCCUCCAUUGAUGAAGCUUUUGUUGGCACCAUAAAUUGAUUUUGCUUCACACUAUCUUGAUGAAGAUAGUGCAAAGCUUUUGAGAUUGAUAUUUGUCCUCCAUUGAUGAAGCUUUUGUUGGCACCAUAAAUUGAUUUUGCUUCACACUAUCUUGAUGAAGAUAGUACGAAGCUUUUGAGGAUUGUAGUUGUGUUCCAUUGUUGAAGCUUUGUUUUUCCUUUUUUUUUUUUUUUUUUUUUUUUUUUUUUGGGAAAACUAGAAAUUUGAAAAUGUGGGAGAGACAACAUAUACAAAUUUUGCUUCCAUACUGUUAAGCGAGAGAUUGUGAUGCAAGCCACAUCUUGUAGUAGUCGAAGGUUUGGAUGAACCAUAUAAAUUGAAUUUGCUUCGAACAGUCUUGAUCAAGAGCGUGUGAAGCUUUCUAUGAGUUGUAGUGUUUGCAUUGUUACAGAGGAGAAAUGUCUGAAGCAGAUGCAAGAGGGCUGAAGAGCUUGAUCUUCGUAUACCAUGCACUGAAGCCAUUGUUGGCUUGCAAUAAGACUUUGUUGGUGACUAUAGCUCUUGUUAGGCAUAAGUGCUCCCUUAGUUGAGUUGUAAAGCUUGAUGGUUUUUGAUUAUUUGUGAAUGCUAGGAGUUCACAUGUACAAGUUGUACCACUCGUCUUCUGGUUAGUGGAAUGAAGGGUGGGUUGCUUUCAUCACUUGGUUGGUGGUACGAAUGUGAAUUCCUUAAUCACCUUUCAUCACAUUUCAUCACCUGGUUGGUGACAUGAAGGAGAGUACGCGUUGUACAUUUCAUCACCUGGUUGGUGGCAUGAAGAUGAGUUCCUUCUUCACCUGAUUGGUGAUAAGGGUGGCAAGUUUCCAAAUAAUAUUAGAGUACGGGUUGUACAUUUCAUCACCUAGUUGGUGGUACGAAGGUGAGUUCCUUCAUCACCUAGUUGGUGAGAAUAAGGGCAAGGUGUCGAGGCACAUUGUGGCAAAUGUCGAAUGACACAAAGUGUGUUGAACCCUUUCGAAGCACAGUUGGCUUAUGUAUGGAUGUGUUGGAAUGUAUGAUGUUUAUGCAUGAAUGUGUUGGAAUGUAUGAUGUUUAUGUAUGAAUGUAUUGGAAUGUAUGAUGUUUAUGUAUGAAUGUGUUGGAAUGUAUGAUGUUUAUCCUUUGUAUAGUCUUGUUGACACAUACUUAGAUUUUGUUUUGUAUUAGAAACAUUUGCGUUGAAGCUUCAACACUUGAGUGUUUCAUUGCUCAGAAUGUAAAAGAGUUUAGGGCCGAGUUGGCUAAAUCACCUUUUUAUUGAAUUCAUACCAAAUGGUUUUGUUACAUAGGAUGCCGAACGGCUGUAGCUUAACACUUGUACAAUGUGAGUCUAUUUGUAAUAGUACUUCAAGUCGUCAGCAUUCCAUGGAUGGCCAAAAGUCUUGCUGUCGGAGCUUCUGAGCUUGUAGGAGCCAGGGCGGCUGAUGCUGACGACCUCGAACGGUCCAUCCCAGUUAGGACUGAGUGUUCCUUCAUUCGGGACUCUAUCACAGAGUAAUCUUUUCUUCAGUACCCAGUCUCCACUUUGAAUGAGCGAGGUUUGACCCUUGAGUCGUAGUAGUUGGAGAUGCGCUGCUUGUAGGCGACAUUCCUCAGAUGAGCCUGAUUUCUAUGUUCCUCGACUAGAUCCAGGUUGAGGGUGAGUUGUUUGUCGUUUUCACUCUGCAUGUAGUUCUGGAUUCGGUAUGUUGCUUGCUCAAGCUCAACCGGGACAACUGCUUCUGUACCAAAAGCAAGUGAGAAUGGAGUUUCUCCUGUGGAAGUCCGAUAUGAAGUGCGGUAUGACCAAAGAACUUGGGGUACGAAUUCUGGCCAACAACCUUUAGCUUUGUCCAAGCUAGUUUUCAGAGUGCGCUUGAUUAUUUUGUUAACGGCCUCGACUUGUCUAUUAGACUGGGGAUGGGCUGGAGAGGCAAAACAUAAGUUGAUGUUAAACUUAGAGCAGAACAUCCUGAAGUUCUUGUUAUCGAAUUGUCACCCAUUGUCCGUGACUAUCGCAUUGGGAAUGCCGAAUCUGCAAAGGAUGUUCUUCCAUACGAAGUCUUCUAUUUUUGCCUCAGUAAUGGUUGCCAAGGGUUCUACUUCAGUCCACUUUGUGAAGUAGCCAACUGCAACGAUUGCAUAGCGGACCUUGCCCUUCCCUGCAGGCAUUGGGCCGAUCAAAUCAAGUCCUCAUUGGGCGAAGGGCCAAGGGCUGAUCAUAGGAGUGAGCGGCUCGGGAGGGGAGUGAGGGAUAGUUGCGUAGCGUUGACACUUAUCACAUGAGCGAGAUAUUCUGAUGGCAUCUUGGUGGAGUGUUGGCCAAUAGUAUCAUUGGCGAAAAGUCUUGUGUGCUAGGGAUCGAGACCCAGCAUGAUCUCCGCAGACUCCUUCAUGUAUUUCCCGAAGGACAAUUUCCGCCUCCGCAGGUGUAAGGCAUCUUAGGUAAGGCAGGGUAAAACCUCGCUUGUAGAGUUGGUCAUUAAUGAUCAGGUAGCGAGCAGACUUGUAUCGAAUCUGCUUAGCUUGGACUUUGUCAUUUGGGAGGGUGCCAUGGGCAAGGAAUUUAUAAAUUGGGGUGAUCCAACUAUCUCCUUGUUGUAAAUUGCACACUUCUGCGACCAUGGUGCUUGGUGCUGCCAACAAUUCGACAUGAAUUUUUCUCCCAAUCUUGUCUUCCACUGCCGAGGCGAGGCGGGCCAAAGCGUCUGCAUGACUAUUUGCCGCUCGAGGAACUUGGGUGAUCUGGUAGUGGAAGUGCUUGAGCAAAAGUCGUGUUUGCGCAAGAUAUGUUGCCAUGGAGCUAUCCUUAGCAUCAAAGUUGUUCGUGACUUGGUUGACCACUGAUUGAAAGUCACUGAAGAUAUCAAUUUGUUUAACUCCAAGAUGCUUGGCCAAACGUAAGCCUGCUAGAAGGGCUUCGUAUUCGGCCUCGUUGUUCGAUGCCUUGAAUUUGAAACGAAGAGCGUAUUCUAUCGCCACUUUGUCAGGGGUAGUGAGGACUAAUCCUGCUCCGCAGCCCUGUUGGUUGGAUGAGCUAUCAACAUACAGACUCCAUGCUGGGGUUGUUGAUUUUGUCUUCUGAGCUUCCGAUGGUAAUGAAGCUAUUGCUUCAGGUGUAGAAGCUAUUGCUUCAGGUGUAGAAGCAAUGUCAACAGGAUAUGUGAAGUCGGCGAUGAAAUCUGCUACUGCUUGACCCUUUUCGGCUGGUUUUGGUUGGUAGGAGAUGUCAAACUCACCCAAUGCUAUUGCCCAUUUGAUCAUUCGCCCAUACGUGUCAGGACUCUAGAGUACCUGUCGAAGAGGGUGAUUGGUAAGCACGAUGAUGGCGUGUGCUUGGAAAUAAGGGCGAAGUUUUCCAGCAGACAUGACCAAUGCUAGAGCUAAUUUCUCAAUGUUGGAAUAUCGUGUCUCCGCAUCUUGUAGGGCCUUGCUAGCAUAGUAGACGGGCCGUUCGACACCACUGUCCUUUCGGAUAAGAACAGAACUGACUGCUGAAGCCGAGACCGAUAGAUAGAUAAUGAGAGUGUCACCAACUUCUGGUUUGGAGAGCAGAGGGGCUUUACUCAUGUACUCUUUGAGGUUCCUGAAUGCCUUGGCACAUUCCUCCGUCCAUGUAAUGUACUUCUUAUUUCCCUUGAGUGCUUUGAAGAAAGGAGCACAUCUGUCUGUGGCCUUAGAGAUGAAUCUGGUUAAGGCUGCCACAUUGCCAGUAAGGCUUUGGAUGUCUUUUGAAGUUACUGGCUCUUUCAUGUCGAGGAUUGCUUUGAUCUUUUCGGGGUUAGCUUCAAUGCCUCGUUGGCUAAUCAUGAAGCCUAAGAAUUUGCCAGAUCCCACGCCGAAGGCACAUUUGUUGGGGUUCAACCUCAUUCGAUACCUCUUUAGAAUGGUGAAAGUUUCAGAUAGGUUGGUGAUGUGUUGGUCAGCAUGUUUGCUUUUGACUAGCAUAUCAUCAACGUAAACUUCCAUGCUCUUCCCAAUCUAUUCGGCAAACAUUGAAUUGACCAGUCUCUGAUAAGUUGCUCCUGCAUUCUUUAGGCCGAAAGGCAUGACUUUGUAGCAAUAUAGUCCCUUGUCAGUAGUGAAGGCUGUGUUCUUGGUCUGAGGGGUUCAUGAGGAUUUGGUUGUAUCCUGAAUAAGCGUCCAUGAAGCUCAAGAGCUCACACCCUGCCGUAAAGUUUAUAAGUCUAUCAAUGAGAGGAAGGGGGAAACUAUCAUUCGGGCAUCCUUUGUUUAGGUCGGUGUAGUCGACACACAUUAUCCACAAGACCUUUUGAAGCAGAAGACUUUCUUUGGUCAGAUUUUUCUUAACAAGGACAACAUUUACUACCCAUGUUGGGUAAUUGACUUCACGGACGAAGCCUAUGUCCUUGAGUUUUUCAACUUCUGCUUUCAUCGCCUCGUAUCGUUCAACAUCAUAAGAUCUUCGCUUCUGUUUUACUGGUUUGGUCUUGGGAUCAAUACUCAAGUGGUGACAGAUGAUAUCGGGAGAGAUGCCCGGCAUAUCUUUAUAUGACCAAGCGAAGACCUCGGCGUUCUCUUGCAAAAAGGAGAUCAGCGACAACCGAAGGGGUGGUGACAAAGUGGUGCCAAUCUUCACCAUGCGAUCUGGAUGGUCUUUGGAGAUAGAGACAUUCUCUAACUCUUCAGCGGGUUGUGCUUGCUGGGUGAAUGAGUCAUCUCGAGGGUCGUCGGGUUGACUGUUGCCAUCAUGAAGAUCCGAGUUGGCUUCAUCUGGACUGGUCUUUACUACCUGGUUAUGUAUAGAGAGGGUCUCCUUGAGGACAUGCAGGUGUUGUUGCUUAACUGAAGUGUUGUAACAUGAUCGAGCACUAAGUUGAUCUCCCAUGAUGUAUCCAUUGCCGAAAGGGGUUGGAAACUUCAUCAACAACAUAUGUGUGGAUACCAUGGCCUUGAGAUCAUUGAUGCCUGUGCGCCCAAAGAUGACAUUAUAUGCCGUCGGGCAAUUGACCACUAGGAAGUUAGUGGUAAUAGUAGCUGUGUAGGGGCCUGUACCAAUGGUGAGGGGUAAGUGUAUACUCCCUAAAGGUUGCACGAUAUCGCCAGAGAAGCUUAUCAGAGGAGAAAUCGAGCGAUCGAGCAAGUGUUCAGCUACAUUAAGUGCCUUGAAAGCUUCAGCAAACAUGAUAUUGACUGAAGCACCUGUGUCUAUCAGGAUUCGUUUCACAUCAAAAUUUGCUAUGUGAGCCUCCACGAUCAGCGGGUCGUUGUGAGGGUAGAUGAUACCUCUUUCUUCCUCAGGGUAGAAACAUAUUGGAUCCCAGUUAGGUUUUUGAUACUUGCCUCCCCUGAUGUCUUCCACGUGAAACACUUGAUGGCCAUGUCUCAAAGUUCGUUCACUGUUUUUCAUGGCCCUAUUGGAAGAUUCAGACAUGGGUGUGCCGCCGCUUAUGGAGUAUAUCACAUUCACCUGGCGUUGGUUACGGUUAUCCCUUGGAGGAUGAAGGAGGAACUGAUCAAUUUUUCCUUCACGUGCCAAAGCUUCGAUAUGAUCAUGGAGGAUGAUGCAUUUCUCGCCGUCAUGGCCAUUAUACGUGGUAGCAGCAAAACACGCUCGUGUUCUUCGUGGACUUGUAAUUUGGCUGUCUUGGCUUUGGCUUUGGUAUCAGGUAAGCUAUACUGGGGUAGAUGGCCGCGCAUGUAGCGUUCAAAGGUGUGUAUGUCUCAUACCUCGGGGUAUGGCCUGUCUUGACACGCGAUUGGCCCACUGCGUUGACUGCAUGGGGAUGGGUGUUAUUGUGACGAUAUACUGAGUUAUCGUGAUAGUGCCCCUUAUUCUUUUUAUUAAAAUGAGAUUGGUGAGGAUGGAAAUCUUUCCUUUUGCCCUGGGAUUGAUAUGUCUGCUGACUUGGCGAAGCAUUAAAUGAGGCCGGGGGGUGUGCUGCUACCGUUUGGAAGGUUGAGGUCUUUUCAUUCGGUUGGAUCUGGCCUCCACUCCUACUUGCUGAUAAGGGGUGACUGUAGGGGGUUUCCCUUGAUAUGUCCUUGCCUCGGCAGAGGCAUGGUUGUAAGCUUGUGCCAUCACUUCAGAGUAAGUCUUCCAAGUGUUGGCAUUGAUCAUGUACUUGAAGAAACAGUCACGUAAGCCUGCCGUGAAGGCCUUGAGGGCGGUCUUGUCAUCUGCCUCAGCGCAGCGGGAAUACUCAUGGCUGAAGCGACCAGCAUACUUUCGUAAUGACUCGUCCGGCUUCUGGUGAAUAGUGUACAAGUCAUCUGCGGAAUGCAAGCGAUCGGUCUAGAAGAUGUGUUGAGAGACAAACAACUUCCUCAACUCUUCAAAUGAGUCUACCGUCUCGGGUAGAAGACGACAAUACAGUUUAAAGCUCCGCCAGAAAGGGUGGAGGGGAAGAGAAGGCACCGUUCUUCAUCGGUGUGUCUCCGGUAUACCAUGGUGGACUCAAAGAGGUUAAUGUGUUCAAUCGGGUCUUCCCUUCCAGUAUAGAGUUGUAAGUCAAGCUUCUGCUUUGUCUUCGCUUGGAGGGGGGUGUUGAGGAUCCUUCUUGUGAGGGGGCCAGGCCUGGGUUGGUUCCAGUCAGGUAUCUCGGCUUGACGUUCAGCCUUCAACUUGUUUACUUCCUCCAGGAGCUGUAGGACGAGGGGGUCCUGAGUGGAGUCGUGCAUCACUGGAGUUUUCUUCCGUAAGUCCCCAUCGCCUCUUGGAAGUAGGAAAGUUUGAUCAAGAUAGCAUGAUUUUUCCUUGGACUCGUCACACUGACUCCUAGAGUGAGUAUGUCGGAACAUUUCCGAGUCCCCUGUACCUUCAUGUUCUUCUGGGACUUGUUGCCCAUUCCCUAGAUUAACUGCUGGCCUGGGUCGUGGGAAAGGACCGAGUCUUUCAGAAACUCUUGGGUCAUUGAUCUUCGAGCUUAUGUGGAUGGGAUUCUCUCGACGUUGCUUUAGGAAGUCUCGACAAUCGCGAUAGACAGCUUUUGAUCCUUCCACUCCUUCUGUGAGGAGGUGCUUUCCUCUACUCUUUCUGCUUCGGGUUGAAGCAGCUGGGUUGAGAGAAGUCUCAUGUUGAUUAUCACAUUGAUGUGUAGCUCGAUCCCUAUCAGGGAUGUCCGUGUUGGAUAUUGGUGACCCUCCGUGUUGGGGGGCAUUCAGAUGAUUGUUGACCUCAGCAGGGGCGACGAGCUUGUGUGCUUGAGCAUGCCUAGCCUCGUGAAGCAUCUCGAAAAGUUUUUCAUACUGCUCCUGGAGGACCUCGUUCCUCAUCACUAUCUUGUUGUUCUGAGCUUCUAACUCAUCGACUUUAGCUUGAAGAGUAACUCUAUUUCCUUCCUGCUUUCGUUGCUUCAUACUAGGUCCAAUGGGGGUGUCAUUCUGUGUGCUAUGGCUUCUUUCGCUCCCCAUGUUGGAGAGAGAUGUUUGGCCAAAAGAAAGUGUACGGGCGGUGGAAACCAGCUUAACAAAGCUGAAGAGAGUGGGAGUAAGUGUCUUUCCCACAGACGGCGCCAAAUGUUGAUGCACAAAAUCAGCGAGGACUUUGGUACAACAGAAAGUGUCAGGUUUGUGACCUUCGCUUGGUUGCUUCGAUCACUAGUGAAGAUAAGUACGUAAAUGAAUAGGGACAGGGAAGCAAACACAAGAUGUACGUGGUUCACCCAGAUUGGCUACGUCCACGGAGUAGAGGAGUUCUCAUUAAUUGUGAAGGGUUUACACAAAUACAUAGGUUCAAGCUCUCAUUUUUUGAGUUCUAGUGAAUAGUUUAGUACAAAAUGACAUUAGAGAUUAUUGUGGGAGAAUGAUCCCUAUUUAUAGAAGAAAGUUUCUAGUUUUGUUCUAACAUUGACACGUGUCGUGUUGUGAUUGGCUUCUGAUGUUGACACGUGUCGCGCUGUGAUUGGCUUCUGAUGUCGACACAUGUCGCAUUGUGAUUGGCCUCCUGGUUGAAGGGAAGCUCUUCUGGGUCCUUGACGUAUAACGUUGACCGGUGGUAGAUGGCCGCGCAUGUUGAUGUGGCAUCUUCUUUGGAAGUACUUUUCCUUCAUCCAUGGGUGGUAUCUUUAACCGAUGAAGAUGCACAAGGUAAUGUAUCAAUUUCACUUGAAGCUUACUUAGAAGUUUCGUGAUUACUCAGUGGCUUGGAUCUUGCAAGUCCCCAACCGAGGAGCUUCCCUCACUCGGGAACUUAGGGGAGCACUGUUUGUACCAUACUUGACCAAUCCCGAAAACUACUGAGCACCGGUCAACGUUAUACGUCAAGGACCCAGAAGAGCUUCCCUUCAACCAGGAGACCAAUCACAAUGCGACACGUGUCGACAUCAGAAGCCAAUCACAGCGCGACACGUGUCAACAUCAGAAGCCAAUCACAACACGACACGUGUCAAUGUUAGAACAAAACUAGAAACUUUCUUCUAUAAAUAGGGAUCAUUCUCCCACAAUAAUCUCUAAUGUCAUUUUGUACUAAACUAUUCACUAGAACUCAAAAAAUGAGAGCUUGAACCUAUGUAUUUGUGUAAACCCUUCACAAUUAAUGAGAACUCCUCUACUCCGUGGACGUAGCCGAUCUGAGUGAACCACGUACAUCUUGUGUUUGCUUCCCUGUCCCUAUUCAUUUACGUACUUAUCUUCACUAGUGAUCGAAGCAACCAAGCGAAGGUCACAAACCUGACACUUUAUGUUGUACCAAAGUCCUCGCUGAUUUUGUGCAUCAACACAAUGUAUGAGAGAAGGAAAUGAAAGAUGAUGUGAAUAAGAGGGGAGAAAAUUCUACUCAUGCUAAAAACAAAAAAUAAUGAUCGACUCUGUAGAUAUUGGCCAAACCAAACAUUAGAUGUGAAAAAUUAGCACUUUGCCGAAUAAUAUUCCGAGUGAGCAAAAUAGAGAAAAAUAUAACAAUGGCACACAGAAAAAAUAUAAAAGUUGAGGAGCCGGGUGAUAUAAUAUUAGACAUUGCAAUUGUAGGCUCGGACGACUCAAGGAGAAAAAGGUUGCUUGCACCACUAUAGGAAAAUUACAAAUCAACAAUGCAGAGGUAACGUGCAUGGUCUUCUCUUCUGCCAUGAAAAAUUCAUGUUGCUUUCAUAUAAUUAACUAAUUAACUAGUUAUUAGUGUUAAUUAUUCUCUAACAUUUCCUUCCUCCAUUGUUUUCUUCUUCUUCAGAUCAAAGUUUCAAUAGUUUUUUUUUAUUUUUUAAAUUCCUUUUACUUUAACAAUAUUAGCGAUUCCAAUUCUACUAGCUAGUUUUAGGUUGUAUUUUAAUUGGCUCGUGUGCUUCUGUUGCAGGACGUGUUUGGGGAAAAAGGAAGGAUACUUGAACAGGCAGGAGCUGUAGCAAAGGUAGCCUCUAUGAAAAAACAUAAUGAACUCUUUGUAACGAAACAACUUCGUUUGACUCGUUUCAUUUAAAUUUUUUGUUUUUCUCAGGUGCAAAGCGACGUGGUUUUGUUAAAAAAAAAAAAAAAACUAAAACGGAGCAACGCCCCACUGCAGAAAACCAAAAUGCAGCACCGCAGCACCAGAGCAGAGGGGUGGAAACCUGGAUUUUGGGAACGAACUCCGGCGACCGAAGGUGCGAACACACCUCCUUGAACCUCUGUGGCUUCGCCAAUGAAGGUCUCGAUAUUAUUUAUGAGGAGUUCAUGAUAAUUACUUUAAAGUGUUAAUAACAAUCCUCUUUCUUAUUCUUAUGCUAGUAGGUCUGGUACUUCCUACAAUCUUAAAAUAUGCAUAAAUUCACUCAUAUAGAAUGGGAAAAUGCCAUACGUUACCAUUUGGAAAUUGGCGAGACAUGAAAAAGUCCUUGAACCUCGCUCCCCCCCGCAAGGCAGGCUUAAACUCGCCCGUGAUGAGAAGACAUGUCUUUUGUGAAUGACAGGAAAUAGGACAAAACCAUCCCUUCUCUUUUUUGUUAGUAAAAGCAUCCCAUGCUUUCUAUCUCUUCAUUCCACUGACUAUUUCGAACACAAAACAUCAAUACAAGUAUUAGUAAAAUGAAAACUUCUUUCUUUUAUUCAAUAAUUAUUAUGGGUUGUGUUUAUUGAUCAACCUGUAAGUAGAUAAAACACUAAUAAUACAAUUAGUUAGGUAAAAAAAAUCAGUUUUUUUUUCAAGUUUCUCAACUAACCGGGACCUAAGUAUUCCCUUGGCGUUCUUACACCAACAAAGAAACAACAACGAAACACACAGGAACACAAAAAUUGGGGACCUCUUUUUAUCUACUUGCCCACCAUCACAAAUAUUACCUUUUUUUUCUUGUAUGGUUUGGUGGUAGGGAACGAAACCUAGCUACAUUCACUUCUUCUGAUUUGCAGUUGACUCUGGUUUUUACAUGAGUAUAUACUGAAGCUCGAUGGACCCCAGGCUAUAUAAUAUUCGAAAAUAGUCAUUCCUUAUUUGUCCGUCAAUCACAAUAUAUAUAAUCAAUUUGAUGAGUAAUUUUGCGUACAUGUAAAGUGUACGUACAAUCCUACAGAGAAUAUUUACAUUAGUUAUAAGGCCUCAGCAUUUGAUAUAACUAAAAGGCAACCUGUAUCAACUCAUUCUUCGAGUCAAGAAUAUCUGAGCUUCUUAGAGGGGGAAUAUAGGCUCUAAAACCAUGUCUUGGUUUUUUACAGUUCUCUUUCUUGUUACUGCUCUUACAUUUCAUACUCCUUCAGAGGCUAGCCAUGAGAAGAACGAUCCUUCUGCAGUUGUUGUAGGCACUGUCUACUGUGACACAUGUUUCCAAGAGGAUUUCUCACAUACCAGCCAUUUCAUUUCAGGUAAAUUCAUCUCAAAAUUUCAACAAGUUCUUCAUCAAAUUUAUUUUUAUAUUGUAGUCUGACUAUAAAAUAGACGUCCGUUCAAUGAUUUCCGUACACCUUCUCCUCCAUACACUCAUGUUUAUUUUGUAAUCUUUAAAUUCAAAUGAAUCAAAGAAAAUCAAAAGAAAGGAAUAAAAAGGGUACAAAAUGAAAAAAAAGAAAGUAAAAUCCAAGAAAAUGACUGAAAACCUAUAUGUAAGUAUUUCCUAUAUAUGAGUCAACUAUACAACUACGAAAAGUAUAUAACAAAUCAAUUUCAAAAAAAUCUCGCCUAACUCCUUGGCGGUAAGACUCUGCAUUCAAUCACGAUUUCUUUCCAACAGACAACGAGUGGUAGGGAUAUUAUUUCUCUUGAAGAAAAGUUGGAGGAUAUGUCAUUUGUAUGUGUUGAUAUCAUUGUCGCCAAGUAUGCAUGUCAUCAGUAACUUUAAAUGAUUUAUCCCCAUACAAAGUAUAAUAGUUGAUCUAAAUGAUUUAUCCCCAUACAAAGUAUAAUAGUUGGUCUAAACCCUAAUUCCAUAAAGGACCAUACUGUUUAAAUGAAAUAAUUGCUCGGUUCCAUUUUACCCCUACAUUUUCUGCUUUUGUUUCGUUGCAAGAGUUUAACUUGUUAUUUGGAAUAUAUUGUUCACAGAAAGCACUUGUUCAGCAAUUUUUGGCUACUGAAGAUGCACUGAACAAAGCUGCAGAAGCGAGGGAUCUAUGUCAAAAACUUAUAAAACGCUUGCAUGGCAAUAGUGAUGUAAUUUCUUCAGGAACAUCACAAAAUGUGGGCAGUCUUAGGCAACUUGAGGUAAAUCUUCCUUGCAUAUUAAAAGUAUUAACUACCAAUAGUUUGGGUGGAAAUAGCACCAUGGGUGACAGGUUUGAUUAGUUUCAGUCUUUUGAUCGUUUCCAUAGUUGUAUACUGUAUACUAGGUUACUUUUAGCCUGCACUGUGUUCUCAUCUGAUUUUUUACAGUCUUCCAUUUGCUUUGUGUAGAUGGAGGUUUGGGCUAAGGAAAGAGAAGUUGCUGGCUUGAGGGCUAGCUUGAAUACACUGAUGUCUGAAAUACAACGCUUAAAUAAAUUAUGUGCGGAAAGGAAAGAAGCUGAAGAUUCUUUGAAAAAGAAGUGGAAGAAGAUUGAAGAAUUUGAUUACCGCAGAUCAGAACUUGAAAUCAUAUAUACCACAUUACUAAAAGUUAACAUGGUAAGGAUCUCAGCUUCAAUAGUGCUUAUAAAUUUACUAGUCACUUCAUAUACUGGCAUUGUAUAAGCCAUGUCUGGUCAUUCCAUGAAGUGUCGGCUCCUUUUCUUUAAGUUCCAGGCAAAAGUUCAUAUAUAUAAUAUAAAAUUCAAGACAAAUUUUCUAGCAGCCCAACGAGUAGAUGGACUCUUUUUUUUUUUUAAAUGAAAUCCACGGUCUCCUCUUUAGAUGCCCAAAGACCCUAUUUAUGGUUAUAGGUCUGGGGUUAACUCACCAGGAGACUUCAAUUUCCCUGGAACUUAUGCAAAUGAUAUCACCAAUUGCAUAGUUUUCAUUUGUUAUUCGUAUCAUAUGGUAGAAUAUUUCAAUAGAGGCAGCUAGGAUAAUGCUUAUCCAUCUCUUUGUCUUCUGUCGGGAAUAUUUUCUAAUGUUAUUUUUGUCUUGGUACAUGGUAGGAUGCUGCUGCCUUCUGGAAUCAGCAGCCAUUAGCCGCACGGGAGUAUGCAUCAAGCACAAUUAUUCCUGCAUGCACAGUAGUCAUGGAUCUUUCAAAUAGUGAAAAACAUCUUAUUGAAAGAGAAGUUUCUGCUUUUGACCAAAGUCCUGAUAAUAGCCUCUACAUGAUUCCAGCAAUUCCACAGGUUUGUGUUGGGGCUUAAAAAGACUUCACUACUUUGGAGAUGUUUAUCUCAUAAAGAAGAAUGUAACGCAGCGGAAUUGAUAGCCAAGAAAAAAGAAAGAACACUCAGAGUAUUACACAAAAUUUUUAUUCUCACACAAACUUAGUACAAGAGGAAACACUCAAACACUCUUACACUUCUUCACUCUUUUUCUCGCUUCUUGCUUUCUUACUGACUCUCACUUCUUCUUGCUUCUUUGUUACACAACACCACACACCUAUUUAAAGGUGGUGUUCCCCGACUAUCCUUGUUACCACCGACUUGAGCAUUGCAGCAAUGACCACAUGAUUUGCCGCCUCUAGAUCUUUCUUUAACUUGGAUAUUUUAGGUGAUAACCAUUUGAAAUUGCUGAAAUUUUCCAGCUAUAUUAUCGACAUAGAUUGCUAGCAUUUGCACACAUUUGCUUUGGGUUAGAUCACUUGUCUUGGGCCAAAGACAAGAUUACCUUUUAACAUCCUCCCUUAAUCUUGUCUUGUGACGCCGAUUGAGUUCCUCAGUCUAACAAAGUCUUCUUGUUUGAGUGGCUUGAUGAAUAUGUCAGCGACUUGGUCUUGAGACUUCACGGAUUCCACUUGCACAUCCUUUCUUGCAAUGCACUCUCUUAUGUAGUGAUAACGAGUAUCUAUGUGCUUGCUCCUGUCAUGGAACACCAGAUUCUUUGCUAGAGCUAUUACAGACUUGUUGUCGACAUUGAUCUCUGUUGGCUCUUCUUGUGGCCUGCUUAAUUCUUUCAGCACGUUUCUCAGCCAAAUUGCAUGACAGAUACAUGCGGUAGCAGCUAUAUAUUCAACUUCACAGGCAGACAGUGUGACAAUUGGUUGCUUCUUCAACAUCCAUGUGAAUGCAGUGUCUCCCAUGAAGAACACAAAUCCAGUAAUGUUUUUUCUAUCGUCGGAAUCUCCUGCCGAAUCACUGUCGCUAUAUCCAACAAGCUUGUAGUUAUUAGAGCUUGAAUAGAACAAGCCAAAGUUAAUAGUACCUUUAAGGUAUCAAAGAAUUCUUUUGGCGGUCUUCAAAUGUGUACUUAUGGGAUUCUCCAUGUAUCGACUAACUAAUCUGACGACAUAGAGAAUAUCUGGUCUUGUGCAAGCCAAUAGUGCAAGCUUCUAACUAGACUUUUGAAAAAUGUUGGAUCUACGCUUUCUCCUUUGUCAUGCUUGGUUAGUUUGACUCCGCACUUCAUUGGCGUGCUUAUGGGCUUGCAGUCUUCCAUUUUGAACUUUUUCAAUACCUCAUUUUGUAGCUUUCUUGGGAGAUGAAAAUGCCUUCUUCGUUUUGCUUAACUUCAAUGCCUAGGUAGUAUGUCAUCAGCCCGAUGUCGGUUAUCUCGAAUUCUUUGGUCAUCACUCUCUUGAACUCUUCAAACAUACUUGGAUUACUCACGGUGAAGAUUAGAUCAUCCACAUAUAAGCACACAAUCAAAAUGUCUCCAUCUUUGACUUUGAGAGCAUGUUCAUGAGGGCACUUGAUGAAGUUGUUCUCCUGAAAGUACUUGUCGAUGUGACUAUUCCAUGCUCGUGGCAUUUAUUUUAACCCAUAGAGGACUUUCUUCAACUUCAGAACUUUGUCUUCAUGCCCUUUGAUUUCAUAACCUGAUGGUUGCUGAAUGUAGACUUCUUCUUCAAGGACUCCAUUUAGGAAAGCGGACUUCACAACCAUUUGUUGAAUCUUCCAUUUGUUUUGAGCUGCCAAAGAAAUUAGUAAUUGUAUCGUUUCCUAAUGAGCAACGGGUGUAAAUACUUCAUUAUAAUCGAUUCUGGCUGUUUGACUAUAACAUUUCGCCACUAGUCUCGCCUUGUGUCUUUCGACCUCUCCAUUGGCAUUUUUCUUUGUUUUGUACACCCACUUGACUCCGAUGGCUUUAUGUCAUUUCGGAAGAAUAGUGAGUUCCCAUGUAUCAUUUUUUUGAAUUGCUUUGAUUUCUUCAUCCAUUGCUUUCCUCCAUUUAGUAUCCUGCACUGCUUCUUAGAAGUUGACUAGUUCACAAUCAGCAAAGAGACAGAAAAAUGUAGGAUUAUCAAGUCUUUUAGCCACCUCAUAGAGAUCUUGUAGACUUCUUGUGUGUGGUACUUCUGUUUCAUUUAGACUCCCACUUGACGAUGCUGAUGCUGGUAAAUUGCCAUGAUUGGUUGAUGUUGGUGAAGCAGGUAGAGUAGUGGAUUCUUGUUGAUCUUCUCUUGCUUGCUCCAUUAUUGUUUGUUCAUUAUCUUCUUCAAAUUGAGGAAAGAAGUGAAGAUCACCUGCAUGCAAGCCAAAAUCCCAUUCUCUUUCUUUAUUGAACGUCACUUCUCGACUAAUCACCGUCUUCCCAUUGUUCGAAGUAUACAGUUUAUAGCCUUUUGAAUUUGUGUCAUAGUUGAUGAAGAUGAACUUCUCACUUUUGUCGUCAAGUUUGGUGCUCCUCUUGUCUGGUACAUGUACAUGGGCUAUGCUUCCAAAAACUGUUAGAUGAAAGAUACCUGGCUUUCUUCCACUCCAUGCUUCUUGCGGAGUCCUUCCCUACACACUCUUUGUUGGAGACCGAUUGGAUAGGUAGACAACAUAUGUUACAGCUUCUGCCCACAAUUCCUUAGGCAAUCUCUAGCUUUUGAGCGUGCUUCGAGCCAUGUCGAGGGAUAGUUCGAUCUUUUCUUUCCGCCACACUAUUUUGUUGAGGGGAUCUUGGAACUAUCAAAGGUCAACGAAUUCCAUUUGCUUCACAAAACUCUUGAAAUUCAUUCGAAGUGAAUUCUCCUUCUCGAUCAGAUCUCAUGGCUUUGAUCUUGCAACCACUCUACUUUUCUACAACGGCUUUGAACUUCUUGAAUGCUCCAAAGACUUCUGAUUUCUGCUUCAAGAAAUACACCCAGGUUUUCCUUGAAAAAUCAUCAAUGAAGAGAAGGAAAUAAUUAUUUUUAGCCCAUGGAACACAAAAUUAUAACUUUUUGGACAACAAUACCCUUCUCUUUUUCAUUAAUUUCACUUCGAAAAUUAAACAAAAUUAAUCAAAAUUCCAGAGAUCUCUCAAUUUCUGCACAAUUAGCAUAAAAUAUUCAUUAAAAAUCAAAAUUUACCUCAACAAAUCAACUCAAAAACUAAGUUCUCUUGUUUUUCCAGGAAAUCAAGCUUAUUUGAUCGCACUUCAAAUUUUUUGGGAAACUGAGUGACAAAAACCCAACAAAAAGAAAUUUUCUCUAUGUUUGAUUUCUAUAUUCAAAGAAGAAAAACAGCAAAAUGAAGAAAAUCCAGAUCAGAUAAAGCAUUCUUGAGAAAGCCAAAGAGAGGAAAUUUUCUGGGGAAACAAACAUGAAGAACAGAAGGGUACCGGGGAAAGCCGAUGAAAGGAAGUGGCUGAUGCCGUCGCUCGAGGGAUGGGACAGCGAGGAUUAGGUGGAAGAUGUGAGGGAUGACGUUGAACUCGUAGGCGGUGGCUCAGGUAAGGUCGAACUCGUCGGAGUGGAUGGGUACGAUUGUCAUUUAAUCUUUCGUUCCAUUUCAGCUUGAACAUACACCAAAUGUAGCAUGGAACCUCCGUUCCGUCCUGUUUCGUCCAGUCUGUGUACUAAACGGUACCUUAUUGAAUGAAAGGAAAAGGCUUCUGCUUGGCUUAAUACCACUUUAGUCCAAUUGUCUUCUUGUUCUAGAAAUUGACAACUCUAUGUGAUGAAAAAACAUCUCAUGCUUAUUGUACGGAUGAAAAGUGCUGCUUUACACUAUUACAUUUAAAGUGAUUAGAAAUUCCGUGAAAAUUUAUAUUAUCUCAUUGCAUUGAUGAACGGGUGAGAUAUAGAGAAACAAAAUUUUAUACUUUCAUCUACUACAUUGAUGCUUAGGCGCACCGAAAGUCACCCAAAACCCUAAAAUUCUCCUCAUGAAUUAUGUGUCUAAUAUUUUUCAGAAGUUGUUAUCAGCACUUGCAAACAGUUUUUUAUGCAUGUCGGUCUGGAAGUUAUCUAUGAGGGGUCAUGAUAAUUAUUUUAAAAUGUUAGUAACAGUUAUCUUUUCUUAUUCUCGGUAGGCGGCUACCUCCCCCACACAGCAGCCCUAAACUCGCCCGUGAUGAGAAGACAUGACAUGUCUUUUGCGAAUGACAGGGAAUUGGACAAAACCAUCCCAUCUUUGUUUCAAUAAUUAUUAUGAAUUAUCGUAUACCGAUUAAUCUGUAAGCAGAUGAGAUAGCUACUCAUUUUCACCAUAAAAGGAAAACAUUUCAUCACAAGAUUGCAGUGCGGACAGAGAGGGUUGUGGUUGUCGUAGAUAAACCUAGGUUUCGUCACAAAACAGGAAAUUGAAUUAAGAACAAAACAAACAGAUUGUGGGUAGGAAAAGACAGAUUUUUUAGUGUGUUGAGAACACUGUUUGGUACACCAAGUAUAAUAAUACAAUUGGUUGGAAACUUGUUAAAAAAAAAAAUUUCCAACUAUUUAUAUCAUAUGGUGUAUUAGACCGUGUUCCCGAUAUCAACGAGAUUUGGAUGUCAUGCAUACAAAUAAAGCCCCUUAUUACUGUCACAUUAUUAUGUCUUGAUAAGAUCUUUAUUUAUUCCCUGCAAGUACCAUAUGAGAAAUGCUAAAGAGACUCUCUAUGGAUUCUCUGUUUGUCACUUCAUGUUUUUGACAUAAUAUUUUAUAAUGUUAGCACCAUAAUUGACUGUAAACUGUAAGGUAAUAUAGAGUAUAUGAAGAGUUCCACUUUAAGAGUGUCUCCUUAGCAUUUCUCAUACCAUAUUCUGACACCAUAGAAAGUAGCCAUUUUUUAUUGUAAGUUUUAGUUUUCACACGUAUUUAUGUUAUGCGAGACAACCGCAAAUAAAUCUUUUUGUAUAUACAACUUUUAUCAAGUUUAAGAGUUAUAAUUAAGAUAUUCCCGGUUGUAUAUAUUUAUAUGUUUUUAGUCAGUAUAAUUGGAGCUCAUCAUUAGUGUGUACGUGAUAGAUAUCCUCGGUUACACGGCAGAAUCUCACAGGAAUGUCAUAGCCAAUAAACUAGGCUCCUAUGCAUCAAUUUUUUAUGUGUGAAGAGAAAACACGAAUAAAUACAUGCAACAAUCUAUUGUUGCUGAUUGUGUACAACUUCAGACUCAUGAAAUUUGUAGCCACUCUACAUAUCUCGUGUGUAAAGUGGUACAUCAAAUGUGUCGAACUUGAUACAUCAAGUGUCAUAAUGCAAUUAAUUAAAAAACAAGAUUUCAAAUCUUUAUUUUCAAGUUUCACAUCUAACAGGGACCCAAUUAUUCUCUUUGGGACUUUUACAGCAACAAAGAAACAACCUCAAUCUACUUGCCCACCAUCCCAUACCUUUUUUUUUUCUUGUCUGGUUUGGUGGUAGGGAAUGAAACUUAUCUACGUUCACUUCUUCUGGUUUGCAGUUGACUGGUUUUUCCAUUAGUGUAAAAACGAAGCUUCAUGGACUGAUGCAGUACAUGGGGAACAAAUAUAUUUAAGGUUUUAGUGACUUCUUAUCUCUUAAAAGCCUUUGUGACCUUUCUUUUAAUUGAAUUGCCUAGUAACUAUCCUACUCUUAAAUAUUUAGUAUACCAAUGUUUGUAAUUUCCCUAUUUAAAGGGCUCCAUAUGUAUCCUUAAAGUGGUGAAAUUAGUGAAUUAAAGUUAAUCUAAGAAGAGAGUGGGCUUUCUCCUCAAAAUCAAGUGUGAGAUUUGGUUGUGUCGAGUGAAUCCACGAUUAGUGACGUGAGUGAAUCCGUUGCCCCUGGUCGAGUGAUUCCCAGGUUCUAUCCCUGUAGAGACGUGAGUGAUUCCGUCCCCCCUAGUUGAGCGAUUCCCAGGUUACUACCCCUUGUCUUUUCGAGACCCAUGGUUUUUUCUGCAUCAAGUGGCAUCAAAUAGAGAUGGCAAUUCAAACCGUUAAACUCGAUAACCGUGUAUAACCGCCUGAGAGAGGAUUUGGGUAUGAAAAUUUGGGUAUAUUAUGGAAAUGGGGAAAAAACGUGAACUUUAAUCGGUUAUGGUUUUGUAUAUGAUUAUAAGGGUCCCCAAUCCAUAUCCGUCCCCAAAUCCGAAUCCGAACCGAAUAAUAUAUAAUAUUAUUUGGUUUAUGUAAUAUAUAUAUAUAUAUAUUGUAUUUGAGUGAAGCUAUACCAUCAUUACCAUAUUCAUUAUUCGCUGCAUAAUGUAUUUAGUAUAUUAUUCGCCGCAUAAUGUAUUACAAAAUUCAUUUAUUGUUAUUGUGGAGCCAAAAAUAAUCAUAGGGCAACACAUGGAUUUUGGUAAAAAGGACAAAGUUACUCCUGAGACACACCGGUUCUCCUACGCCUGAGCAGUGGACAGUCAUUCUUUAAUCAAGCCAAGAGUGUCCAAAAAAGGUAACCAAUUCCAAAUUAUCUCAUCCAUCCUCAUCUUAGGUAAUUACUUCAUAACCUACAAAUUAUUCCAUAUACAUAGAGAUUAAUUGGCUAAUUAAUGGAUUAAUUCCUAAUUAAUCCAUUAAUCACCAAUUAAAUCACCCAUUUUCACACCUAAAACCUCUAAGGCCCGGCCACCUCCAUUCCCUAUAUAUAUGACCCUAUUUUUUCUAAAAAAAGGGUUCCACACUCUUGCAAAACUCCCAAAAACUCUCCAAAAACUUUUAUCUCUAAAUUCUAACUUUGGCAUCGGAGGUUCUUCGGCCAAAGCCUCCCAUUCAUUGUGGGCGGGUGAGGCUCUUGGCCUUGACCUAAGGUGUUAAUUGUUUUGUAGGUUCAAUUUUGUCAGGUGCAAUUUUGUCCAAGAAGAAGAAGGCGGAAAUUUGCAUUCAUAAAUUGGUGUUUUCAUUGAGAGAUGAGUACCACACUCGUAGAAGACUCUCGCAUCCAAGGUUUUCUAUUUUCUUGUCCAUUUGUAGAUUUUUCGUACGUUCUUAUUAUUAGAAUUUUUUAUUUGCAAAAAUUCUUUGAUAAAACGUAAAAGAGAAGUACAAUGGCUAGAAAUUUAAAAAAUUCAACAAAUGAAAAUUUCAACAUUUAAGAGAUGGGACCACGGCGAUUCACGAGGCUAAAUGUGACAAUAAGUGGAGCAGCACCACAACCACAAGUUUCCUCCAUGGGAACCACCGUGGUGGCUGCCUCGGUAGCCACUCGCGGUGAGGUCCAUGGCACCAUUACCGCGGCGAGGUCUAUGGCACCAUUACCACGGCCUGAGUCGUGCCAUUAAAGCAAUCCCAAUACAUGUCACUUCAAGCCCAAUGUGUUGCCAAGCCGAGCCCUAGCCUCGCACCCACAUACGCCACACGCCGAGCAGCCUACUCACGUGGCCCAGCCUGCCCCCAUGGCCGAGCCUGCUCCCGCCGAGUAGCCUACUCCUGUGGCACAACAUGCUCUAUCUAAGCAGCCCAUUCUCGUGGCACAGCCUGCUCCCUUUGAGCAUCUCAUUCUCGUGGCCCAACCUGCUCUCGCAGCUCUGCUUGCUCCCAUAACCCUGCCUGCUCCCAUGAUUUCCCAAGCAGCCCAAGUCGGCUCGAGAAUAUCUCGACCAUCCAGAGCAACCAUCAAGCCGGGGGCAUUUUUACCAUAUUUCUCCACAGAUUUGACAUUUCCCAACUCAAAUCUCAUGCCUAGAGUGUUCCAUACUUCCACUGCUUAAUGAGGCACAUUCUUUCUAAGCUCUUCCAAUCUAAAUGGCGAACAACACUUGUCUCGACAAGUCAUAAAGUUGACGAGCUCCCUUGCACAACAGACGACCUUGAUGAAUCAACUUUUGCAAUGCACCGAGAUCUAACGUGCCUUGGACAAGGUAUCCCUAAGUAGGACAAGGGUAGACGAAUCUUUCCAGCAGCAUCCCGGUAAGCAGCUACUCGACCAGCCACGAGCCGAGCGUUCGGGUAGUGUACAUUUCUGAUUAGGCCCCCAAGAUAGCAUAUACUUCCAUCUUAUAGCACGGAGGAGCGUGCACUCUCGACUAGGCCUGAGGAUAAGUAUACACUCACGAUUGGGGCUACACUUAGAUAAUCAACAUGAGCAGCCUUCCAGGCAAUGCAUUCAUUCGCAGCUAGGCCCGUAAAGAAUAUCAUCCACAUCAUAUCGGAGCAGACAACACAGCAGACGGAAAGAAGCAGUCACUCAAUCCGGCUCAAGUUCAACCAGUAGCCUGUGAGUUACACACUCGCCUGCUAGGAAUAUACCACACCCACCGUAGCCGCGGCAUAGACAAGCCGAACAUAUGGAAGAACAGCUUAGACUAUCACAUCACGAUCAGGGGCAAUCAAGAGCUCUGCCACCCCAACAAAGGAAAAUUCAGGAAGAAGUAGAAAGGCUCCUGACCAAGCGAUUGCGCAAUUUCUCGCGCCAACCAAAGCCUCAAAAGGGCACAAGAUGAAACACCUAAUGAUGGCGCAAUAAUUCAGAGAGCAGCUCAUUGCGUUUACACCUUAACGUGGGUUCCACAAACAGUUCACCAAACAAGACCUCGCAGUCUGAAGAUUAUUUCAGUUGUCUAGCAGUCCAGCUUUCCUCAGCUGCACUCACGACAACGACUUCCAUGAUUUCCAGUGCGAAAGGAUAAACUAAUUGCUCUCCAGUGCGAGAGGGUAAACCAAUUCCCCGACACCCAUAUGGGUUUGCUCUCCAAUGCAAGAAGAUAAACUAAUUGCUCUCCAGUGCGAGAAGGUAAACCAAUUCCUUGACACUCGUAUGGGUUUGCUCUCCAGUGCGAGAGGAUAAACUAAUUGCUCUCCAGUGUGAGAGGGUAAACCAAUUCCUUGACAUUCAUAUAUGUUUGCUUUCCUGUGCGAGAGGAUAAACUAAUUGCUCUCCAGUGCAAGAGGGUAAACUAAUUGCUCUCUAAUGCGAUAGGGUAAACUAAAUCCCUGACAGCCAUUUGGGUAAGCUCUCCAGUGCGAGAAGGCUGCAUAGUUUAAAAGAUCAAAUGCUUGAAGAUCAACUAAGCAACAAAUGGUUAGGGGGCAGCAGCCACUUUUACACUUAAUAGUUCGCUCAUCCGACACUUCAUUUUCAGAAACUCUGAUCUUGGCAGCUUUAUCCUUGACUGCUCCAUCUAUGGCAGUUGAAAAAUCAAACUUAAGCAGUUUCCUCAUAUUUAGCAGGCAGCCCAAACAAUUGCCUAUUCCACGCCACUUCCUCGGCCCAUGUCGAACCAAUCAUUGGCUUCAAUCCAGCCGAGUUGCUCAAGCAAUGGCCCCUGCCACAUCACCUCCUUGGCUCAUGCUAAGCCGACUCUUGGCCCCUGCCAGCUGAUGUGUCGUACCACCCUGAUUACUGCCCUGUGGCAGCACCACCCAAGAAGAAGACAAGAAGAAAUUAAGUUUUUAUUACAUUGGUGCGGCAUAGAGAAGACGAAGAAAGCAACAAAAGACGGUCAUUUGCAUGGGCAAGAUGUAGAAGAUUGCUAAAUGAGGGGGAACAAAUAUCCUCUAAACUCUCUCUCUCUCUUGUAAGGUAGAAUAAAUCACUCUCCAAAGUUGAUUUAAUAACCCACUUAAGGUGGACUUAAAUAGGUUUUGAGAGAAAUUUAUUUCCCUUUCCUAGAAUGAUCUAAUUUCAUAUUAAAGAGGGAUUCUACAUCAAAACAGGAAGCGGUUCUAAGUUUCCUAGAGCAAAAAGAUCUUUACACCUGCUGCCCUUUCUUACGAGUAGCCCAACAGGUGUGGGGGCAUUUGUGGAGCAAAAAAUUAUCACAAGGCAACACGUGGAUUUUUGGUAAAAAGGACAAAGUUACCCCUGAGACACACCGGUUAUCCUACGCGCAAGCAGUGGACAAUCAUUCUUUAAUCAAGCCAAGAGUGUCCAAAAAGGGUAACCAAUUCCAAAUUAUCUCAUCCAUCCUCAUCAUAGGUAAUUACUUCAUAACCUACAAAUUAUUCCAUAUAAAUGGAGAUUAAUUGGCUAAUUAAUGGAUUAAUUCCUAAUUAAUCCAUUAAUCACCAAUUAAAUCACCCAUUUUCACACAAAAAACCUUUAAGGGCCGGCCACCACCAUUCCCUAUAUAUAUGACCCUAUUUUUUUUCUAAAAAAGGGGUUCCACACUCUUGCAAAACUCCCAAAAACUCUCCAAAUACUUUUCUCUCUAAAUUCUAACUUUGGUAUCGGAGGUUCUUCGGCCAAAGCCCCCCCCAUUCAUCGUGGGCGUGUGAGGCCCUUGGCCUUGACCUAAGGUGUUAAUUGUUUUGUAGGUGCAAUUUUGUCCAAUAAGAAAAAGGUGGAAAUUUGCAUCCACAUUUAUGUUUUAUUUAUUUAUUAUUAAACGUGGCUAUUUAAUGACAAAAUUAGUAUUCACUAAAUUAUUGUGCGCCAAUUGGAUGAAUAUAAUUUUUUGUUGUUGACGAAGAUGGAUAUAACCAUUAAUUGAUAGGAAAUCCGUUACCCGGUGGGUAUGGUUAUGGAUAAUUCCCGAUAGUUAUUUUGCAGUUAUGGAUAUGGUUAAUUAUCAUGGUUAUGGAAUAGAUAUAAGAUUUCCGUCCCCAAAUUGAACCGUUGCCAUCCCUAGCAUCAGUGCAGGUUUUCUGCUAUGGAGUUAAAAGGAAAAAAAAAAUCAUGUUGUUGAUUCUACACUUCUCUUCAAAUUUCAGUUCUCUUUGUCCUAAUCACCCAAAAGGUUACCUAUAAUUGGAAAGGUCUGCGAGUCCACUUUCUAACAGAACAGACAGUGCCUCAAUCAAAAUUUUUUUUGCAGCAAUUUGCUAGCAAAUAGUGUAAGGUGUAUGUUUUGUGCAAAAUCUGCAAGGCGCAGUUUCGUUUUCAACGAAGAGAUAUACCAGCAUCUUGUUCCAAUGAAUAAUAAUCAGGUAUAUGAAAACCACUCUAGUAUGAUAUUUAUCGAGGAAGAUCUGUUUUAUUCACAAAGAAUUGAUUGGAAUUUACCUCCACUAUAUGAUGAGUAUUCGGAGGAUGGUGUUUUGAUGAUUCCUAUCCAAACAGGUGCUAACGUUGAAGUGAAUGUUGAAGAACAUGCUUUGAUAGAUAUUUGCAGCUUGGAAAGUUCAGAAUAUGAAGGAUUUGGAUUUUUUCAAGAUGAGAAGAUUGAUAGUCCAAUGUUAAGUUCAUCAAUAAGCUACGGGCAUGUAAAAUUGUGGUCACGGCCAAGUGAUGAAGGAGCUGUUCAAAUUUGCUUUUUAAUUCUCCAGCACAUUGUUAAAGAUCAAGUUUUGGGGACAUUACAACCGAUGGCAUAUCGUUGGGAAGGUCGAAAACCUAAAUUCAAAUUAAGAUUAAAAAGAUACAAACUCGAGGACGAGUUUUUUUCGAGAAGAGUAGAAUCAUGCAGUGCAUGGGGAACAAAUAUAUUUAAGGCUUUAGUGACUUGUCAUCUCUCAAAACCUUUGUGACCUUAUCUUUUGAUUGAAUUGCCUAGUAACUAUCCUACUAUUAAAUAUUUUGUAUACCAAUGCUUUGUAAUUUCCCUAUUUAAAGGGCUCCAAAUGUAUCUUUAAGGUAGUCAAUUAGUGAAUUAAAAAUAAUCCAAGAAGAGAGAGAGUUUUCUCCUUCCUUAAAAUCCAGUGUGAGACUUGGUCGUAUCGAGAAGAAGAAAAUGAUGCAAUGCAUGGAGAACAAACACAUUUAAGGCUUCGUGGUUUCUCAUCUUCCAAAACUUUCUGUCACCUUCUCUUUUAUGAGUUGCCUGCCUAGUAACGAUCCUAUUAUUAAAUAUUUAAUCUACCAAUGCUUUGUAAUCUCCCUAUUUAAGGGCUCCAAAUGUAUCUUUAAGGUAGUCAAUUAGUGAAUUAAAACUAAUCCAAGAAGAGAGUGAGUUUUCUCAUUCCUUAAAAUCAAGUGUGAGACUUGGUCGUGUCGAGUGAAUCCACGGUUAGCGACAUGAGUAAUUAUGUUGCCCCUAGUCGAGUGAUUCCCAGGUUCUACCCAUAGAGAAGUCGAGUGAAUCCAUUGCCAUUGGUUAAGUGAUUUCCAGUUACCCCUUGUCUUUUCGAGACCCUUGGUCUUUUCUACGUCAAGUGGCAUCAUAGUAGGUUUUUCGCUGCAGUUAAAGAUCAUGGCUAUGAUUAUCAAUCCGUUUCAAGAUCACAUCGUUGAAGAGAUUAGUUUUGUCAAUUGAAAUUCUCCGCCAAUUUAUGACAAAUAUGUUGAUGACGAUGAGUUUACUGUUGAUGUGGCUCAUCAAGGAGUUUAUCUGCUGCUAGGAGAUGAAGGCUUUGUGGAUUGGGGUUAUCCACAUAAUAUGAGUACAAUGGCGGAAACAUUUUACAUGUAGCUUCAUAAAGAGGAACUAAGGUGUACUUGCUUUGGAAUAACAUGGAAGCGGAGUUCAAAGGAAUAUUUUGUGUGACAGAACAACUUGGACUGCUCUGGAUUUGCUUUUGCUAUUGUGGCUGUUGUGGAAAAAAAUUGAAAGGUAUCCAAAAGAUCGAGGAAAACAAAAUCAAAGGAAACUCGAGGACGAGUUUUUGUUCGAGAAGAGGAAAAUGAUGCAGUGCAUGGAGAACAAAUAUAUUUAAGGUUUUCGUGGCUUCUCAUCUCCCAAAACCUUUGUGACCCUCCCUUUUAAUUGAAUUGCCUAAGUAACUAUCCUACUCUUAAAUAUUUAGUAUACCAAUGCUUUGUAAUUUCCCUAUUUAAAGGGCUCCAUAUGUAUCCUUAAAGUAGUGAAAUUAGUGAAUUAAAGUUAAUCUAAGAAGAGAGUGAGUUUUUUCCUCCUUAAAAUCAAGUGUGAGACUUGGUUGUGUCGGAUGAAUACACGAUGAACGACGUGAGUGAAUUCGUUGCCCCUAGUCGAGUGAUUCCCAAGUUUUAUUCCCAUAGAGACGUAAGUGAUUCCGUCCCCUCUGGAUGAAUGAUUCUCAGAUUACUACCCCUUUAUCUUUUCGAGACCCUUGGUCUUUUUGCAUCAUGGACCCCAAGUUAUAAUAUUCCUAAAAUAGUCAUUCCAAUUUGUCUUGUCAAUCACAAUUAAUUUGUUGAGCUAAUUUUGUUGUGUACGUGUAAAAUAAGCCAAUCAGUGUCCUUUUUAUAUCUAAAAAAUUGUAUAAUCCUACAGAGAAUAUUUAUAUUAGGCCUCAGCAAUUGAUAUAAAAGGCAACCUGUAUGAACACAUUCUUAGAGUCAAUAAUAGCAGAGCUUCUUAGAGGGGAAAGUAGAUAGGUUGUAAAACAAUGUCCUGGUUUCUUACAGUCAUCUUUCUGGUCACUACUCUUACAUUUCAUACUCCUUCAGAGGCUAUCUAUGAGGAGAUUCCAGCCUUCUGCAGUAGUUGUGGGAACUGUCUACUGUGACACAUGUUUCCAAGAGGAUUUCUCAAAUACCAGCCAUUUCAUUUCAGGUAAAUUCAUCUCAAAUUUUCAACAAGUUCUUCAUCAAGUUUUAUUUUUCUAUUGUAGCCAGUUCAAUAAUUUCCAUACACCCCUUCUCUUCUUCUAUACACACUCAUGUUUAUAUUUUAAUCAUUAAAUUUGAAUAAAUCAGAGAAAAAUUAAAAGAAGGAAAUAAACAAAAGUGUACAAAUGGAGAAAAUGUAAAAUCUAAAUUGACUGAAAACCUUUAUACAGGUAUUUCCUACGAGUCAACCAUACAACUACGAAAAAUUAAUUAACACAAAUCAACAGCAAAAAAAAUCUCACUUAAACUAAUUCCUUGACGGUAGGAUUCUGCUUUCAAUCACGAUUUCUUUCCAACAGACAACAAAACGUUGGAAGUUAUGUCAUCGUAACUUGUCAUUUUAUUGUCAGUCAACAAAACUUCCUGACAUGAUAUGGAUGCAUUAUCCAUCAAUAAUCUUGUGGGGGUUUUUGUGCAGGGGCUUCUGUUGGUGUGGAAUGCAAAGAUGGGACUUUAACAAAACAAAGUUUCAACGCACAAGUGAAAACAAACAGCCAUGGGCAGUUCAAAGUCCAUCUGCCCUUCUCAGUGAGCAAAGAUGUCAAGAAAAUUGAAGGAUGCUCCGUGAAACUAAUCCGCAGCAGUGAACCCUACUGUGCUGUGGCCUCAUCAGCCACCUCAUCUUCCCUACACCUCAAGGCAACAAAACAAGGGACUUACAUAUUCUCUGCUGGUUUCUUCACCUUCAAGCCUCUCAAGCAACCCAGCUUAUGCAACCAGAAACCCAACAUUCAGAAUUCCAAGAAAUUAAAUUCCCAGAAGUUCUCAGAGAUGGCAUUCCCAUCCUCCUCUCAGGUGGACCCCAAAAUGCCUGAUCCCUCUCUCAACCAAUCUGAUCUCCUAGGUCUCCCAGGUCUCCCAGGUCUCCCAGGUCUCCCAGGACUCCCAGGUCUCCCAGGUCUCCCAGGACUCCCAGGACUCCCAGGACUCCCAGGUCUCCCAGGCCUCCCAGGACUUCCAGGCCUGCCCCUUGCUGCUGAAAAAACUUCAUCCAAGUCCUCCAACUCCAAAACUUCAAGGAAUGGGCAACUAGGUGAUAAUAAAGAAGUCAGCCCAUCCAGAUUCUCCACCAGCAGGUUCAGCACCAUGAUUCCCAACCUACCACCUAUCCUGAUUUCUGUUGGGUUCCUAUCCUAUUGGGCGUAACCCGUUUAAGUAGAAUAAGCCCAUUUAGGUCUUCUGAGUUGUGGUUUCCUGAAGUUCUAUGUAUUUAGGUCUCUUCCUUCUCUUUCGAGAAUUAUGUGAAAUAUUGAAUGUUUAAGUUUUAUCUGCUUUUCCCAUUUUCUCUCUACUUUUCCCUCUUUCUUCUCUAACGAGAAUGUGUCGUUCAUAGACAGCUACAAGUACGGUAAUAUAAUACGAUUCAAUUAUUAGUUAAAUACAAUGAUUAUAUCGUUGAAACUUAAAAUUUCAAGAUAAGAGAUUCAAAGAUAAUAUAAUAUAUAUAUAUAUAUAUAUAUAUAUAUAUAUAUAUAUAAUAUUAUAUAUAUCAAUUAUUGUUGAAUCUUACCCAAGGAUGAAAAAGGGUAUGGGUAUUCUUUGCAGGGGUGGAAAAACAGAAGUGGGUCGGCCAUGCUUUUACUAUGUGGGCCCCUUAGAGAAAACCUGCUAAAAAUGAACCGUUUCAACAGAAGGAGGCAAAUAGCUGUACGGAACGACGACGUCCCUGAAUUAAGGUCAUCUUCUUCGAGUGCGGACGAGCCGUAUCACAUACCUUUCCUGUUUCCAUCGAGUUUGAUCUACUUCAACUUCUGUUUCGACAGAGUAGCAGGGUAAUGAUUUUGGGAAAAAAAUUUAAGGUUAGGGUUUUGGAGAAUAAUUUUGUGACUAGGGUUUUAGGGUUUUGGAUUGUUUUCACAAAAUCAUUCUCCACUGGUGAAAUAAAUCACCAUAAUAAUAGCAGUAGGCUAUGAUUUUAACUUAAUCAGUACCCAAAUGUAAAAUUUUAUGCUUAUUUCCGCAAAUACUAUUAACAAUUUAACAUGGAGUUUUAAUUUUUUAUGAAAUUUUUGUAGUUGAUUGGGUUUGUAUGAUGAAUAUUAGUGUUUUGAGCCACACUUGUUAGUCCAACUUCAAGCAAAUUUGCAAUCAGCAAGUCCAUUCUCUCUAGCUGCGACCUUCCUUGCAAAGGGAGGAAUCUUAACAGAGUCUUCAACCCUUCCCCAAAAGCUAUGAAUAAAGUCUUUAGCGACGACGGUCCAAUUAAGCACUCUAACUUUGGCCUUAUUGGUAUCGGAACGGGCCUCCCUGGAUCAGUGACAGCCGCCGCAGCUUCUACUGCCGUAAAAACUGUUCUUCACGUACCUUGACACUAACCACUUUUAUGGUGACUACUGCGCCUUUCUUCCCAUUGAUGAUUUGACUGUCUACCUAAAUUCUCAUGCUUCCCAACCCUCCGCCACUACUACCACCAAUUUCACCUCUACAAGUACAAGCCAUGAUGAUUGCAUCGCCUUACCCCUCACCCGCCAGUUGCUGUACGCCGAUACAGAGACCGUUACAUAUGCCCCUUAAGUCCUUGCACAAUAUAAUAGAAGCAAACCUCGGUCAAAUAAUAUAAACUUGAACUCCAUUUUGAGCAUUGUGAGAUAAGGGAAUGUGCUAGAAACUAUUAUGUUAAAUUCAUUCUUAUUAAACCUUUCAAAUAUGUGAUGUUUAUUAAUAAGCAUUUUAGGAAUAUCUAUGACUAUGUUUUUAGAUUGUUUGUACCAUACUUGACCAAUCCCGACACUACUAAGCACCGGUCAACGUUAUACCGUCAAGGACCUAGAAGAGUUUCCCUCCAACCAGGAGGCCAAUCACAGCGCGACACGUGUUGACAUCAGAAGCCAAUCAUAGCGCGACACGUGUCAACAUAAGAAGCCAAUCACAACACGACACGUGUUAAUGUCAGAAUGAAACUAGAAACUCUCUUCUAUAAAUAGAGAUCAUUCUCUCACAAUAUUUCCUAAUGUCAUUUGUACUAAAUCAUUCACUAGUACUCACUAAAGGAGAGCUUGAACCUAUGUACUUGUGUAAACCCUUCACAAUUAAUGAGAACUCAUCUACUCCGUGGACGUAGCCAAUCUGGGUGAACCACGUACAUCUUGUGUUUGCUUUCCUGUCUCUAUCCAUUUACAUACUUAUCCACACUAGUGACUGGAGCAAUCUAGCAAAGGCCACAAACUUAACACUUUCUGUUGUACCAAAGUCCUCACCGAUUUUGUGCAUCAACAUUUGGCGCCGUCUGUGGGAACGACACUUAUUCUCACUCUCUUCAGCUUUGUUAAGCUGGUUUCCACCAUUUGUACACUCUCUUUUGA